rnacentral:lncRNA from 1 species
UUGGUUCUUCUCAUCUAUCUCACAAACUCUCUCUCUCAGCAAACUACCUCUCAAAACUCCCCCAUUUUGGUUCUUCCAUCUUCCGCCUUCGCCGCCCCACUCCCCCAUUUUCAGAUGCUAACUCGGCAGCUUCUCUACCCUCCUCGUCAACCACGACACCUGCACCAAUAAGCCUUCGCUCUCUUUGCUAGGACAAAGAGAAUAAGAAAACAGAUACUUGUGCUCUUUCCUUUUCUUCUUUCGUUUGAAACCCAUCCCCAUGCUUUUCCUUACUGACUAGAUAUUCAGGUUGAGUGUGCCGAGGAGUAGAGUAGGCAAAGGUUGCUGCCAUUGUCUCACUGGAGUCCAACCACUACAGCGGAAAUCAUCACUGUAAAGUUUCCUGCACUCUUAUACCUUUUUUCCCCCUUAAUUGUAUUUUUUUCUUCUUUGUUUGCAAUCAUGUCGGUUAUGCUUUACUUUCAUCUUGUUAAUCGAUUUUAAGUGGUUGGAAUUGAUCAUAGGUUUGAGUAGAGUUUUAGAUUUAAAAUUCAAGCUCAGGCCGUAUAAGGAAUUGAUGAAAAAGAAAUUUCAAAACUUUUCAUGCUCACUACCUAUUUGUCGGAAGGUUCGAAUGAAGAAAGAAGGAAAUUUGUAAGGAAGUGAACUGAGAGAUGAGAGUAAUUGGAGAGUGAUGAGAGUGAAUAAUUACUUCUAUGAUAUGACUACUAUGAAUCUUAUUCUAUCUUUUAUUAAUUCACUCCAAUUUGUGCUGAAAGAGAAAUUUUGUGUAUUUAUACAUGAGAAUCAUACCCAUGCCAUGCUUGCUGAGGAAAUCAAGGAGAAAACUGCAAAACUGAGGUCAAUAUUCUGCCAUCAGAUAUCUUGUAGAGGAUGGUUCGUUAUUUUGUGAUACUUCUGAUGCCAUCCCACGUGUAACAGGCAUCUCAAAGGUGAAGAGCUAGUAGGACUAAGCAUGGAAGACUUGGUUAAACUCAAAACCUUCUUUCAAGGUCUUUCAAUUGUUGCAUAGUGUUGACGUACUAUGUUUUUUGGAUUUCAAGGUGACAAAUUCAUGAAAGAAAUUGGUAUUCUCAAGAAAAAGGCUAGUGACAAAUUACCCUUAUCAGCUGUUUCUAUUUGGUUAUCUAUCAAUCAUUUUCUGUUAUUCUGUAUUUCAUCGCAUAACAAAAUGGGAAAUCUUCAAUUUGAGAAUCUGGAGAUAAAAAAGUGUUAUUGGGCUUUCAUAGUAUUGAAGAUCAUUUGUAACCAACAAUAAUGCUGUAGGAGCAAUUUACUUAAAGAUUCCAAUGGAAUAUCAUUUGGUUGACUGCAUUUAAAUGUGUGUUCUUGGUUGCUAACUUAUCUUCGCAAAAUGAAUUGCAGGAAGCAUUAUUCAAGGAAGAGAAUGCGAAGUUGAGACAGAAAGUGCAUGACGUGACAGUUUCCCUUUUCCUUUAUUUCUUUGUUUCGCCCCUCUACAUGAGCAUGCUGCAAUCUUUUGCCUUUCUGACUGCUAAUUGCACGUAGCAGGCCCAUCGGAAGACCAAACACCUCUGCUGGAACAAGGGCUUUCAUCUAAGUCAGUCACCCGCUUAAGCGACCAAGCCGGAAGUUGUCCUCAGGACCUCAACAAUUCGGACACAUUUCUCCAGCCGGGGUAUGUUUGUUUUAAGUCAAACAUGGAUCGGAUAAUUUGUUACAAGAAUAAAACGAAUUACAUAUGUGGAAUAUAUCCAACAUUUGGAUCUUAUAUCUGGACAACAUGCUGCAUAUCAGUUGAAUGUGUUUGGUUUUGUACAAUAGAUGGCUAGUAUUUAAGCAAGAAGAACAAAAUGAAACUAAAGUAAGAUUUCAUUUUCAGAAUGCAUGAUUCAAGGCCAUGUGAUCGUCUGGCAAUGACUUGAAAAGAAAAGUGAACAGCUGGUAAGCUAUCACAAGGCAGUCUUUAAUGCUCUUGGAUUGAAGUUUUUCUUUAGUAGCAUGGCAACUGCUAGCUAUGUAGAGAGAUUAGAGUCAGACAAAUUCGAAUGCACAAAUUAUUGUAUGUGGAAAAAAGGGGAGGUUUGGAGAAUUGUUGUUGGUUGUGCGUUAAUGAUACGUUGUAUGAAUAGGUGUUUGCGGUUGCAUAAAACAGAGCUAGCAUGCAUGUAAGUAUCUUGGCAAUCAUUUUAUAGAGAAACCUGUUUAACUUGGGGUUGAAUUUUUGAAGCUUACCAUGUCCCAACUGAAUUGCAGGGAGGAUGAGAUUGCGGUUGCAGAAGAUCGAACAUAUAAUUUGAGCAUAACUGGCUUUAUGAUACCCAGAAAUUGUGGUUUAUGUUGCAUUAUUUUUUAGUUUGUGCACAAGAGAAUCUUUCAAGUUUGUACUUGUUAGGGAUUUGCUAUGCUAGUACUUGUUACUGACUUUUAGUUCAACAAAUUAUAUUUGAGCAUUGACUUUUGCUUUUAGAUUACUAUAUGUAUUCUGUUCUUUGGGAUAAUUUUACAAGUCCUUUGGGUUUCUGAUUGACGGAAUGUAUAGCAGGGAGCACUACCUGUAGGUUGCUUCUAUAUCAAAAAAAAAAAAAAAAAGGAAAGAAAAAAAAAACUCCUGGCAGUUAGAAGUGUCAACUAUAGGUGUCAAACAAAUUCAUUUAAUUAAAUUUACCCAUACCCGCCCAUGAAUAGAUGGAUAUGGGUAUCUUAAGUUUUUGCAUAUGGGUAUAAAUGAGUUACCCAUUUAUUAAAUGGAUAUUAUUGGAUAACCCAUCAAACCCAAUUAAUUCAUUUAAAAUUAUCUUCCUCCAAAUCUCAUCUCUUCCCCCGCCCAUUUUCUUUUUCAGAUUUUUCAUUUUGUUAUGAUGUUAACAUCAUCAUCAUCAUCAUAUUUAUGAUGAUGAUGAUGAUGAUGAUUAUUAUUAUUAUUAUUAUUAUUUGUUAGUUUUAUCUUAUCAUUUUAAUUUAUCUUAGUUUGUUAAUUUGCUCAUUUUCACUAUUACCAAUUUAUGACAAGUUUUAGACUCCUUUCCUACCUUUUCAAAAUGAAAUUUUAAAUUUACACACAAAAAAAUGUUAGAAGUUCAAAAUUUUUGGAUUAAAUUUUAUGUUAACUUUUAUAGUACCUAGUUCAAAUUUUUGUAUUUUUAUUGUUCAAUUAUUAAAUAGUAUGUAAUUUUACAACAUAGAGUAUAGAUGGGAAAAAAAUUAGUAAUUAGGCUUGUUAAGCAUUAUAAGUAAAUAUUUAAAACUAAUAAUGGGUGCAAAUAGUGGUAUAAAUUGAUAAUUUAGUUUGCAAAAAUGAAUUUAAAUGAGUUUACGAAAAGUUAAAAUAAAUGGGUUAUAAAUGGAUAAUUAGGUUACUCAAUUCAUUUUUUGACUUACCCAUUUAUACCCAUUUAAUUAAAUGAAUAUAAAUAGGUUGACUCACUUAUAUCCAUUACCCAUGUUACCCAACUCAAACCCGCCCAAGUCACCCAUUUUGACACCUCUAGUGUCAGCAUAGCCCAGUUAAAAAAACUCCUACUUGCUCUUGACUAUAGCUAUCCUGACACUUUCGAUUAUUAAGAAAAGGAAUUUUUGUUGGCAGAUGAGAUGUUAUAACAGCAUUAGUCUUCCUAUAGUCACGGUGAUCAGACUAUAUGCACACUAGCUAGAAACGUGGAAUAUGUGAAAAUAUGGAAUUGCCAUUUAUUCCCCUUAUGGCUUCGCAUUUGGCCACAUAAUCCCCUAUUAAUUUUAUGUAAAGUGAUUAGAGACUUGUUGUGCUUAAAUAUUAACUAAUGCUUGGAGAUACUUUUUUUUACGGGGUCAAUUUUUCCACUUUACAUGAUGCUACAAAAGAGUUAAAUGGAUAUUGUUGAAUACAGUGUAGAACUAAAAACUUUUAGUUUAGGGGAGGCCAAAAAUCCAACAUAUAGUAAUAACACAUAUUAUAGCAUAUAAAGCAUGGUAAAUUUAAAAUGAAAAUUAAGGAUUUCAAUAAUAAAAGACAAAGUAUAAACCAAACUACAAAAUUUGGAUUCCCUACCAUUCUAUUUCCUAUCAAUGCGAGAAAUAACUAUCUAGUAAACUAAUAGAUCAAUAAUUCAUAUUACUGGCUUUGUUUAUUUUUUUCAUAUAUUAAUAGAAGCAACAAUCAUUACGUAGUUCUAAAACAACAAACUCAAAAUAAAAAUAACUAUUUCAAAAUCAAUAAUACAAUUUAAAAUAUAAUACAAGAAAGUUUGAAGGAAAUAAAAAUAAAAACUUGCCUUGCAAAACUGGAGUUUGGGAACAGUUGAUACUUGAAGCAUAAUAAUGGAGCUUAGAAAGAGUCGAUCCUUGAGAAGCUAGAUAAAAAGAUGUGACUUUGUAUUUUUUAACUAAUCCUCGUACAUUCUUAAUUCAAGUGAAUUCUGUUACCUUUUAUUUCCUUUAUUUACUUUUAUGUAGCGUUUUUUCAGUUGUUAUUUUUUCGUUGUAAGCUGUGGAUGAAUUGAGCAUUUAACAAAUAGUUUGAACUCAACACAUUAAAAGCUCGAUUUGAGGGUGGAUUUUUGUCAAGUUCGAGUUCGAGUUCAAACAAUAUAAUAAGAGGAGGAAAUAAUAUAAUAUCGAGUCUGUAACAUAACUUGAUCUCAAAUUUAGAGCUCAUAUAGGAUUCGAGUUCGAAUUUGAAUUUAUUUAAUAUUUUGAAUCGAGCCCAAUAGAUCAAAAGUUCGAUUCGAUUCAUUUAUAAGCCCAUUUGUACUAAUGCUACACUAAUACGAGAAGGAAAUAAGAGUUUGUUUGGUAUAAGAGUCUUAUAAAAAGAGUAAUUAAGGGGGACAAGAAAUAGAUAAAUGUAUGAAGAGUAAUUAAGAGGAACUAGAAAUAGAUAUGCAUGUUGGGAGAGGGGGGAGGGGGAGGAGAUUAAUCUAUCUUAGAUAAAAUGUCUUAGUCCCUUUAGGACUAUUCUGAAAGUUUUGGGGGUUGUGGGGGGAGCGAAGGGGCUGCUCCUCCCCAGCCCCCCCGUUCCAUCCUUGGUUGAAUAAUAAGUGAUUUGUGAGGUAUUAACAACAUACCCAUGCAAUUGGUGUACUUAAACAAAAAUAUAGAUUAUCAAAAUUGUUGAGGUACAUCAAUUUGAUUUUGACUAUUACUUAUUGUGAGUUUUCGUUAGUUGUCUUAAAUUGCGUUGAAGACAAAUUUUGUUUUAAUCGAAAUAUUAGGUGGACUAAAUAUUGGGGACCAAAACUGUACUUUUGUUGCACAUUAAACUUUUGAUUUUGGUGGGAUAAUUGAUUGAGUUAAUUCUCCUUUAGCAUUUCUGGUUCAAAAUAGUUGUUGUCUUUCUCCUUGGCAUUUUCUAUAUAAACGGUGAUUUGAAAUGGAGCUUGUUACGUGAACAUUUGCCCCUUGGCAUCUUUCAAUGGAAGUACUCAUUCAUAGGUGAGUCUGAAAGGAAAUGCGCAUGCUAAACGUACAAAUAUUGAGAUCAAGCUUUCAAGGAAACUUUCACGUUAACCUAUGAAAUUAAAAUUGAGAGCAGGUGCAAGGUCUGUUUCAAUCAGAAUAAUUGCUUGACAAUAGUCUGAUUACAGUAAUAAAAAAUUUGUUAGGUUGCAAACUGAUAAUAUACUAUAUAACAAGGAUUCAAUAUUGACAUAUUGUCAUUGUUGUAAGGCCACUUUUCUUCUUGGUCUGCAUAACUUUUGGAAAUAAUCUACGAAUUCUGCUUCAGGCCGGCUGCUGCUGCACUUGCCUCAAUGAUCUUGUCUCCAUAAUUUUUUUUAAAAAUAAUCUACAAUUCUGUUUCGGACAAUUUGCUGCUGCUGCUGCACUUGCGAAGAUGUCAGAGUCAUUAGUUGGCCCGCAAAUAUAGAUGUCACCUAAUCAUGAUGUUAACCAGCUACGUGCGCACAUCAGGAGUACUACCACUAUAUAUACCAAAAAUCUUGCGAACUAGAUAACUCCUUUUUUUAUUUUUUAUUUUUUAUAAACGAUAUAAUCUCAUACAAUGAAAUAUGCCCUAAUGUGGCCGACAAUAUUUUACUUAUCACAGAUACAAUAAAUCCGAAAAAUUACUACAUCUAAUAGAUCUAGAAAAUUACAAAAAUUACAUUAUAAAACUCAAUAAAUUUGGAAUUUAGACAAAUCACGAACAACCCAAUGAAUAUCUAUGCAUGCCAAUGCUAUCUAAUCCACUAUUCAACUUGUUUAAACUCAAAUUCGAUGUUGAGAUCUAAUGAAAUAACCUAAAAAAUUCCAAUGAUCUAGAAAAAUUGACCCCUGAGGUUGAUGAAAUAUAUGAAAAUGUACAUGGUAAAGCGUCAAUAAAUAGAUUAACUUGAAAUGUUCAUUAAUUAAAUAUUCAUUAGGGAUUAGUGCCACCUAAUUUUUUUCAUAUAUAUGUCCAAAAAUCCAAAAAGAUUCACCAGAUAGCACUCGUCAAUGUGUCAAGAAUUGGACCAAAAAGAAAUACAAGUUUUUAUGUAAAAUACCAGUAUAACCCUAGUUUCCCUCAAUAAGAAAAAUAGUUCAGUUAUAAAGGGGUUUCAGGGUAGGUUUGUACAGGAGAUAUAACCAAGGGCGUUUGCUUAUAAUUAACCAAGAAUAUUGUGUUACAUAAGCUGCGGAACGGUAAGGUUUUGUACAUAGUCAUACCAUAAACCAGAAAUAUUGUUCUGCAAUUGUUCCAAAAUUUACACAAUUUCAGUGUUCAUUUGACAUGAACUUUAACAAAAUGACAAAAAUUGGAAAAAAUUGAAAAUUUUGGCCAUAGGUUACUGAGCUAAUUUCUCCUCAAGUUGAACUUGAAUCUCAAAGUUCUUUCUAUGCAAACUGAUUUUAAAAAGCUUGAAAAUGCUAAGCAUGUCAUCUCAUCAGCCUGGACAACUCAACUAAGAUUUUGAAUAGAUUUAGUAACCAAUGGAGCAAUUUACCCUAGUUUUAGGUAUCAACUUCAUGUUUCCACCCCCCCCCCCCCCCAAACACAAAAAAAAAUGUUAUGAUUAAGUUCUCAAACUACUCGAAUAAAGAUUAACACAACAUGUUAAUUAAAUUUGCUUAUGUGACUUAAAACAUCCCAAAAGAUUUUGUCUCAUAACAUUUAGAAUUGUGUCCGUAAUAGACCAAAAAGCAAUAAAGGCUUUCAGAUAAAUUAUUAGUAUAGGCAGUGUUGCCUCGAAAAGAAAAACAGGUAAGAAGUGUGUUGAAUGUUGAGAUUCUGAAGACAAGCUCCAAAUGUCCAAAUGUCUGAAUGAUACGUCUAACUAGGCAUGACCAUGGUUCCAGAACCGCUGAUUCUAGUUCUUCAAAGAGGUAGAACCAGAACCGCACCAUAUAAGAUGGUUCUAGUUCUGGUUCCAGAACCACCAGUUCUGGUUCUUCAAAGAGGUAGAACCAGAACCGCAUAGUUCUGAUUUUGGUUCCUUAUGGUUAUGGUUCUGGUUUCCGGUUCCGGUUUCCGGUUCUGUAUGGUUGUAUAUAAUUUUAUUUAAUUUCUUAUCCUUACCAAUUUUAAUACGAAUAUAACAAUCUAUUUAAAAUUUCAAAUAAAAUGUAAAAAAAUAAAUACAAAAUAAAGAUCAUAUUUUAAUUUUAUUAUUAUUCUACAAAGUAAGAAGUAAUAAAUAGAUAAUAUAAAUUUUAUGAAAAGUACAUUACAUUGUCAAAUUAAAAAUAUACAUUACACUAUCAAAUGGUUGUCAUGUGUUGACUUUCUUGAGUUGGACAAUCAUCAAUGUUGAAGAUUCCAUUUGAAGAAAUAUUGCAAAAAAUAUUUUUUUGCUUGCUUGAUUUUGAAGAUGAGCUACUACCAUCAAAACUUGUCAUUUGAUAGCAAAUAAGCAAAAAAAAAAAAUUGCAAGUAAUAAUUUAAUACUUACAAAUUAUAAUGAUAGAUAUUAGAUGAAUAGAAAGAAUUAAAUAAUUAAUAAAAUAUACAGAAAGUCCAUAAAAUUUAAACUUUCUUAAAACCUAUUAAACACAACUAAUUUUUUUUGAAUUAUCUCACUAAUUAUAUUAAUUAUUUUUAACGGUUCUAGAACCGGCGGUUCUGGUUUUGGUUCUAUUUUUUAGAGAACCAAAACCGGAACCUUUAUCCAAAGUUCUACCACGGUUCUGGUUCCGGUUCUAGUCCGGUUCCAAAUGGUCCGGUUCCUGUCUGGUUCCCGGUUCCAAAUGGAACCAUGGCCAUGCCUACAUCUAACUGGCUAUGAAUGCAGACCAUACAUAAGUUAAUAACAAUAAGGCUAAAAAAAAUAACAAUAAAGAGAACAAAAAUGUUCCAUGCGCCAUGUCCCUCCCAAUAUCAAACAUGUUAUCUUGUUUUUUUUUUCCUCUUUAUCUAUUACUAUUACUAUUACUAUAUUAAAAGUGUGAUGAGUUUUGGCAUUAUAAGUUGUAAGCACUUUUUUAUUUUAAUUUUUGCUGUUUCCAUAUUACCCCUGAGUUAUUGCAUUUUAAUUGUGGUAGUGAUUAAAAAUAUGAAACAUUCCAAAUGAAUAAGUCUCAACAAUAAUGGUAAUUCAAAUGAAAAACUCCCUAUUAAAACUAUUUAGCGACCCUUACAUUCCAUCUCCAAUUUUAAUGUGCAUCUUUCUUAUCCGAAACAAUUUCUUACUCAAAAUAGUUUGACCAAUUUCAUUAACCACAAUUUUAAGAUUGUAAAAAAUAUUAGUAUAAAAGAAAUAGAUGCUCUUAGAACAAAAGAGAAUAAGAAAUACUAAUUAUGAAUAAUUAUUUGGAGAAUCUUGAUAUGAAUAUCAUGAGACAGCUACAUAAUUAUGUGCUUUUUUAUCAGUAUAAAGGAAUACUAAAAGAAAAACAAAAAUAAAAGAAUCCAACUAUUUCUAUCAAUUGAAACUAAAUAGCCAUUUUAAGAUAAUUAAGUUGUAUAAAUCAUUUAUAUUCUUAUCAACCACAAUAUCACUUAGAAAAAAUGUCAAUAAUCCAAAUUCAACAAUGCACAUUAUAUUAUUCAAUUCAAAUUCACAAAAAAAUUUUUGAAAAGUUCAACUGGAAAGAUAUAAAGUAGAAUGAUUAAAUGUUCAUGCGAAAUUGGAUAUGUGCAUGAUUCGUAUAUUUUAUUCUUAAAUAAUUAAUUCAUUCUAAUUAUACAAUUGCAUUUCAUUUGGCUUAGCAAGGAAAAUAAUAUUUAAAAUGUUGAUACAAUUUUUUUAUUUCUUAAAAUUUGUUGAUUUCAUUAGAAACUUAACUUCAAGGUUUAUUUUUAAGUAAGAAAAGGCAUGUCUAGAUUCUGGUUCGUAAACGAGUUUUCCAAAGGGUAAAGAAAGGGGUGAGUGUGGUAAAAUAAUUAGAAUAACAAAAUCUAACAAAUCAAUUUAUUUAUUCUAAUACCUCUUUAGAAAUUGAUUUUACGAUUUAAAUCUUUAUUUUGCUAAUAAUUAUGAAUUCUAUUCACUAGGGUCACACUUGACAUGUGUGCAUGUAUUUCCUGUUUAGCAAUAUUUUUUGUACAAUAUUAAAAAAAUAAUAUUAUGAUUUUAUGGUAAAAAUAUUGUGAGUAUACAACAACUUUGGUGAAAAAUAACCAUAUUAGGAAUUAUUUAUCAAACUGAAUCCAUAAUUUACCAAAAAGAUCGACAUAAAUUAAAAGAAGAAAACUCAAAAUGAAUUCAAAAAUAAUAGAUCAAAGAGUGAUAGAGCGGUUAUUUGGCACAUUUUGCACUGUUAUUUUGUCCUAAUUUUAGCUACUUACUGUGCUAAGUAUUGAGGUUUUGCUCAUAUUUCAUAUUUGUAUGAAUUACAGAUGAUUUGCGUUAAAAGUAAUCUCUUGAGGCAAAUUUCCAGAAGACCCUUCAUCUUAGAGCGUGGCCCAGCCAGAAAAGGCGGACGCUACCGAAAAGCCGAACCCCGGUCCACGUGAACUGCGAGGAGCACGGGAUUAAAACUCCAAAAGGCUAGCUUUUGUUUCAGUCAAUUGGGUCAGACGUGACUUGGCUCUUAGAGGCUUCAAUUAAAAAAAAAGAAAAGAAAGGGCCAGACGUCGGGGGAAUGAGAAUGAGGAAACUAGGUCCACAUGGACCAGCUACACGGGAUAAAAACUCCAAUGAAGAGAAGAGCUCUGCUCCGCGUGGAUUUCCCCUGCGGCGCUAUAUAAGACAACAAAAAAGGGGACGCAGGGGGAGGUAGAUUAGCUUUGAUUUUCUUUUCGAGAGGGGUCAGGCGAUUGCAAACUUUUGUAGCUUUUCGGUUGUGACACUUUGACUCCUUGGCUUUUGUUUUAACUCUGCACAAUUUACGUUAGCUUUUGUUCGUACACUUGUGGCUCCAAAGCAAAGACGAAAGCAGGGCCUUCUCUUUUGUUAUUGCAAUUAAUUCCCCUUUCCCAAUUCUUCGUCGAAUAAUAGAAUGAUUUCAAUUAAAUCACGCGGGAUUGGCACGAUGAGGAGCGGCUAAUUUUCUUCUCUACCCAAAGGUUGACGUGAGGGCGCGGUCUAUAAUAACUGUGAGAUCUAAUCGAAUCUUCAUUAAUUCUUCCAGUUUAUUGCUAUUCGUGCGUUUCCUGAAUUAAUUGUUCAUGGGUAUUUUAUUAAUUGAAUAUCAACGGCCGGGUAUUUGAUUUAAUUUAAUAGCCUACUGCCACGUUAAUUAAAUAGAAUCCGUAAUUGUUCAUUUAGUUAACACCUCGUGGCAACCACCAUAAUUGGCUUUAUGAUGGGGGAGCGUAAGAUCUAGUUUAAAUAAACCCUCUUAGCGUGUUUAUUGGUUAGGGUUGGGUUCUUCUAGCGUUAAUGCAACUGGGUAAUUAAAUUUCUACGGUCGUACCUAGGGUUGUUAUCCGGUUAGAGAAGCAGUCAAUGGUCGUACCUUGGCUAUCGAAAAGGUAAGAAAGAACUAGUUGUCAGAGUUUGUUGAUAACUAUAACCAAUCUAGUAAUGAAUGGAUGAAAUAUCUUUGCAUCGAUGAUCAUUUAAUUGGACCGUGCCUGAACAGCUGAUCUUUUGGGUAGAACUUUUAUUAAUUGCUAUUUUUAAUAAAUUGUGUUUUGUGAGUUAGUUUUGAAUUUUGUUUGUUUUAUUUCAUUUUUUAUUUUCCUCCCAUCAAAAACCCCCUCAUACUCUGAACUCGAGAAGAAACGAAUUAUUCCCAGUCCCUGUGGAUUCGACCCUACUUACCGCUAUAUACAAAAUUUGUAAUUUUCUUGAGUAGGUAUUUAUUAUUACACAGGUUCGGCACCUGUCAAUUUUUGGCGCCAUUGUCGGGGACUGGUGCCUGUUUAAUUUGUUUCUUUUUGAGUUCAUUUUAUUUUCAUUUCCACUUUUUUUCCCUCUUAUUUUUUUUCUUUUCUUUUUUUUUCUUUACUAGUUUAUGGCUGCUAACACUCCGUAUUUUGGUGAUAGACUGGAUUUUGUUUCCAGGGAAGGCAAUGAGGCUUGUUUUUUUGCUAAGUUUGCAUAUUCAGAGGCACUAAACUCUAUUAGAGAAAGAAUGGCUGCUGCAACCUGUAAAAUUUGUUAUGCCAGGGAUCAUUCAACCGGUAUGUGCCCCGAAUAUCAAGAUAAUCUGAGUGUCCAACUCAAUAAUUAUGGAGAUUUUUCACCCUGGUCUCAAACGUGGUAUGACCCUUAUUCAAAUGGGUAUGAGCAAGGAUGGUGGGAUGAUUCCAAUUUUAAUUAUCAACAAAGGCCAAUAGAUUUACAACAGCUAGAGUCUCAAGAACCGUCAUCCAUGUCAGGUAUGUCUCUUGAAAAAAUAGUUGAAUUAAUAGCUACUAACACAUAUCAAAUUCAACAGGAGGUACAUCAACUUCAACAGGAGACACAAAAGAUGAGUAAAGAGAUGAAAGAAGGAAGGCGUGAAUGGGCAUCUAAAAUGAGCAAAUUGAUUUCUCCAGUUUAUGAAGAAUUGCCCUCACCGACUAUUAUCGACUAUGAGGAAGACGAGAGUGCAAUUAUUCUGACAAAUGAUAUGGUACUGCAAGAGUUUCAAGAAGAAGAAUCUAAAGAUGCAGUUGAAAAGAAAGUUGAAGCGCAAGAAUUGAGACCCCAACAUCAAAUGGUGCAAAUGAAUGAAUCCAGUGAACAAUCUCCAAAUGCAGUGACAUCUCCUCCAUUCCUUGAUCAAUAUUUUCCUGACUCUUAUUCUUUAAUUCCUGUUAGUGAGAUUGAUUUUAUUAUACCAGACGAUUUUGAAUUUCAUGCCAGGAAUAAGUUAAGAGUCAUGAUGGCAAAAUAUCUCGGACCAAUAAGUGCUCUUGAUGGAGGAGUGAGUGAAGAUUUAAGGUCAUCACUUGUUUGUUUGGCGCUAUCUAUUGAUCCAUGGAAGUCCGUAGCUCGUGUGCUCAAGAAUUACUCUAUUUACGAGGGAUAUCAAGACUACAUAGAAGAUGAAGCGCUGAAACGAGCUACACGAUUUUAUCCUCCGUGAAUAAAUAUGACGAUGUCUAGCCAAAAACAUUAAAGAAAGGCGCUGCUUGGGAGGCAACCCAAGGCUUCUUUUGUUUUAGUUUUCUUAUAUUUUUGAAAUUUUUUGUUGAGUGUUAGUGUCAUUUAUUGGGUUUUUGUUUUAUGGCAGGAAACAGGAAGUUAGACAUGCCCAUGCUAGGUGGUCACGCCUAAGCAGUGAAGUUUUGGAAUUGACGGUCAGAAGACUAUAGCUUCCAAGGUGUGCCCACGCCUUCCAGCCAUUGCGCCAACGAAAGUCAAAGAAUGACCAGGACCCUCUCUAAUCCCACUUUCUACUUUUCUCUUUUCUUGUCUUGUAUGGUCUUAUCAAUUUCCAUUGUUUCAGCUUCUACUUUUCAAUUUUCUUUGUUUUGUCUUAGUCCAAGGUUUCCCCUUUGUCCACCGCCGCUAGAAACUCUCUCUCUCCUCCUCGCGCCAUCCAUCGCACGUCGCUGCCUUCCCCACCGUCACUAUCUCUCUCAUCAGACAGCUUUCUUUGCUCACAUUGGAUUCCUGCCACCUCACCCUCCUCUGCCUUAGUGUCUCACUGCACCCUCUCGGUGGUCAGGGAAGUUUCUCUCCUUUUCUCCUUAUACUUCAUUCAUCUUUUCUACAUUGAGGGCAAUGUAGGUAUUAGGUGUGGGGGGAUGGCUUCCAUUAUUAUCUCCUUUUGCUUUGUUUUUUGAAAAAAAAAAAAAGAGAAACACAAAAAAAGGAGGAAAAUGAAAAAAAAGAAAGAAAAAAGAAAAGAAAAAAGUGUAGUUAGUUGACUUCUCUAGUCCUACAUUUGUUAACUGCUAAAGCAUGUUGCUAUAAUGGAUUGCACAAUAAAAGUGCACGGGUAUGUGGUUAUAUAUACUGGUUAUGCAUUUUGUUUCUCCUUGACAAUAGUGUUGAAUGUUGAAUAUGCUGGACUUGACCCAUUCUUGAAACUUUUGGGAGCUUUUGAGCCUUACUUGAGCAUAUUAUUCUUGUUUGCUCUAUUUUUGUUUGAUUGAGUGGGUAUCGCACAUGGUAUUGACAUUCUAGAACUUGCUAUUUUAUACAUGUCAAGACCACAUUUUGUUGAACUGGAUGCAUUUGAAAUGAUAAGGGCAUUUAGGAUUUGACCUUCUUUAACUUUUUACAAACCAUGCCUUCAUCGCAUUUUCCAAUAGUGAACCAACUUGAGCUUUUAUCCUUUACUUUUACUUGUUAGCCGUGUUUGAUAACCCAUGAAUUUUUAAACCUUCUUGUUCAACCUUGUGUCAUUAAGGGAUGUCUGAAAUUCAUUACUUGUGCAAGGCAAAUAGAUCUAUGGGCGCAAGUGUUGUCAAAAAGAUGUUGUAUGGUGUUGUUUCUGUACAUCUGAGAUCGAAAGAAAAGCCAAGAAAAAAAAAUUAAAAAAAAAAAAGAAGAAAAAAAAGGGGAGAAAUCGGUAAAAAGCUGGUGAGCAGAAGACUCUGUCUUCCAGUGCGUGCCUACGCCUUGCUAGACGUCCUCUUCAAAAAAAAAAAAAAAAAAAGGAAACGAUUUUCGACACUUGCACAAUGAAAACAGCAAAUGGAAACACCCUACUUGAGAAAUUGCCCCGGUAAAGCAUUGUGGUUAUGUAGUGGAUAUUGGACAUUCUCUUGACACAUUACACCCUAUUUUUACCUUCUUAUCCCGCCUUUUACCUAAACCCCAUUACAAUCCUAUUAAAGUCCCUUUGAUUUGUGUAUUUAGUUCACUUUUGAGUGGUGGAGAUGUGAUAAAUGUGCAAGCCUAUGGUAAUGCAAUUCUGUGAUGUUGAUUUGAGCGUUCCUAGUAUUCAUAUAUUUUCUUUGAAUUACAAUCUGUCCGGUGUGUUCUAAUUUUGGUGAUAUUGUCAGGGAUCUGAAAUGCUUGUAUUAGUAUAGACUACUACAUGACCUCUGCUCUGUUGGUUGUACUUCUGAGCUCUGAAAUGUUUGAGGGCAAGCAUUGUCUAGGUGUGGGGGGAAUUGAUAGAGCGGUUAUUUGGCACAUUUUGCACUGUUAUUUUGUCCUAAUUUUAGCUACUUACUGUGCUAAGUAUUGAGGUUUUGCUCAUAUUUCAUAUUUGUAUGAAUUACAGAUGAUUUGCGUUAAAAGUAAUCUCUUGAGGCAAAUUUCUAGAAGAUCCUUCAUCUCAGAGCGUGGCCCAACCAGAAAAGGCGGACGCUACCGAAAAGCCGGACCCCGGUCCACGUGAACCGCGAGGAACACGGGAUUAAAACUCCAAAAGGCUAGCUUUUGUUUCAGUCAAUUGGGUCAGACGUGACUUGGCUCUUAGAGGCUUCAAUUUAAAAAAAAGAAAAGAAAGGGCCAGACGUCGGGGGAAUGAGAAUGAGGAAACUAGGUCCACAUGGACCAGCUACACGGCAUAAAAACUCCAAUGAAGAGAAGAGCUCUGCUCCGCGUGGAUUUUCCCUGCGACGCUAUAUAAGACAACAAAAAAGGGGACGCAGGGGAGGGAUAGAUUAGCUUUGAUUUUUUUUUUCUAGAGGGGUCAGGCGAUUGCAGACUUUUGUAGCUUUUCGAUUGUGACACUUUGACUCCUUGGCUUUUGUUUUAACUUUGCACAAUUUACGUUAGCUUUUGUUCGUACACUUGCGGCUCCAAAGCAAAGAUGAAAGCAGGGCCUUCUCUGUUGUUACUGCAAUUAAUUCCCUUUUCCCAAUUCUUCGUCGAAUAAUAGAAUGAUUUCAAUUAAAUCACGCGGGAUUGGCACGAUGAGGAGCGGCUAAUUUUCUUCUCUACCCAAAAAUUGACGCGAGGGCGCGGUCCAUAAUAUCUGUGAGAUCUAAUAGAAUCUUCAUUAAUUCUUCCAGUUUAUUGCUAUUCGUGCGUUUCCUGAAUUAAUUGUUCAUGGGUAUUUUAUUAAUUGAAUAUCAACGGCCGGGUAUUUAAUUUAAUUUAAUAGCCUACUGCCACGUUAAUUAAAUAGAAUCUGUAAUUGUUCAUUUAGUUAACACCUCGUGGCAACCAUCAUAAUUGGCUUUAUGAUGGGGGAGCGUAAGAUCUAGUUUAAAUAAACCCUCUUAGCGUGUUUAUUUGUUAGGGUUGGGUUCUUCUAGCGUUAAUGCAAUUGGGUAAUUAAAUUCCUACGGUCGUACCUAGGGUUGUUAUCCGGUUAGAGAAGCAGUCAAUGGUCGUACCUUGGCUGUCGAAAAGGUAAGGAAGAACUGGUUGUCAGAGCUUGUUGAUAACUAUAACCAAUCUAAUAAUGAAUGGAUGAAAUAUCUUUGCAUCGAUGAUCAUUUAAUUGGACCGUACCUGAACAGCUGAUCCUUUGGGUAGAACUUUUAUUAAUUGCUAUUUUUAGUAAAUUGUGCUUUGUGAGUUAGUUUUGAAUUUUGUUUGUUUUAUUUCAUUUUUUAUUUUCCUCCCAUCAAAAACCCCCUCAUACUCUGAACUCGAGAAGAAACGAAUUAUUCCCAGUCCCUGUGGAUUCGACCCUACUCACCGCUAUAUACAAAAUUUGUAAUUUUCUUGAGUAGGUAUUUAUUAUUACACAGGUUCGGCACCUGUCUUCAUAUUUAGAUGGUCUUUGGAAUAAUAAUUGGUUAAUGAAAAUAUAACAUGUUUUAUUAUUAGUUAAACACUCAAAUUUCACAAAAAAAAUAAGACAUGUUAUAUUUGGGUUAAUAUAAUCACGUGCAAAGUACACAAACUAUUACUAGUUUAUUAAAUGGAUUGUUGAUUGAAUUCUUGUUGUUAAUCUCAAAAUUAAAUUAAAGUCCUACUUCAUUGACAUAAGCAAUUAUAUAUAACGUGUAAGACUAAUCAAAAUAAUUUGACAGUAUGGUGUGGUUAACCCAGUUGCAAAAUUAGUGCUGCUAGAUGUAUAAAAAGAUUAUUAAGACAUAAUUAAUGUUGUAUUAUUCAAAUGGACAAUGCUUUAGUAAUGAUAGUUAUGGUAACGAAAUAGUUUUUAUCUGAUAUAACUGAUUGUUACAAUUUUAGUGACCAUUUGAUUACUUGUUGGAUCUAUCCAUCUAAAUAGGAUAACAUCUAAAAAUAAGGAAGUAAGUUUCCCAUCUAAAAUAGUAAGUUAACUAUAAUAAAUUAGUAACUUUUAUACCUCAAAAGGUAAAUUGGAAUAAAUAUUAAACUUACUUUUUAAAUAAAUAAAUUACUACUUUAUAUCCCAAUCUUACUUUUUAGAGAGUAAGUUUAGUUCAAGUAAUAGUAAGUUUUUAUACAUAAAUAGUAAUUCUUACUGAUAAUAUGGUAAAUUUGAUUAAUGAUCAAAACUUACUGAUUUAUGGGACACAUGUACUAUUUUACUUUAAAAACUUAUCUCAGACUAGUAUUAGGAAGUUUAUUUGAAAUAAUGAUAAGUUUUAUUAAUGAUUAAAGCUUAGUAUCUUAGUUAAUAAGUACUCGUAAUAUACCUGUAUAAUACAUGAUUAUAGGUAUAAUUUUAAAAUUUUCUGUUUUUAUAUAUUUUAAAACAUUGUGAAAAAUAGUUUUACUUUUCACAUAACCUUGUAAAAUAUGUAAUAAAAUUUUGUCAUAUUAUAAGUUUUUAAGCAUUUUCAAUUUUUAAAAAGUUUUGAAAGUUUGGAUAACAAUAACAACAAAUCUUUCUAGUUAUAAAUAGAAUACCACUUGUUUAUAUAUCACAAUUUUUAUAAUUUAACACCUAUAAAUAUAAUAAGAUGAUAAAGUUUUAAUAAAUUUACAUCUAGGACACAAGAAUUAAUAAGAGUUAAAGCCCAAGCAAAAAUAAUAUAACAAUAAAAAUGAGAAAAUUAGUAUAACAAUUAAUACAAGAAAAUCAGUAUGAUAUGGACUUUUUUCCUUGGGAGAUUGUUCAUAAAAAUGAGAUCCAACAAUUAAAUGAAAAUCACAUACAUGUAUAAUAUAUUGUAUAGUUUAAAUUAAAUUCAGUUUACGUGUAAAACGGUUCUAAAAUAAUUAGCACACUAUGAUACGAUGUUAUUUUAGUAACAAAAAUUUUUUUUAUUGAAAGUCUCAAAUAUCCAUGACAUACAUAUGAGGAAUAUUUUACCAUAUUUGUAUCUCAUAUCUAAUCAUUACAGUUAAUUUAUCAUUUUUUAUAUAUGUGACAUGUAUUUAAGGGUGAUAGUGUGUAUACCGUCAAUAUAUAUUUGAUAAACUCAUAAAAUAUUGGCAGGAAAUUUCAGGCAUAGAAAGGUACAGACGAUGAGAGGGAGGACAUGCAAGGCCCCAUUCAUUAUGUGUCAUGUUUUAACCUAACAAACUUCGUCUUGUUUCUCAGGUGAAUAUUUACUGGUCAAUAGUAUCCCUAGCUAAUUUAAUUACACGAACAAUUUCGUCCGUCUAACUCAUGAAAUUAGCAACGACAAUACACAAAAUGACAAUCGUGGAACUUGAAUUAUAAAAGUAACAUCGCCAUUUUGUCAAACCGGUAUUGCUUGCCGAAUCUCCCAAUGAACUUUCUCACACUUUCUUAAAAGUAAUCCAUAAUUGUGUAUCAGCCCAUUGAUGGUGCCUCAUCCUAGAAAUGUGGAUGUGACCAGGUGAAAUUAAUCCGUGCGUAAAAAUUAAAUCUGUAGUGCUUCAUUGGAAUCCAAUUCUAGAUGACCUUUUUUUUUUUUCAAACCCCAUACACAGGGUGGGAUGCCAACCCAACUUUUAUUAUGAGAAAUAAAAAAUACAUAGAAAUGAACAAUAUCUUACAUCCAGACUGCCUGACAGAUUAAACAAAGCUACCUUUCAUAUCUACCCCUAAGAAAACUAGGAAAACCCCAUCUAUCUAAAGCAAUUCUAGAUGACCUUGACAUUGUUGAGAAUAAAUUUUACUACAUGUUAAGAAAACACAGAGAAACUAACAGGGCGCAUUCAUUUGAUUAAUUACUAGUGUUAAGGGCACACUUAUAGUUUAGAUUUUUCACAUCAAUACAAUUUAUGUAAAUUUAUUAAGAAUUUUGAUUUAUAUGGUUAUAGUAAUUUGGCAGUUACAAUACUUAAAGUGGUUAUGAGUUUUAUCAAAAAAAAAAAAAAAACAGAGAGAGAGAGAGUAGGGGGCGAUAGCUAUGAGUGUUGGCAAAAUGUGAUUUAUGUAAUUAAGAUAAAAAUUAGUUUUCAUAAGAAUAAAAUUGGAAGUUCAAAAAAUAAUAAAAUGAGUUUGCAUAUUGGUGUAGCAUAAUUUUUUGUCUCUAUUAAUAUUUUUGGACAAACUUAGAUAUUGAUCAAUGGUGGAACAAAAAAAAAAAGCACCUCUACCCUAAUAUUUGAAUUUGUUAAUGUCUACCUAAUAUCUUUGAACAUAAGAAAAUGCAUCCACAUAGUUUAUGUGUACGCUUUAAUGUGGACAUAGAGAUACAAAUGUCAUUAUGUAAUUAGGAUUAAAGUUUACAAAAGUUAGCCAUUCUAAGUCAUGUAAAAUAAUUGAAACUAAUAUAGGAUUAGGACAUAUAAAAAUUAUUAGACAUAUCAAGUUAGCUUAGAUUUUCAAGGUGAUUUUUUUUUCAAUUCCCGAUCAAAAGAUUAGUAUUAGAUUAUCAAAUAAUAAUUGAUACUCAAUUAAAUAGACUAAGAAACUCAAGUGAUACUCAAUAGAUUCCAUUCAUUAAUUGAUUGUUUUGAAUAUCACCCUUUAAAAAUAUUUUUGGCACGAGUAUCACCGGAAUAAAUACUUUUGAUUGAUGCUAAAACUUUUCAAAAAUGGAGGACGUAGUGACAUCAAGAUGUAACCCAUGGAUGUGAAGGAAAAGGAAAUAAUUCAAAGAUCAUAAAAAUCUGCUGCCGACAAUAUCUUGCUUUUGCUUCGGUUAAUUGAGAUGUAAAUAGUACGAGUGAUUCCCGAAAGCAUGGCAUGAGUUGUAAGAGCAACAUAGUUGUUUUUGCCAAAGUAACUCCUUGUCCGCGGAGGAAGGCUACUAUAUUAAUUUGUUUCUUUAGCGAGCUGGAAAGAUGACCAAGAUGAAACUGAAAUCACCAUUGAUGUGAGAAUUAUGUUGUUGAACAAUAUAUAAGAAACUCUACUAGCAAUUUUUAAUUUCAGACGUGACUGUUAAAAAAUAUACAUAAAGGUGAUCUAAAUCGAACCACAAAUAUUAUUUUCAUUGGGCAAGUCACAUUACAAUUAGGAAUAGGAUGUGGUCUCUUUCAUUGGGCAAGUCACUAAUGUUGACCAAAGACUAGGGACAAGGAUGCCAAGGUCGGCGAGUUACGGAGGGCCCAUCAUACGCCCUGAGAAGACGAGGUUUAGCUAGCUUUUGGGCCGGAAUUGCCUUGACUAUAUAUAGUCUACCUUCGUAUGAAUAUCAUACAUAUAUUAGCUGUUGUUUGCAGCUUAUAUGAUCUUAUUAAAGUAGCUUCCCUAGCCAUGGAAACAGGAGAUCCAAAUCUAAUCUCAUGAGUGCAACAAAUAUUAUUAUUUUUCAGGGAAGUGUUCCGGGCAGUACAAAUAUGGUUUUUACACUCGCCAACGUAUGAAAGCACGUAAUCCCAGUUCUCCAGGCAAAAUGCAAAGAGUUCUUUCAAUGUUUAUAUCCAGUAAUUAACUAUUCUUUGUUGUGAAACAGGCACCCAAAAAUACCGCUUAUAAAUCAAAAGAAAAAGGAGUUGUACUAUACCAUUACCAAAAAAAUCACGUUAAAGACUUCUUGCUUUAUGUGUAUUUUUUAACAGUCACAUUUGUACACAAAUUUGCUUUGAAAAAAAAUAAAGAAGAUGAGAGUGGCAAUUAAUGACGUUUUGACCCCUUUUGAGUACUUUCAUGACGUUUCUUUGCAAUUAUUUUGGUAGUGCCCGACAACUUUAGGACCAUUACUGGUUGCCACGUGAAAUAAUUUUAGUUUUGAUUGAGAGGUGUGAUUCCUCUGUUUGAAAAUUGAAUUGAGCUGACAGAAAGUUUUUUGCGAUUGACCGAAUUGUAAACGGCCCCAAACGUUUCAAAAUUUUAAUGAUUAAAGGGAGCCAUUUUUGAUUGGUUAGACAGCCGCAGGAAUGCUGAAUCGUGUAUUUUUCAAAAUAUAAUUACAAGUAACCCAUAAUAAUAUUUAUCAGUACAUAUGGAUUUCCAUUCAACAGAAUUACAAUUAACAACCACCAAAAUUAUCAGAAUAAAUACUAAUAAUUAAUUCCAAGGUAAUCUAAUCUAAUCUUAAACAGGGGUACCCUACUUCCUUCUAGUUAUCAUAAAAGGGUCACCAACUGAAAUUAUAAAAAUGAAACUUAUAGUUAACGUAGGUAUUGAUAAACUUCAUCUAAAAAACAUAGGAGUGAAAUUGGAGAUUGCGGUGCUUACCAAUUUCAAUGUGAAAAGCCGGUGUUUGAUGGCAAGGCAAAUACGCAAUUAACAUGGCAAUCAAUAGAGUUCAAAGCAUUAAAACUUCUCUAUUUGUUAGAAAACACCAUACUAGAAAUUGAAUUGUAAUAGUUUAUACAAAGCAUUAAAACUUCUAUUGUGCUUGAUAGCAAAUUUUUUCACAAAUAUUAUUUUGCUUUUAUCACAAUUACAAUUCUCAAUUAACUUUUUAUCUUUUUAACAAAUAUUUUUUAUCUUACAUAUAUUAUAUCACCAGAAUUACCACAAUAAUUAUUUCAAAUAACAUUUCAAGUGUUAUUUUAAUAUUAUUCAAAUAAUCUGGUCAUCAUAAAUAUUAUUCAAAUGUUAGUUUAAUAUAAUUAUUAAGUACUAGUUAAUCAUUCCAAAUAAUAUAUUAUCACGUAUGUGCUGACCUGCCACAGGGGUACUAAACGAACAUGCUGCCAGCUGUGGUGCAUUACGCCACUAAAACUCUUGUAGAAGAGAGCACUUGUUUUUGAGGUUUUGCAGAUCUAUCUUAUCUCCUUUCAUAUUUGAGAACUGUUUCAUCUCUAAAAUUGAGAUCGAUACCUUCUGGUUCCCUUGUUAAUCUUCCUUUUAUUAGAUGGCCUCCACUAGUGUCACUUGUAUUUCUUCCAUAUUGGAUGAUCUGCAAGCGCUGGAGAACGAUUGUCCAGAAUUUCCAGAUGGGCAGCAGAAGUACCUGAAACGCAUGCUAAGAUAUCUGAGAACAUUUCUUCUGUGUGCGAGAAAAUACAGCAACGAUGAUGUGCAAUUACCAUUUGACAACAAAAUGAACCAGGCAGAUAAUCAUUAUGCAAGCCUAGAAGCUCUGGCAGUUCGGAUUGGAGAUGCCAUUCCCAAGUGGGCAAAGGAGAUCCCAUCUUCUGAUCAGCCUUGGGAUGCGGUCCAUGAUUUAGAAAAAGACAUUAAAUCCUUCGAACAAGAAAUUUGCGAAUGGUAUGCCUUUUUCUUGGGUUCCUCGUCACAGCAGUCCACUAAUUCGGUCGUUCGACAAGAUGACCUCAUGGAAUUCAUGGAUUCUCUUCUGGAGAAUCUAGUGAAUUAUUGGUCAUGGAUGUGGCCGGCACAUGAAGUUGGACUAAUUAAAGCCCUUGAAGAGAAGCUGGCGUUCAUGAAAAACUUCAUCCGUUUUAUCAAACUGUAUGGUGUUGAAAACACAGAAUUGGGACCUUUGUUGGUUCACACUGAAGCUGUGGCUAUCAAUGCAGCACGCCUCUCUUACAAGUGCCAGUUUAAGAAGGGUUUCGGACCGCCCAAGGAUGUCGAGGAAAGCAUUUCGGAACUGCUGCAGAAGAUUGUUCCUGUUGAACCGCAAGUCCUUGAGACUUGUAUCCAGGCCCUGACUGCUUCAAAGUUAUCAAGACAAUCAUAUGGAGACGCAGAAGAGCAUCUGUUGAGAGACUUCUUCAAUUCUCUCUCGUGUAAUCUUUGGGAGACACUAAAGCAUGGUACUUGUCCUGUGAUUUUGCAGCAACUACAAAUGUUUUACGAGGGGCUAAAUUCCUUGAGAACCAUUCUCGUUGAUAAGCCAAAGAUGUUUGAUGAGAAAGUAAGAGAUCCAACCCGAGUCGUGAACUGUUAUGGAGGAGAUUUUAUUUCCCCUCUCUCUCUGAAUGCAAUCAAAGACGCUAUACAAGCCAAGGAUAUGGAUCUUGUGUGUAGUGAGUUGUUGGGAAUAAUUAAGCUCAUUGAUGCAAAAAUCACAGAGAAGUGUCCAGAAUCAUCAUCAUUCAAUUUUCCCAAGACCAAUGGAUUGGGCUUUGUUGAUUCCCUUCUAGAAAAGAUGAUGGAUGUGACGAGUUCUGAGGCUGGUUCGAUUGCUUUGAUCGAUCAUCCAAUUCAAAAAGUCCUGGAAGAACUUGAUUGUUUACGCUCUUUGCUGAGGAAAAUUGUGGAGCUGCACAACGAAGACGAGGACGUCCAGGCAAUUUGGAAUCGUAUUGUUGGGGUGGCAUAUAGGAUAGAGUUUCUUAUUGACUCCUUAAUAACUGGAAAUAUCUUAGAUUCUUCUUCAAUGUCCAUUCAUUCCAUUUUAGAAGAAAUGAACAUCAUUAAAGCUGCGGCCUUGAAGAUUUGUGAUAGCGAAAGACUUGGUGGAAAAGUUAAGGAAGUAACGAAGAGAUUCAAUCACAUGCCACAAGAAGGAAGUAAGCCAAUAGUCAAUGAUGUGGUGGUGGGAUUCGAGGAUGAGACGGCAUCGAUAAUCAAUCAACUCAGAAAUGGAUCACGCCAAGUGAGAAUUGUUUCCAUUGUGGGUAUGCCGGGAUGCGGUAAGACAACUUUGGCUAGAAAAGUGUACAAUGAUUCUUCAGUGAAGUCCCAUUUUUAUGAGCGUGCUUGGUGUACUGUUUCUCAAAUAUAUCAAAAGAGAAAUCUGUUGCUUCAAAUUUUGACUUGUAUUGAGUCCAAGCUUCCUGAGGAUGUUUUUAAGAUGGGUGAAGAAGAUCUGGCUCUUCAAGUCAAAAGACAUUUGCUGAAAAACAGAUAUCUCAUUGUUUUGGACGAUGUAUGGGACAUUGAUGCAUGGAACGGAUUGGAAGCCUCAUUCCCUGAUGAUGGAAAUGGAAGUAGAGUUAUCUUGACAAGUCGGCUCCGUGGUGUUGCUCCGCAAGACAAACUUGACCAUGAACCGUAUUCUCUUCCUCAACUCACUCCUAAUGAGACCUGGGAUUUGCUAAAAGGGAAGUUAUAUCCUGGACAAGAUUUGGCUCCUCCAGAACUAUGUGAAAUUCGACAGCAAGUCGUGGAAAUGUGUCAAGGACUACCUCUUACGGUUGUCAUUCUUGCCGGAAUUCUCUCAAGGAUGGAUCGAUAUGGUUGGAAAGAAGCUGUGGAAGGUUUAAGUUCAAGGAAUGUUUCUAGUACGGAACAGUGUACCGCUACAUUAGAGCUGAGUUACAAACAUUUACCUGAUACUUUGAAGGCAUGUUUUCUUUAUUUCGGAGGCUUUCCAGAAGACCAUGAACACAAUACCAAGAGGCUGAUUUCUCUAUGGGUCGCUGAAGGAUUUGUUCAAAAAAAUCAGCCCAAGAGAUUGGAGGAUGUGGCAAAUGAUUACCUGAUGGAACUCAUUGGCAGAAGCUUAGUCACAGUUUCCAAACCAAGAUCCAUUGAUGGGGUCAAAGCUUGUCGCAUUCACGAUUUGUUAUAUGAGUUUUGCGUGACAAAAGCCAAAGAAGAAAACUUUUCGCGGCUGGUACGUAGGGAUGAUAAACUAUCUGAUAUCAAUGUGCCAUGCUACCUACGCCGUUUAUGCAUUGAUUCUAAUCCUGAGCACUUUGACAAGUUAGGGUUAUUUGCUCCUGCCAUACGCCGUCUAUUAUUCUUAAGUAGUGGCAUGGGCAACGAAGUAUAUUUUGAUUUUAGGUUCAUUUUUCACAUCAUCAAACUUGUUACAGUGUUAGAUUUGAGCCAAAUUGGACUCGACCCCUUUCCUAGAGAGUUAGAACUGCUUGUUCACUUGCGCUACUUGGCGAUUCUAGGUCAAGGUAAACUCGAUCUCCCACCAUCAAUAUGCAAUCUCCCGAAUUUAGAAACUUUGAUUUGGCGAAAUUCUUCAUUUCAUUGUUCAGUUUCACUACCAGAUACCAUAUGGAACCUGAAAAAACUAAGGCAUUUAGAACUAAUCAGUGAGGGCCAUAAGUAUUAUUGUUUCUUCUUCCCUAGCGACAAUCUUGACAAUUCGUCACAGUUGCGUGACUUAGAUUUCUUGGCCUGUUUGUCUCUCGAUCCUGAGGAAAACAUCAGCAAGCUGUUGAGAAAGUUUCCAAAUAUCCGCAAACUGAGAUGCUCUGUCAAUCUCAAGCCAGAUGUUGAACAUCAUGUAGCAAUGGAUUGUCUAAGUCAGUUGGAAUCACUCAGUCUGAGUCGCGUCCUAUACGGUUAUCAGCAAUUUCAUAUAGAUUUCCAAUUUCCUUUGAGUAUUAAAAGGUUGACCCUGACUUAUUUUGGCAUGCCGUGGAGAAAAAUGGCAGCAAUUGGAAAUCUGCCAAAUCUUGAGGUGCUCAAAUUACUCGAGGAAGCCUUUGAGGGGGAAAUAUGGGAAAUGGAAGCAGAGAAGUUCCCUAAUGUUCGCUUCUUGAAAUUAGCUUCCUUGAACAUUGUGAAGUGGACAGCCUCCUCCGAGUAUGAGUACGAGGACCAGGACUAUUUUCCUCGUCUCCAGAAGUUAGUGUUGGAAAGCUGUGAUGCAUUGCAGGAGAUCCCUUCUUGUUUGGGAAAUAGUUCAACUCUUGAAAUAAUUGAGGUGUCUAAAUGUCCCAACUGUACCAGUUCAUUGGAGGAAAUUCAGGAAGAGCAAAGAAGCAAUGGAUAUACCGAUCUGAAGAUCCUUAUCUCAUAAUGGACGAUUGAUCUUCUCAAGUAAGUUUUUUAAGUCCUUCACUUAUGUACUGCUACGGGUUAUGUGUAUCUGUUUAGCAUCAAGAUCAAGUUGUUCUUUUUCUUAACCGUUUUUCUUUUUUUUUUCUUAAUAGCAUCAAGAUCAAGCUGCAAGUUUUUGGAGGAGAUCCCUUCUUGUUUGGAAAAUAUAUCAACUCUUGAAAUAAUUGAAGCGUCUAAAUGUCCCAACUCUACAAGUUCAGUGGACCAAAUUCAGGAAGAGCAAUUAAGCAGGGGAAAUACUGAUCUGAAGAUCCUUAUUUCAUGAUGGAUGACUGAUCUUUUCCAUUGUGUUUGGUUUGGUUGGGCAGCCACUUCAGUCUACUUUUCUUUAUUAAUCCUUUACUUCUGUACACAGAACUGGGAAUGUUGUAUCUGUUUGUUUUCUUUGCAAGUUUCUUGUUAUCCCUGUGACAGAAUCUUGUAGUGGAAUAUAUCACUUCCCGAGUCUGAUGUUUUCUUCCUAAAGAUUCAAGUCAAUGAAGCUGCUUUUUUUUGUUUUUUUUUGCCUCCUCAAAUAAGUCAGGAUUUCAAGAAUGUUUCGCCCUUAUCCGAAAUUAAGACUGCUGAGUUGCAUAUCAAAGGCAGAUAUAUUCGACCAAUAGAUGCAAUUAAAUUUGUUCGUGGAAUAGAAUACAUGCCAUCGGGCCUCAUAUUUACCAGGACUCAACAAUUUUAUUAGCUCAUUUUCAUCAUCUUCUUUUACAAUUUCUGAUCUUUUCCGACUCCUAAUAACAAUUUAUUAAAUCAUAUAAUCAAGCAGGUGCAGAAUUAAGAACCCAGCAUAUUAAUAUCUGUUACAUUGGAUAAUCAAAAAGGUUUGCAGCCUAAAGUAAAAUUUUGUUCCUCUUUUUUUUUUUGUUUUUUUUUUUCUAUCGACAGUGGGUAUCUGGACCCAUGGACUAGUUAUUGUAAAAUUUUGUUCCUCUUUCUCUAAGCAUUUGAUGCAUUUCUUGUGCACCAAAACUAAAACAAAUUCAGGAUCCGACUUAUCAAAAUUGGAAUAGAUUAGAUCAGAGGCUUCAGCAAAACAAGAAAGGGAUCACCCAGACAACUUCCUAAUCAGAAUAAAAGAUUAAUGAUGAAGGACAUGGGCCUAUUAAUAGUAGCAUCAUCUGAUCUGAGUUGAAGUAAUUUCUUGGAGUCCAAUUGGUUCUUUUCCCACCCUAACGUACCCAAAUACUCUGUGGAAGGUAAUAUUUUAAUAUCAGUGCUCUGCUUGAACAACUAAAAGUUUCAAGGAUCUCUGGUAGUUAACGAAAUAACUUCUGAUAGAAGCACAUACCAAAAUUGAUUGUUGUACAAAAUGAAGGAAGAAACCCAAAAAAAAAAAAAAACCCUCCCAUUCCUCCCUACACUCUUUUUACAAUUCUACUCCCAACUACUAGAUUUUGAAAUCCGAUUAAAACUUAAGUAAAUUUGCCAGAUAUAACUUGAAAUGAUCAUGUAAAUGGUACUCUAAUUGAAUUUUAUCUCUCCCAAAUUUAGAGAUUGAAAAGUCUAUUAAAUUAUUUUAACUUUAUAUUAUUGCAUAUAAGUAAAAGGGAUGUAAUUUUAAAAAUGGAAAAAAUAUUUAAAAUUGAGUGCGACGUAUUACAAAGAUAAAGAUUAUUAUUGCUGCCAAAUGCACUUUACAUUCUUCUCUUUCACUUUUAUUCAUUAAUAAAUUAAUAUUUAACGAUAUUUUAAAUUAUCUUAAAAUAUUUAGCACUAGUUAAACCUAUAUAAACCAAUUAAAAUUGCCACCAACCAAAAUAUACACUUUUCCCAUCUAUUUUAUUUUAUUUAUGCAUUAAUACUUGCAUUUUAUUACAACGAAGUUUUUCUGUUUAUUAACCAAAGCAAUACAUUUAAGAUGCUCUCUAUAAUAUAUUUACACAUGACAUUCAACUCAUAAAUAAUCCUUCAAAUUUUGUUACCUCGUUGGGCAUUGGCCAGGCCUUACAAGUUUGAUAAAGUUAACUAUCACUUUUGCCUGUAAAUGUUAAUGACAGAACUAAGAGUGGUAAGUCAUAAGCCCUUUGGACGUUCAUUUCCAGAUCAUGGAUAUGGACAUCCAACUGGAUUAAGGAACCACAUCCCAUCAAAACACAUAUAUCAGUCUUAAUCAAUUGCAGUAAAAUUGUGCCUAAUCUGGUUCAGUUCAGAAUAUUAAUGUUGUCUACAUAAAAUCUUGCUAGAUAUAUUAAGAAAAAUAAAAACAACAACAACAACAUGAGGAAAAUGCACACCUUGGUGGUACUGCUUGAGGACGUGGCAUCUAGAAUAAAUGCAGACCAACAACCUUGGUGGUAAAGAUUUAAUGUGUUUUUUGAUACUGGACAGACCUUUGAGAAAUAGAUAGGGUACAAACCCAAUGCUUGAUAACUUGUUCAAAUUGAGCUCUUACAAACCAGAAUUAAUCUUAUUUUCCCCAUAUUUCGAACUUGUGGUUCACAAUCUAAACUUUUAUUUUGAGCGAUUUGGAUGUGAUAGUUCACACUCUAAACUUUUACUUUGGCGACAAUUUUUAGCAGUUUAGGGUGCAAAUUGUCGACUCCAAUAAUUUGAGGGUCCAAAGAAAUUGCACUGAAAUUCAAACUCUGUGGCCUGAAUUCAUUCUCACCCUACCCUACGUCUUUGAUGGAAAUGCAUAGUUAGCUGAAGGUCUCUCUCUGAUUGAAUCGGUUAGGUCAUUGCUAGUACUUCAACAUGCAACUCACGUACCCCUAUAUACUAGUAGCAAUGCAAUGAAUGACAUUAGUGGAGUUAUUCCAAUAUGGCACCCAAGAAUGAAGAUUGAUGCUAAAACUUUUCAAAAAUGGAGGAUGUAGUGACAUCAAGAUGUAACCCAUGGCUGCAAAGGAAAAGGAUAUAAUUCAAAGAACUUAUAAAUUUGCUGCCGACAAUAUCUUGCUUUUGCUUCCGUUAAUUGAGAUGUAAAUAGUACGAGUGAUUCCCGAAAGCAUGGUAUGAGUUGUAAGAAUGCUUUCCCCUUGAGAAACAUAGAUUCUUUUUGCCAAAAUAACUAACUCCUACUCCUCGGAGGAAGGCUACUGUGUUAAUAUGUUUCCUUAGCGAGCUGGAAAGAUGACCAAGAUGAAACUGAUGUCACAUUGUUGACGUGAGAACUAUAUUGUUGAACGAUUUUAAAAAAUUUUGCGAGCAAACUUUGGUUCCAAAUAUAUGUUCUGUCAUGGUUCCAAAUACAUGUGAUCUAAUUGAAUCCACGCAAAUUUGCUUUAAAAAAAAAAAGGAUGAGACUGACACUGGACCCCUUUUGAAGACUUUCAUGACGUUUCUUUGCAAUUAUUUUAGUAGUGCCCCCACAACUUUAGGACUAUUACUGGUUGCCACGUGAAAUAAAUUUAAUUUUGACUGAGACAUGUGGCUCCUCUGUUUUCCAGUGCAUGAGCUGUGUGGAAAUUGAAAGUAUAACAAACGCUAAAACGAUUGAGCUGACAAAAAGUUUUUGCGAUUGCCAAAUUCAAACGUUUCAAACUUUUAACGAAUAAAGGGAGCCAUUUUUGAUUGGUUAGACAGCCGCAGCAAUGCUGAAAUUAUCACUACAUAUGGAAUUCCAUUCAACAACAUUACAAUGAACAACCACCAAAAUUAUCAGAAUAAAUACUAAUAAUUAAUUCCGAGGUUAUCUAAUCUAAUCUUAAAUAGUGGUGCCCUACUUACUACUAGUUAUCAUAGAGGAGUCGUAAACUGAAAUUAUGAAAAUGAAACUUAUAGUUAACGUAGGUAUUGACAAACUUCAUCUAAAAACAAAGGACUAAAAUUGGAGAUUGUGGUGCUUACCAAUUUUACUUAAAGCGAUUGUAGACGGCUCUCAAUGUGAAAAGCAGUUGUUUGAUGGCAAGGCAAAUACGCAAUAAACAUGGCAAUCAAUACAGUUCAAAGCAUUAAAACUUCUAUUUGUUAGAAAACACCAUACUUGAAAUUGAAUUGUAAUAGUUUAUACAAAUUAUUGUGUUUGAUAGCAAAAUUUUCCACAAAUACUAUUUUGCCUGUAUCACAAUUACAAUUCCCAAUUAACUUUUUUAUCUUUUUAACAAAUAAUUUUUAUCUUACAUAUAUUAUAUCACCAGAAGUGUCACAAUAAUUAUUUCAAAUAAUAUUUCAAGUGUUAUUUUAAUAUUAUUCAACUAAUCUGGUCAUCAUAAAUAUUAUUCAAGUGUUAGUUUACUAUUAUUAAGUACUAGUCAAUCAUUGCUUGGCUUGAACCAAUGCAUUGCAUGCUUGAUAUAGUACUGGGCAUUGGUCCCCCGGGGUCGCGGGGUGCUCAUAUUAUACUUUUUUUUUGGGUGUGUUUUUGGGGUAUAAUUAGUGCUGCAAACGAAUUGAACCGCUCGCGAGCGGCUCGAGUCGAAAUCGAGCUCAAAAUAUUAAGCUUGUUAACUCGCGAGCCGGCUCGCGAGCUCGAGUAUAUAUAUAUAUAUAUAUUUUUUAUUUUAAGUAUAUAUAUAUUAUAUUUUUUAAAUUUUAAUAGUAAAAUUACAUAUAUAUCCUUAAUAUUUUAUUAUUUAUUAAGAAAAAAAUAUUAUUUUAUUUAUUUUUUAAAAAAUAAAAUAAUUAUUUUUUAUUUUUUUCGAGCUCGAGCUUGAAAUUGUCAACUCGUCGAGUUUGAGCUCGAGUUCAAGUUCAAUAAAAUUAUGUCGAGACUUGACUCGAUUAGACCAAAACUUGAUUCGAUUCGGCUUGUUUGCAGCCCUAGGUAUAAUAAGUUUUUUUUUUAUUAUUUUUUAUAAGUGGAAGAUUUUAGAUUUAAAAUCUAUUACUUAUCAUUCCUCUCAUCUAACCAUCCAACCCAACCCUCCUUUGUUUGUUUAUUAAUUAUAUGUACAUGUAUUUUAUAUUGGAACAUGUGUAAAGAUUUGUAACAUAAUUUUUAUAAUGUAGUAUGAAUUUGUCAUAUUUUGUAUUAUUUUGAAUGAUUAUGAUUUUGAUAUGCUUUUCUAUUGGUAGAGUGGUUAAUUGUUUUGCAUUUUUAAUUUUUUGGUUUUUUUAGUGUUUACAGUAUAUUUAUGAUUUGUCUAAUUGUGAUUUGAUUAUUGGUUCUGAUUAAUUUUAUGCUAGUGAAAGUUGUGAGAGUGGAUUAAUUAAAGGAUUUCUUAGUGUGUACGAUAGCAUAAUUUGAGGUGUAUUAUUCUAGGUUGUGUUGAUUUUUGUAAUAUUUAGUAUUGAUUAGUAAUGUGUAAAUUGUAUCAAUUUUUUUAAUUGUUUGUUGUUGGUACUAUUUAACUUGUGAAGAAUAAUUUGGCAGCUAAAGUUGUUCUUUUGUUUGCGUGUCAUAUGUUUUUAGCUACACAUGGAUGGAUAUAGUGGUAUUUUUCUUGUGUCUGAAACCCAAACAUAGCGGGCUAGCGUAAGGUGGCAGACCCAAAAAAUUCUUGCAAAAAACGUGAGAGGCCCGAAGAAAUCUGGGUAGACAUAUGAAGCAGGCAGCGACCUAACCACUAAAAUUACUAUUUGCAAUAAAAAGACCAAAAAGGCCAAAAUCUGUAGAGAAAUAACAGCGAAACUAGCACAAAAGGGUAAAAUUGGAAUAGGGCCACCAAAAUUCAGAACUUAUGGCCGACAAACAUGAAACAGAGAUGACCCCACAAUGAGUUCCAUCACACUGAAAAAGACAAAUGUGGACAAAAUCAACACUCAAAUUACAAAGAAACCAGCGAAAAUCACUAUUCCCAACCCUUCGGCGCUUUAUGUAUUUAGAGAUUAGCUUCACUCCCUAACUGGCCCUACUUUUUCAGGUUUCAAUUUCUAAAAAGUUUUAAGCAAAUUUGGAGCUAUCUAACUGGCCCUACUUUUGCAGUUUUCAAUUUCUAAAAAGUUAUAAGUAAAUCAAAUUUAAAAAAUUGUUAAAAAUUAAUUUUUUUAAUGAGAACCCACUAAACCAAUGUUGCAGGAAUUUUAAGAGAGUAAAACAAAAGGGAGGGGAGCAAAAUCUUGAAGAAAUUGGAAGACUUAUGUUGUGUUUGAAUUGUGUUUUUCUAAAAAAGGAAUAUUAUUUUUCGUAAAUAUAUUUUUAAAUCAUUUUUUUUAUCUUAUUGCUACCAUAUAUAUUUUUUUAAUAAAAAAUCUAACAUAUCCAAACCUAAACGGAUCAAUGAACGCCCUCAAGUGCUUCAGAAAACGUAAAGGAAAAUAGGGACAAAUUAGAAAUUAAUUAACCGCGUGAGAAUCAAUUAAACAGGCAAAACUAUUGAAAACAAAAGUUUGAUUGUGGGCGUUUGCCAAUCGCCUUUUGAAUGCAGAAGAGAUUCGAGGGAAGACCAUCUCGGUCAAAAGAGGGAUGGUGGUGAGCUGCCACUGGUCCAUUACGCCACUAACACUCUUUAACCAUGAAAACCAUCAAAGUUUCUCAUGUUGACACUAUAACCAGUCUAUUGUUACUGUUUAUAACCCAACUGAUACUAGUACUAUUACUUAAAAUAUUAUUUAAAAUAAUUACUGUAGCACUUUUUAUGAUAUGAUAUAUGUGAGAUAAAAAGUUGAUUGAGAAUAUAAAAAGGUAGGUUGGAAAAUGUGUUUGUGAUGCAAGCGAAAUAUUGUUUGGAAUAAUUUUGGUAUCCAAACACACUGUUUGUAAUGUUCUGAUGAUAAGAUUGUUAAGAGCGUAAUCAAUGCUGUACCGUUCAAACAAUUGGACAUGAAAAUUGGGCAUUUUUUUCUUAUGGAUUAAUCUUUUCUACACUGACAGUAUAUACACUAUCAACGUUGGAUAAAUGGUAACUAUACAAAAUUUGAAUUUGAAAUUUAACUUUUGCACACAUGUCAUGAAUCCAACGGUGUGAUAGUGUAUACACUGUCAGUGUAUAUAAAAUUUAUUCUUUUCUUAUAAUUAUAUUAGAUAAUCUUAUAAUUUUAUAGAGAAGUAAAUUUAAACUUAUUACAUGAGGACAUUUUUGGAUAUUCAAUUUAAAAUUUGACCAAGUCAAUAUUAUUUUAAAAUUUUGUUACAAAAAUUAUCAAAUUAAGGGAGAUAUGUGUAAUUUUCAAAACCACAGAGAAGUUCAGUGAAAUUGUCAGAAACCUCCAUUAUCCCUAGAAAUUAAUUAACCGGGAGGGAAUCAACUAAACAGUUAAAAAUAUUGAAAACCAAAGUUUGAUUGUGGGCGCCAAGCGCCUUUUGAAUGCUGAAGAGAGUCGAGAGGAGGCAGGGUUCUCGGAUGAAGAAUGGGGUAAGUAUGGCUGGGGACCAGACAUGCUUCGAGCAAACCAAUAGGAUGGUGGUCAAAAGAGGUGGCGGAUCUGUUUGAGAAACAGAUUAGCUAACGCAUGUGCAGUGGGGUCGUUUUUUUCUUUCAACCAUCCAAGAAGUAUCCCAUGACUAUUUGUCAUGUUGGGUAGAGAGCCCUUGUUUUUGAGGUUUUGCUGAUCUUUCUUAUCUCCUUUCAUAUUUGAGAACUGUUUCAUCUCUUAAAUUGAGAUCGAUACAUUCUGGUUCCCUUGUUGAUCUUCCUUUAUUAGAUGGCCUCCACUAGUAUCACUUGUAUUCCUUCCAUCUUGGAUAAUCUGCAAGCGCUGGAGAACGAUUGUCCAGAAUUUCCAAAUGGGCAGCAGAAGUACCUGAAACGCAUGCUAAGAUAUCUGAGAACAUUUCUUCUGUGUGCGAGAAAAUACAGCAACGAUGAUGUGCAAUUACCAUUUAACAACAAAAAGAACCAGACAGAUAAUCAUUAUGCAAGCAUAGAAGCUCUGGCAGUUCGGAUUGGAGAUGCCAUUCCCAAGUGGGCAAAGGAGAUCCAAUCUUCUGAUCAGCGUUGGGAUACGGUCCAUGAUUUAGAAAAAGACAUUAAAUCCUUCGAACAAGAAAUUUGCGAAUGGUAUGUCUUUUUCUUGGGUUCCUCGUCACAGCAAUCCAGUAAUUCGCUCGUUCGAAAAGAUGACCUCAUGGAAUUCAUGGAUUCUCUUCUGGAGAAUCUAGUGAAUUAUUGGUCAUGGAUUCGGCCGGCACAUGAAGUUGGACUAAUUAAAGCCCUUGAAGAGAAGCUGGCGUUCAUGAAAAACGUCAUCCGUUUUGUCAAACUGUAUGGUGUUCAAAACACAGAAUUGGGACCUUUGUUGGUUCACACUGAAGCUGUGGCUAUCAAUGCAGCACGCCUCUCUUAUAAGUGCCAGUUUAAGAAAGGUUUCGGACCGCCCAAGGAUGUCGUGGAAAGCAUUUCGGAACUGCUGCAGAAGAUUAUUCCUAUUGAACAUCAAGUCCUUGAGACUUGUAUCCAGGCCCUGGCUGCUUCAAAGUUAUCAAGACAAUCACGUGGAGACACAGAUGAACAUCUGUUGAGAGACUUCUUCCAUUCCCUCCUGUGUAAUCUUUGGGAGAAACUAAAGCAUGGUACUUGUCCUGUGAUUUUGCGUCAGCUGCAAAUGUUUUACGAGGGGUUAAAUUCCUUGAGAACCAUUUUGAAGGAGAAGCCAAAGGAGUUCGAUGAGAAAGUAAGAGAUCCUACUCGAGUCGUGAAAUGUUAUGGAGGAGAUUUUAUUUCCCCACUCUCUCUGAAUGCAAUCAAAGACGCCAUACAAGCCAAGGAUAUGGAUAUUGUGUGUUCUGAGUUAUUGGAAAUAAUUAAGCUCAUCGAUGCAGUAAUCACAGAGAAGUGUCCAGAAUCAUCAUCAUUCAAUUUUCCUAAGACCAAUGGACUGGGCUUUGUUGAUUCCCUUCUAGAAACGAUGAUGGAUGUGACAAGUUCUGAGGCUGGUUCGAUUGCUUUGAUCGAUCAUCCAAUUGAAAAAGUCCAGGAAGAACUUGUUUGUUUACGCUCUUUGCUGAGGAAAAUUGUGAAGCUGCACAAUGAAGACGAGGAGGUCCAGGCAAUUUGGGAUCGUAUUAUUGAGGUGGCAUAUAGGAUAGAGUUUCUUAUUGACUCCUUAAUAACUGGAAAUAUCUUUGAUUCUUCUUCAAUGUCCAUUCAUUCCAUUUUAGAAGAAAUGAACAUCAUUAAAGCUGCAGCCUUGAAGAUUUGUGGUAGCGAAAGACUUGGUGGAGAAGUAAAGGAACUAACGAAGAGAUUCAAUCACAUGCCACAAGAAGGAAGUAAGCCAAUAGUCAAUGAUGUGGUGGUGGGAUUCGAGGAUGAGACGGCAUCGAUAAUCAAUGGACUCAGAAAUGGAUCACGCCAAGUGAAAAUUGUUUCCAUUGUGGGUAUGCCGGGAUGCGGUAAGACAACUUUGGCUAGAAAAGUGUACAAUGAUUCUUCAGUGAAGUCCCAUUUUUAUGAGCGUUCUUGGUGUACUGUUUCUCAAAUAUAUCACAAGAGAAAUCUGUUGCUUCAAAUUUUGACUUGUAUUGAGUCCAAGCUUCCUGAGGAUGUUUUUAAGAUGGGUGAAGAAGAUCUGGCUCUUCAAGUCAAAAGACGUUUGCUGAAAAACAGAUAUCUCAUUGUUUUGGACGAUAAAUGGGACAUUGAUGCAUGGAACGGAUUGGAAGCCUCAUUCCCUGAUGAUGGAAAUGGAAGUAGAGUUAUCUUGACAAGUCGGCUCCGUGGUGUUGCUUCCCAAGACAAACUCGACCAUAAACCAUAUUCUCUUCGUCAACUCGCUCCUAAUGAGAGCUGGGAUUUGCUAAAAGGGAAGUUAUAUCCUGGACAAGAUUUGGCUCCUCCAGAACUAUGUGAAAUUCGACAGCAAGUCGUUGAAAUGUGUCAAGGACUACCUCUUACGGUUGUCAUUCUUGCCGGAAUUCUCUCAAGGAUGGACCGACAUGAUUGGAAAGAAGCUGUGGAAGGUUUAAGUUCAAGGAAUGUUUCUAGUACGGAACAAUGUACCGCUACAUUAGAGCUGAGUUACAAACAUUUACCUGAUACUUUGAAGGCAUGUUUUCUUUAUUUUGGAGCCUUUCCAGAAGACCAUGAACACAAUACCAAGAGGUUGAUUUCUCUAUGGGUCGCUGAAGGUUUUGUUCAAAAAACUCAUCCCAAGAGAUCAGAGGAUGUGGCAAAUGAUUACCUGAUGGAACUUAUUAUCAGAAGCUUAGUCACAGUUUCCAAACCAAGAUCCAUUGAUGGGGUCAAAGCCUGUCGCAUUCACGAUUUGUUGUAUGAGUUUUGCGUGACAAAAGCCAAAGAAGAAAACUUUUCGCGGCUGGUACGCAGGGAUGAUAAACUAUCUGAUAUCAAUGUGCCAUUCUACCUACGCCGCUUAUGCAUUGAUUCUAAGGUCGAGCACUUGGACAACUUGAGGUUAUUUUCUCCUGCCAUACGCAGUCUAUUAUUAUUCAGUCACGAUGAAGACAGUAGAAGUUGUUUUGACCUUCGAUUCAUUUUUCACAUCAUAAAACUUGUCAAAGUGUUAGAUUUGAGCCAAAUUAAACUAGGAGGCAUCUUUCCUAGAGAACUAGAACUGCUUGUUCACUUGAGGUACUUGGCAAUUCUAGGUAAUGGUAGUCCUAUCCCAGCAUCAAUAAGUUAUCUCACGAACUUGGAAACUUUGAUUUGGCGAAAUUCUAGGAGUCAUGGUUCAGUUUCAUUGCCAGAUACUAUAUGGAAUCUGAAGAAAUUAAGGCAUUUACAACUAAUGAACGAGGUCGAUAAGAAUUAUCAUUUUAGAUUCCCUGAGAACAACCUUGACAACUCUUCACAGUUGUGUGACUUAGAUAUCUUGUCCUGUCUAAGCCUCAAUCCUCGGAAGAACAUCAACAAGCUGUUGAGAAAGUUUCCAAAUAUCCGCAAGCUGAGAUGCUCUCUUUAUCUCGAUAAGGGCUGUGAAUAUCAUGUAGCAGUGGAUUGUCUAAGUCAUUUGGAAUCACUCAGUCUGAGUUGCUUUGUUUACGGCGGUGACCGAUAUCAACUAGAUUUCCAAUUUCCUUUGACUAUUAAAAAAUUGACCGUCUUAUUUUCGCUUGCCAUGGAGCAAAAUGUCAGCAAUUGGAAAUCUACCUGCAGUGGCCCCGUUCUGGGCCUGGACACGUGGCAGCCCGGACAAGGCCGAGCUGGGCUUCGGCCCUGGGCCCCCGGCAGCCGGCCUGGGCCUCGCUGCUAGGGCUCCUGGAGGGGCGCAGGUCCAUCCCGAAGAGGUCGGGGGCAAUCCCCCUGAGUGCGGGAUAUGGGCUAUCCUGGGCAAGUCCCGAAACGUGCGGAGGUCGGACUCCUUCAUAGGUAUAAAUAAUAACACACCUUCACUGUACAAGGUACGCUCACUAUAGGCCAAUUACCCCCGGCUGUUACCACUCCCCGUGAACCCUACUCACCGGAGAACUAACUUGGCCGUCGGAGUGCCCUCGGGGACAACCCUCGGGCCCCCCUUCUUCAGUCCAUCUUUGUUUGUUUUGCAGGCUUGGGAAUAGCUCUUCCAUCAGCACCCCGAGCUGAUCAGGUCAGCUCUCCUAGGGGAAGUUCCGUGCUUCUUCAGUUGGCGCCGUCUGUGGGAAACGUAAGGUAAGUAAGAUUGUGCUGAUGGCUAGGACGCGAUCCAGGCGCACGGUAGAAAGCAUCGGCCCGGGGGGCGGUGAAGGAUCCCAGCAAAAGGAAGCCGAGGCGUCUCGGGGCGCCGGAGGCUCAGCCCUUUCAGGGGAGCGCAGGCAGCAGAUCUUCCAGUUUGUGACGGAGAACCUCCCCAUGCUGGAAGAUAUAAUCCGGCAGGCGAAGGAGGGAGAAGGGGCUGGGGGUGCGCAGACCUCCAAGGCCAAGGGGAAGGAGAAGGGGUCACCCCCUGACCCCUCCGAGGGAGAGUCACGAGAACAGCUCCCCAAGAGAAAACGACCACGGACUCCACCUCGCCCACGAGCCUCGGUAAUCGGAGACAGCGAGGGGUACUCUCGCGACAGGUCCGUGGGGAGUAGGAGGAGGAACCCCUCCCCGAGGAAGCCUGGUCGGAAUGGGUUGGGCCGUCCUCCCUCUCGGUCUAUCAGGAGCCGAUCGCGCGACCCCCUCCGCUUGAAGCCUGUCCAAAACGAGCUCGAGCAGAUCUUGCGGCCGCGACCAUACGAGGACAACUACGCCUCCUCGCCCUUUACCCGGGAGAUAGAGGACUACCCGCUACCCCGGAGGUUUAAGAUUCCGAGCAUCGAGAUGUACGAUGCCUCCACAGACCCGGAGGACCACCUUUCGAUCUUCUUGACGCACAUGCGCCUGCAAACCGCCGCGGAUGAGGUCCGCUGCAAGACCUUCCCCAUGUUCCUAAAGGGGAAGGCGCGGCUCUGGUUCCAGGGGUUGAAACCGGGGUCCAUAAGGAGUUUCCCCGAGUUGGCUCGGCAGUUUGCAGCCCAGUUCGUCUCCUCGAAGGUCUACGCGAGGAACGCAACCCACCUGAUGUCCAUCAGGCAAAGGCCCGACGAGUCGCUGAAAAAUUUCAUGACCCGCUUCAAUGCGGAGAGCUUGCAGGUCAGGGAUAAAGACGAGAAAGUGGUAAUGGCCGCCUUCACAAAUGGGCUCAGGGUAGAGGAACUCUUCUAUGACCUGGCCAAGAAGCCUCCCGUGGACCUGGAGGAGCUCUUACGCAGGGCGCAUGAGGCCGCUAAUGCGGAAGAGGCAGGUCGUCUGAAGAAAGAAUCAGAUCGGGAGCUCGGAGAUCGGAAAGGUCGGGCAAACCCCUCAGAGGGCAAGGACGUCCCGUCCAAGAAAAACGUCUUCGACCGACUCUCGAAGGAGAAGGGCCCUGCUCUGCCGCCCCUCCCAGAGAAGACCUACACCCCCCUGACUCGACCCCGAGCCCAGGUCCUGGCCGUCAUGGAGGCGGAGGGCCUGGGAGAUCGGCCGCCUAAGAUGGGGACGCCCCAGAACAAGAGGAACCAGGAUAGGUACUGUGCCUUCCACCGUGAUGUCGGGCACGACACGGAGGGGUGCUGGGCCCUGCGCAAGCAAAUCGAGGACCUGAUCUAGCGAGGCUUUCUAGGACAGUUCGUGCGCCGCCCCGGCCAGGGAUCCGGACGCAACCACUACAGGGAUAGGCACGAGGGACGGCGACGCGACCUCCCUGAGCUGCGUGACGCCCCUCGGGGCCACUCUCCCGACCAGGACACCCAGAACCUGGCGGGAGUGAUAAACACCAUCGCCGGAGGCCCCACGGGGGGGGACAGUCAUGCAGCUCGGAAGAACAAGCGACCACCCCCCAAAGGGGACGACUCCUUGAAGCGCUUGCGCAUGGAUGAGGAGAUUACCUUCGGACCAAGGGAUGCGGUCCCCCUGGCUUCCGGGAACCACGAGGCCAUCGUGAUAGACAUUGCUACCAACAAUUACCGAGUGAAGAAGGUGUAUGUCGACCAGGGUAGCGCGGUGGACAUCAUGUUCUACAGGGUGUUCAGGGAGCUCGGCUUAAGGGAUGACCAGCUCACCCCGGUCCGGACACCUCUGGUGGGGUUUACUGGACCGCCCAUCAGCUCGGAAGGGAUGAUCACCCUGAUGGUCACAGUAGGACAGGCCCCUAAGUGCCGGACUGUUCCCGUUAACUUCGUGGUGGUCAAGCAGUCGUCCCCGUACAAUGUGUUUUUGGGGAGACCUGUUUUGAACGCCCUACGGGCUGUUUCCUCUACUUAUCACCUCAGCGUUAAGUUCCCUACCCCGGGAGAGAUAGCCGAGGUGCGCGGCGAUCCGGAGGUAGCCAGGGCUUGUUACCUAGACACACUCCGGGGGCAGGAAAAGGUGGUCGCCCAGACAACCUGUCUGGAGCCCUACAUCCCGGGGGAUGAGGCCCAACAGCUGGGCACCCAGGAUGAGAUUGAGGAGUUCCCCCUAAGGGAAGAUCGGCCCAACCAGGUUCUCCGCAUUGGAGCCUUGUUGCCCGCCAAGGAGAAGGAAGACCUGAAAGCUCUGCUAAGAGAGUACUCCCAGGUCUUCGCUUGGUCGGUGGAUGACAUGCCUGGGAUCCCAACGGACCUGGCAGUCCACCACCUUGACGUCGACCCUCACUUCAAGCCGGUGAAACAGAAGAAAAGGAGUUUCGCCCCUGAGAGGAACGAGGUGAUCAAGGCGGAGGUCGGCAAGCUGUUGGAGUCCAAGAUCAUCCUGGAGGUCUACUACCCGACCUGGUUGGCCAAUCCGGUCCUAGUCAAGAAGGAGGACCAGACCUGGAGGAUGUGCGUAGACUUCACGGAUCUUAACAAAGCCUGCCCGAAGGAUUGCUUUCCCCUGCCUAGAAUCGACAGGUUAGUAGACUCUACUGUGGGUUUUGAUGUUUUAUGCUUCGUGGAUGCUUUUAAGGGAUACCACCAGAUAGAGAUGGCUAAGGAGGACCGGGAUAAGACCUCCUUCAUCACCGAGGAAGGGACCUACUGCUACAGGACCAUGCCAUUCGGACUCAAGAACGCAGGGGCUACUUACCAGCGCCUGGUCAACAAGCUGUUCAAAGGUCAGAUCGGCAGAAACAUGGAGGUCUAUGUGGAUGACAUGAUCGUCAAAAGCCAGACGGACCAGCGGCUCAUACCCGACCUUAAGGAGAUCUUGGAUAUCCUACUGGAGAGCCGGAUGCGCCUGAAUCCGAAGAAGUGCACCUUUGGAGUAAGGUCGGGAAGGUUUCUCGGUUUCCUAGUGUCCCGAGAGGGAAUCCGAGCCAACCCGGAUAAGCUCCAGGCCAUUAUGGACAUGGCCCCUCCGAGGAACGUGAACGAAGUCCAACGACUCACGGGAAGGAUGGAAGCCCUGAACAGAUUCCUCUCGCGUUCCGCGGUUCGGGGGCUACCGUUCUUCCAAGUCUUGAAGGCGCCCAAGGAUUUCCAUUGGACAGAGGAGUGCCAGAAGGCCUUCACCGACCUGAAAGCUUACUUGGCCGAGCUACCAACUCUGACUGCCCCGGAGCUGGAGGAGACCCUAUUCCUAUACCUGUCCGCUUGCAACGAGGCCGUCAGCGCGGUCUUGGUGCGGGAGGACAGGGGGACUCAGAGGCCGGUGUAUUACGUCAGCCGAGCUCUACAGGGGCCAGAGACGCGGUACUCGCCAGCAGAGAAGCUGGUCCUUGCCUUGGUACAUGCUGCUCGCAAGCUCCGCUCUUACUUCCAGGCUCACAGCAUUGUAGUCCUGACCGACCAGCCCCUACGGCAGAUACUCACCAAACCCGAGGUCUCGGGUAGGAUGACCAAAUGGGCCGUCGAGCUGGCCGAGCACGACCUUAGUUAUCGGCCUCGCACCGCGAUCAAGGCCCAGGCCUUAGCAGAUUUCCUUGCAGAGGGGGCUAACUUAAACUUGACCGAGUUGGCCCCGACACCCACGGACACCUUGGCGGAGGAGCCUUGGGUGCUGUUCGUGGAUGGCGCCUCGAGCAAGGAAGGGAGCGGAGCUGGCCUGCUCCUCACCUCGCCCACCGGGGAAGAACUGACCUACGCGCUUCGGUUCGAUUUCCCGGCGUCCAACAACGAGGCAGAGUAUGAGGCCCUCCUGACGGGGCUGCGAAUAGCCCACCAGAUGGGCGUCACCGCAAUCAGGGUUCGGAGUGACUCUCAGCUCGUCGUCCUCCAGGUCCGCGGGGAGUACGAGGCCAAGGACGAGGUUAUGAAGAAAUACCUGGCUAAGGUACGGAAGGCGGCGGCCUUGUUCAGAACAUUUGAAAUAGCACGGGUGCCGAGGUCCCAGAACAAGCGGGCAGACGCCCUAUCGAAAUUGGCGUCCUCCUCAUUUGCCCACCUGAGCAAGGAGGUCUUGGUAGAGGUGGUAAAACAAAAAGUAUCGAUCAGGUCCAGGUCCUGACUAUAGACGGCUCGGCCACCUGGAUGACGCCCCUCAUAGACUUCCUCAGUUCAGGUGCCCUCCCCGAAGACAAAGCCGAGUCUCGACGAAUCCAGCUUCGGGCUGCCAAGUACGCCUACACCGGGGGUACCCUCUAUAGGAGGUCGUAUUUGUCCCCUUGGUUAAAGUGCGUGACCCCCGAGGAAGGUGAUUACGUACUGCGCGAGGUCCAUGAAGGAAUUUGUGCGGCACACGUGGGAUCUCGGGUGUUGGCCAAAAAGUGUCUCCUUCUGGGCUACUACUGGCCCUCUGUCUUCCGAGACGCAGCAGAUCUGGUCCAGAAAUGCCGAGCUUGCCAGGUACACGCCCCGCUGCGCCAUCAGCCAGCUCAGGAGAUGAUUCCCAUCCAUAGUCCCUGGCCCUUCGCUCAAUGGGGGAUAGACCUCCUGGGUCCCUUCCCUCGAGCCCCGGGGAGAUAUGAGCACCUCGUGGUGGCUAUUGACUACUUCACAAAAUGGGUGGAGGCGGAGCCCCUGGUCUCUAUCUCGGGGAAGGCAAUUCAGAAAUUCUUUUGGAAGAGCAUAGUUUGUCGGUUUGGGAUUCCACACGUCCUGAUAUCCGGCAACGGCCGCCAGUUCGCCGAGAACCCUUUCCGGAGCUGGUGUGCCGAGCUCGGAGUCCACCAACACUUCAGGUCGGUUGGUCACCCACAGGCUAAUGGUCAGGUGGAGAACGCAAACCGAACUGUUCUGCAAGGGUUGAAGACUAGAUUGGAGUCCGCCCAAUCGAGCUGGCUGGAUGAGCUCCCCAGUGUCCUUUGGGCUUACCGCACUACGCCCCGGGCGGCUACCCAAGAGACCCCGUUCUCCCUAACCUAUGGAGUAGAGGCUGUGGUGCCCGCGGAGGUCGGUCUUCCCUCACCCACAACACAGAAUUUCGUGGCAACAUCCAACGAGGAAGAGCUCCGGUGCAGCUUGGACAUGCUCGAAGCCAGGCGUGAGGAAGCGGCUGUUCGAAUGGCUAAGUACAAAAGCCAGCUCGCCCGCUAUCACAACGCCAAAGUGAGGACGGUACAAUAUCAGCCCGGGGACCUCGUCCUAAGGAAGAACUCGGUCAGCCGAGCUCACAGUUCCAACAAGCUCGACCCAAAUUGGGAGGGCCCCUACAAGGUCCUUGAGGUAGGUCGGGCCGGUUACUGCAAACUUGCCGACAUGGACGGAUCUGAGGUACCCCGUACUUGGCACUUCUCCAACCUGCGCCUGUUUCUAGCGUAGGGUAGACCAGAAUAUCCAGUUGCCUGUACUUUGGAAUCCGAAAAUUUUGUUUUAACUUUCAAUAAAAGUUCGACUCUGGCAAUUUUGCUUUCAUACAGUUUGCAUUCCACUAGCACACUUAGCGUUUCCUCCCUAAGUAUCCUAGUGGGGGGCUGAGGUAGUACGAAGUGGAAGUGUUCGACCCAAGAGGUCGGCACGGUUGAAAAAACUUGAAAGGAUUCUGAAAACUCUGCGCUCGACCCAAGAGGCCGGCCUAAGUUAAAUCCUCCAUGGCAUCCGAGUUAAAGCUCGACCCAAGAGGUCGGCACGCCAGUCAGAACCAGGGAGUUCAACGCUCGACCCAGGUGGUCGGCAUAACUGCCUUGGAAAUUUGAUGCUCGACCCCAAGAGGUCGGCAUGCCAGGCAAAACCGGGGAGUUCAACGCUCGACCCAGGAGGUCGGCAGGACUGCCUUGAAAAUUUGAUGCUUGAUGAUCGAGGUCGGCAUGAUGGAGAACUUGGAUGGAAACUGAUGCUCGACCCCUAGAGGUCGGCAGACACCAUUGUGAGCAGGCAAGGAAUGCGAAAUAAUCCUCAAGUUUUAUAUAUGCAUUCAAAGCCUAUCUAUUACAAGGCUUGCAGAGUUUCUAAGCCGCCUAUCUAUUACAAAAUGCCCUGCCUAUCUACCGCGGAAUCUCCGAGUUGGCGAUCUCCUUCGAUGUCUGUUCUACUUGCUGGUGGUCCGGUCGGGGUAGGAGCUGGAAGUACACCUUAAGCAUGUUGAGCGGCGUAUGGUGAAGGCCAUUCAGGAGCCCGGAAGCAGGGGAGCCCUUCUGUCUUGGAUGGACCUCCGAGAGCAUUUUCAACUGGAGCAGGGUCACAUCCUUAUAAGAAGACAGGAAGGGUCUCUGGAGUGGCCAUCGCCCUAGGCCACUGGCUCCUUCCCGGCAGCUCGGCCAGGAGACCCGUCCUCCUCCAAGGGAACUUCCUCCAGCUCGGCCCCAGUGUCAGUCCGGCUCGCCAGCUCCUUCAGGGAGUGCCCCUUGCGAUACCCGUCGAAGAGCCAGUCCAGCCUCGCCUCGGCUGCAGGGUUGUAGUCCUUGAAGCUCGCCAAGUCGAGGCCAGGAGGAUUGAGCUUCUUCACCUGGUCCAGGGCCCGGGUGCAGCCGACCUGGAAGAUGGGCAGGUUGAGGUGGGCGAUGUCCUCCUCAAACUAGUCGGAAGAAAGGAACUCCCGAACAGCCCUCUUCCGCUCCCGACUGACGGUGCCGGAGAGCUCGAGGACGUGCUCCUCCUUCAGCUUGGCCACACCGGCCUUCUCCUGGUCGAGCUCCGACCUGGUGGAGGCGAGCUGGACCUGAGCAGCGUCCAGCUCCUUCUCGGCCUUGUCCAGUUUGGCCUUGAGGGAGCUUGCCUCCUUGAGGGUCUGGGACAGCUUCUUCUCCGCCUCCAGGUUCUUUUUCCGCAACUUCUCCAGGUCGGGGGACAGUUCGGAAAAGCGGGUCGCCAGGGCGGGGCCAGCGGCGUUGGCCUGAAGGAAAAAGAGAACUGGUCAGCACGUCACAAUGCCUAACCGAGACGUGAAGGCAAAACUACCCCAGGGGAUAGACUUACUUGAGCCUGGGCGGUAUAGUACGCGUCCAAGAGCUCGGAGGGGUUGGCCAGCUCCAUCCACCUCUUGUCACGAGGAAGGACCGAGCCCACCAUCAGCUCGCGAGCCACCUCGGGGAACUGGGCUCGGUCGUUGAUGGAGAGCUCCCAGGACGGGCAGAAGCGGCGGGGGUCGUGCAUCGUGGGGGCUUGGCCCGGCUUCAGGGGAGCGAUGUGGCGGAAGUGCCACAAGCUCGGAGGGGUCGACUCCAGGGCAUGCUCCUCGGCGGAGCCCACGCCCAGAUGGACUGGCCCCCCCGAGGUCAGCGCAAGCGGAGGGGGCUGAGCUGGAACCACCGCGAGCCUCUUCGCGGGCUGGGAGGGCUCGUCCCCUCGCCCCCUCUUCUGCCCGGCCGCCUUCUUCUUGUUGCCGGCAGCCUUCUUGGAGGGGGAGGGGGUUUUCUGCGUUUCCCUCUGGGGGGCUAGGCCGCCCCCAACGGUUGAGGUCGCCCCAGGGCCCUCCUGGGCAGCUUCUGGCUGAGGAGUGGCGGUGGCCUCCUCAGUGGACGCACCCAGCAGCUGGGAGAGCUUCCUCACUGCAACGAACACAACCAGAUAGGUAAAACGGCAGGCAGUUUAAAAGAGCAAGGAAAAACCGACAUAUACUACAAAUGCGACAGGGGCAAAGCCAGCGUUACAGGUGUCGAGUUUGGGUUGGGGGGUAGCCACCUCCCCAGAGGAUCCGGACAUCGUCCCCAUCAGCCCGGCUGCGGAGAUCUGCUCAGUGGAGAUCUUGGUGACAUCGAGCCCCAACAGCUGGCCAAGGGUAUCGAAGUCCAGGCCCUCUGGGUAGGGGUCGGCCUUGACUCCCCCAACCUUCCACACAUUGGGGGGAAAAUGUGUGGACCUGACAAAGAAGAAGUCCUCCUUCCAGUCCUUCACGGAGGAGGGGAGCCCGUAGAACAACUCCUGGGCUCCUUUUCCCCCCUUGGUCUGCGGGCCGCGGCGGGAGAAGUAGUACCACCCCGGGAGGGCGGCCUUAAGAAUGAAGGCAGCUCGGAAGAGGGAGAGAGAGUAAGGGAUGUCGCAGAGAAGGCAGUAGAUCAGGAAUCCGGUGAUGAUCCUGAUGGAGGUGGGAUGAAGCUGUGUGAUUCUGAGCCCCCAGUGGUUCAGAAUCUCGGUUAGAGCUGGAUGGAUGGGGAGACGGAGCCCUGCGAUGAGCUGCUCCCUAUAGAUGGCUAUGAAGCCAGGAGGAGGUCGGCAGGCCCGGUCGUCGGGCCCGGCCAACCUCGGCUCGUAGGCUGGAGGGAUGGAGUACGACCUAGCCAGCUCGCCCAAAUCCUGGGGGGAUAGGGUGGCCUCCUGCAGGUCUGGAUAACCAUAGGAGAAUUCGGGGUCCUCUCCCUGCCCCGAAGCAGGGGUCCCCCCAGAGGAAUCCCUGUCCCCUCCAGCUCCGCCCUGGGCUCCGCCGGGGGAGUCGUGGGGGGACUGGGGGGAGGGGGUGGUCGUGGCCUCCCGCUCGAGGUAGGCGUCAAGCUCGGCCGCCUCCUCCAGAGCGCGGGCAAAAAAAGGAUGGGAUGAAGGAGACUGGGAUGAAGGAGAGCUCAUGGUGUCAGUGGGCUCGAGCAGGUCUGAAGUGUGGAAGCUGGGACUAGAAACAGAAGAAGAGGAAGGGGGAGGAGGAGAAGAUGGUGACGAAAACGAGGGUGAAGGCGAGGAAAGAACGAUGAUCCGGGGGGCUCUGCGGCGGAUUUGAAUUAUAGAGACAGAGGAAGAGGCGCCGGAAUGAUCCGACAUGAACAGCGGGAGGUAGCAGAAGGCACAAGAGACACCGCAAAGAGGGAAGGUGAAACUGCAGGAGGGAACUUACUGAUGAUGUCGAAACAGAAGAUGGAUGGAAGGCUCGCCGGAAUCUGGGUGUGGGACGCCGGAAGUUGCCGGAGAGCGGGAAUGCAAGUGCACAAAAGAGAGAUGGGAGUGCAAAGUGCGCGAGGGAAGGAGAAAACAGCAAAUGGAGUCGGUGGAAAUCCGAUAAUUCCUACUUAUAGGAGGAGAAAUGGGGGGGAAACGGUUGCUCGAAAUCGAACCGUCCCAUGUAAAUGCAUUUAAUGCGGGUACGAAAAUCGAAGGGACGGGACAACUGAAAGGACGCGGGUACAGCGUCCCUGUGACAGCCCUGUGCCGGAGGUGACCUGGGUAAGGUAGUGCGCGGCCCUGGCCUCCCACGUGGCAGAGGUUGAUUAGGUCGGCCUGGCAGCCUACCUAAUCAAGGGGGCUAGUGCAGUGGCCCCGUUCUGGGCCUGGACACGUGGCAGCCCGGACAAGGCCGAGUUGGGCUUCGGCCCUGGGCCCCCGGCAGCCGGCCUGGGCCUCGCUGCUAGGGCUCCUGGAGGGGCGCAGGUCCAUCCCGAAGAGGUCGGGGGCAAUCCCCCUGAGUGCGGGAUAGGGGCUAUCCUGGGCAAGUCCCGAAACGUGCGGAUGUCGGACUCCUUCAUAGGUAUAAAUAAUAACACACCUUCACUGUACAAGGUAUGCUCACUAUAGGCCAAUUACCCCCGGCUGUUACCACUCCCCGUGAACCCUACUCACCGGAGAACUAACUUGGCCGUCGGAGUGCCCUCGGGGACAACCCUCGGGCCCCCCUUCUUCAGUCCAUCUUUGUUUGUUUUGCAGGCUUGGGAAUAGCUCUUCCAUCAGCACCCCGAGCUGAUCAGGUCAGCUCUCCUAGGGGAAGUUCCGUGCUUCUUCACUACCCAAUCUUGAGGUGCUCAAAUUACUCGACCGAUCGUUUGAGGGGGAAAUAUGGGAAAUGGAAGUGGAGAAGUUCCCUAAAGUUCGUUUCUUGAAAUUAGCUUCCCUGGACAUUGUGAAGUGGACGGGUUAUGUGUAUCUGUUUAGCAUCAAGAUCAAGUUGUUCUUUUUCUUAAUAGUUUUUCUUUUUCUUUUUCUUUUUCUUAAUUAGUAUUGGAAGGCUGCAAAAUUUUGGAGGAGAUCCCUGCUUGUUUGGGAAAUAGUUCAACUCUUGAAACAAUUGAGAUGUCUAAAUGUCUCAACUCUACAAGUUACAGUUAAAGCAAAUUCAAGAAGAGCAAAUAAGCAUGGGAUAUACUGAUCUGAAGAUCCUUAUUUCAUAAUGGAUGACCGAUAUUCUCAAGCAUGUUUGGUUUGGGCAGCCACUUCAUUGUACUUCUUUUUUCUUUGACAAUCCAUUACUUCUGCACUACUAAUGGUCUCGUUGCAUCUGUUCAGCAUCAAGAUCAAGUCAUUCUUGUCUUCUUUGUAAGUUUUUCGUUUUUCCUGUGACAGAAUCCUAUAGUAGGAUAUCACUUCCCAAGUUUGAUGUUGUUUGUAAAGAUUCAAAUGAAUGAAUCUCAAAUAAGAGUCAGGCUUUCAAGACUGUUUUGCACUUAUUUGAAGGUAAUACUGCUUAGUUGCAUAUCAACUACUGUUUUGUUCAAUCUAUAGAUACAAUUAAAUUUGUUCGUCAAGUAGAAUAAAUGCCAUUGACGUCCCAUAUUUUCUAGAAUUCAACAGUUUAUUCGUUCUUUUCCAUAAUCUUCGGUUACAAUUUCUGAUCUUUCUGACUCCAAGUAGAACUUUAUUAAACCAUAUAAUCAAUCAGGUAUAAAAUCAAGCACUCAGCAUAUUAAUACCUGUUAUAUAUAGCAGUUUACUCGAAUCCAUUUCUUGAUCCAAUUAUAAUAGUUUAAUAAAUCAGGCAAAAACUGACCUCUUCCACCAUUCAAAAUUUGAAAUAAGUCUUAGAAGAAAACCUAUAAAGAUUUCAGGUCUGCAGGCACAAUCAUUAAAUAAAUAUUAUACUACAAUUUGAAAUUUCAGGGAUAUUGAUGUGCAGGCUAAAGUAAAAGCUCGUCUUUGUCUGAGCAUUCCAUGCAUUUCUUCUGCCAAAAAAAAAAAAAAAAAUUCAAUUCAAGAUAGGACUUAACAAAAUUGGAAUGAAUUGCGCCAAAAAAAUAAAAAAAUGGAAGGGAUUAGAGCAGAUCAGUUCAAGAAAGGCUUCACCAUAACAAGAAAGGGAUCACCCAGGCAACUUCCAAAUCAAAAUAAAACUUAAUGAGGAAGGACAUGGGCCUUUUAAUAGUAGCAUCAUGUAAUGUGACUUGAAGUAAUUUUUAGCUUCUAGUUGUUUCACUUUUCCUCCUUACGGACCUAAAUACCAUGUGGAAGGCAAGUUUUUAAAAGUAAUACUCUUUUUUUUUUAAUUUUUUUUACCCUUCCACCUUUCCCCACUUCCUUUUCACCUCUUACAAAAAACCACAAUAAUUCGAACACUGGACUUGGCAGUUAAGAAGAUUUUAACAAUCCUUUCUUGACCAUUGGUCUAACCCCAGUGAUUAGUAAUACGCUAAUUGCUCAAACAAGUUUAUGAAUUUUCUAAGAACUUAUUUAUCUUUCUUGGUUUGAAGUACAAUUGUAUACCAUUUGGUGCGUGUGUGUGUGUGUGUGUGGGGGGGGGGUGGGUAGGAAGAAAGCCAAAUUAAGAAAGUCUCUCUUUUUUAACCCUUCCCUAUGUCUUUUCCACUCCCAAUUCUUAGGCUUUUAAAUCUGACAUCGACGAAAAUCCAAGUUAAGAGAGCUAAUUGUACUUUGUUGUACAAUUAAAUCAUUAGAUUAUAAAGCAACCAGGUAAAGAAUUAAGAAACCCAACAUUUUAAUACUUUGUUGUAUUGCUGUUUAGCUUGAUCCAUUUCCUGAUUGAAUUGCAAUAAAUCUCAGGAAAAAACCUUUAAAAAUUUUUUUUUAUAGGUUUGCUGCCACAGUUUCUUAAUCAUUUCGAAUUCAUAUGUAUAUAGGUUUGCAGCCUUAAAAAAUAAAAGUUGGAAAAAUCGUUCAAAACGUCCCUCACAUUUUGCAAAAUAAUUUUUUCGUCUCUCACUUUUAUAAGUGUAAUUUUACGUCCCUUACAAAUUUAUAUUAAUCAAAUUUAGUUCCUACCUAAGUUUUUGACUAAUUUUUGGUCGGAAUUUAUCACGUGCCUUGCACGUAAUCAUUUUUUAAGGGCAAAAUUAUCAAAUCAAAUUUUAUAUAAAACCAAUUCAUAGUCCCUCAUAUUUUACAAAAUGAAUUUUUUCAUCCCUAACAUUUUAUUAAAUGAAUUGUUUCAUCUUUGAUAUUUCACAAAAUGAAUUAUUUCAUCCCUCACAUUUUUCAACAUGGAUUUUUUCAUCACUCAUUGAUCAUGUGCACCAAUAACUUUUUUUUUUCCUUUAAACCCAUGUAUAUAUCUAUUUGAUUUCACCUAAAUAAUAUGAAUAACAUAUAAUAUACCUCUAUUUGAUUUCAUCUAAUAGUACGAAUAACAUAUAAUAUUUAUUUUGUGAAAUGCGAGAGAUUAUGAAUCCGAUUAAGUAAAAUUUGAUUUGACAAUUUUGCCUCUAAAACAUGAUCACGUACAAGGUACGUGGUGGUUUCCAACAAAAAACUAGUCGAAAACUUAUGUAGGGACCAAAUUUGAUUAAUAUAAAUUUGUAAGCAACAUAAAAUUACACUUUUAAAAAUAAGAAACGAAAAAAGUCAUUAUGCAAAAUGUGAAGUACGUUUUGAAUGAUUUUUCUAUAAAAGUUAGUUCGUCUUUAAUUUGUCAUAUUUGAACAAUUUCUUGAACACCAAUUACAAACUAAUUCAAGAUACUGUAUCUAAAACGAAAUUCAGCUUCAUUAUAGUAUACUUCUACAUGGUGCUAAUGAAUUGAAAGAAACAAGGAUAUCAUCUUCCAAAUUGGUAGAGAAUAAAAUCAUUUGAUGUCAUUGAUGUCACCAUUAGGGGUUAGUAGUUAAUACACAGCUCGCAUCUGCCGAAUGAGUUCGGCUCUAAUUUAUUUGUGAAAUUUUUUUCAUGUAAAUUGGUAAAAAACUAGAAGUAUUAAACUUAAUUGGACAAGAGCCUUCCUCAUAGCAACUGGAAUAGGAACAGAUAAUAAAUGGAUUUGGGAAAGCAAAUGGAUAAAUGGAUGGAUCAUGAUUUUACACUAUCCAUUUAAAUGACAUCCAUUUAUUAAAUAAUUUUAAUUAAGUUGAAUCAAUUUAAUCCACUAUCCAUUUAACUAAAACUAUUUAUCAAUCAUAUGUUCAUUUUGCCACUUCUAUAUCUCACUAUGUAUUAACAUGAAAUCUUAUUUACCAUAAUACAUUAGUCAGUAGCGUUCCAUGUCAAUUUACAUUUAGAAUUUCAUUUCUUCAACUUGAAAAGUUUGCCUGGAAAAUUUAUAUAUAAAAAAAAGAAUGAUAUUGUCAUUGUUUCUGAUACCAAUUUUAAUGGCGUGAUCUCUCAAUGAUCUUUUGUCUCCAUAACUUUUGACUUUUGAAUGUAACAGACGGUCGUGCUCAGCCCGGCCGCUGCUGGCGCCACCAAUUGCGACAAUUUGCCUUCUUCAUUAGUAAUGGGACAACAAAGAUAUCAACUAUAAAGGCACUCAAAUAAAAUAAAGGCAUUCAAAUAAAAUAAAGGUAGUAUGACCUGUUUUCCACAAGGCAGCAAAAACAUCGUAUAGGAGGUAAAACCGGUCGUCAAUUUCAAGAUAGCUAAACUAAACACAGGUUAGUAUUGGAGUUAAAUCAAGAUUUUAGUACUAUACCAAACGGGAUUUGGUGCAGUGAAGCAGAAAGAUAAUAGAACGCGUAGGUUUUGUAAGGAGUGAUUGCAAAACUCUCAACUUCUUCCUUCUCUUAAUACUGGACUAGACGUACACGAAUGGAGUAAAUAAUUUUAUCUUUCAUAAUUUUGCAUUUUAUUAUACAAUCCUCCUAUUGUUUAAAAAUUUCAAAUUAACCUAUAUGUGAUUUUACAUAAAGCCGGAAAUAGACUAAAAGCAACUAUAGUCACGGUGAUCAACCUAUAUGCACGCUAGCUAGAAACGUGGAAUAUGUGAAAAUAUGGAAUUGCCACUUAUUCCCCUUAUGGCUUCGCAUUUGGCCAGAUAAUCCCCUGUUAAUUUUAUGUAAAGUGGUUAGACACUUGUUGUGCUUAAAUAUUAACUAAUGCUUGGAGAUACUUCUUUUUUUUUGGGGGGGGGGUCAAUUUUUCCACUUUACAUGAUGCUACAAAAGAGUUAAAUGGAUAUUGUUGAAUACAGUGGUAGAACCAAAAACUUUAGUUUAGGGGAGGCCAAAAUCCAACAUAUAGUAAUAACACAUAUUAUAGCAUAUAAAGCAUGGUAAAUUUAAAAUGACAAUUAAGGAUUUCAAUAAUAAAAGACAAAGUAUAAACCAAACUACAAAAUUUGGAUUUCCUACCAUUCUAUUUCCUAUCAAUGCAAGAAAUAACUACCUAAUAUAGUGAUAGAUUAAUAAUUCAUAUUACUGGCUUCGUUUUUUUUUCUUACAUUAAUAGAAGCAAUAAUCAUUACGUAGUUCUAAAACAACAAACUCAAAAUAAAAAUAACUAUUUCAAAAUUAAUAAUACAAUUUAAAAUAUAAUACAAGAAAGUUUGAAGGAAAUAAAAAUAAAAACUUGCCUUGCAAAACUGGAGUUUGAGAACAGUUGAUACUUGAAGCAUAAUAAUGGAGCUUAUAAAGAGUCGAUCCUUGGGAAGCUAGAUAAAAAGUUGUGACUUUGUACUUUUUAACUAAUCCUCGUACAUUCUUAAUUCAUGCGAAUUCUAUUACCUUUUAUUUCCUUUAUUUACUUUUAUCUAGUGUUUUUUUAGUUGUUAUUUUUUCGUUGUAAGCUGUGGAUGAAUUGAGCAUUUAACAAAUAGUUUGAACUCAACACAUUAAGGGCUCGAUUUGAGGGUGGAUUUUUGGCAAGCUCGAGUACGAGUUCAAACAAUAUAAUAAAAGGAGGAAAUAAUAUAAUAUCUAGCAUGUAAUAUUGAAUUGAACUUAAUCUCAAAUUUAGAGCUCGUAUAAGAUUUGAGUUCGAAUUUGAAUUUAUCUAAUAUUUUUAAUCGAGUCCAAUGGGUCAAAAGUUUGAUUCGAUUCAUUUAUAAGCCCAUUUGUACUAGUGCUACACUAAUACGAGAAGGAAAUAAGAGUUUGUUUGGUAUAAGAGUCUUAUAGAAAGAGUAAUUAAAGGGGGCAAGAAAUAAAUAAAUGUAUGAAGAGUAAUCAAGAGGAAGAAGAAAUAGAUAUGCAUGUUGGGGGAAGGGGAAGAGGGAGGAGAUUAAUCUAUCUUAGAUAUAAUGUCUCAGUCCCUUUAGGAUUAUUCCGAAAGUUUUGGGGGUUGUUGGGGGGGGGGGGGGGGAGCGAAUGGGCUGCUCCUCCCCAGCCCCCUGUUCCAUCCUUGGUUGAAUAAUAAGGGAUUUGUGAGGUAUUAAGAACAUACCCAUGCAAAUUUGGUGUACUUAAACAAAAAUAUAGAUUACCAAAAUUGUUGACGUACAUUUAUUUGAUUUUGAAUAUUACUUAUUGUGAUUUUUCGUUAGUUGUCUUAAAUUGCGUUGAAGACAAAUUUUGUUUUAAUCGAAAUAUUAGAUGGACUAAAUAUUGGGGACCAGAACUGUACUUUUGUUGCAUUUCUGGUUCAAAAUAGUUCUUGUCUUUCUCUUGGGCAUUUUCUAAAUAAACGGUGAUUUGAAUGGAGCUUGUUACGUGAACAUUUGCCCCCCUGGCAUCUGUCAAUGGAAGUACUCAUUCAUGGGUGAACAAUCUUGGAUACAAAUUUUGAAUCCUUUACGAAACUGAAGAGUCUGAAAGGAAAUGCGCAUGCUAAACAAAUAUUGAGAUCAAGGCAUCUAAGCUGAAUUCUGGUCCGGAUACAAGCUUUCAAGGAAACUUUCACAUUAACCAAUAAAAUUAAAAUUGACAGAAGGUGCAAGGUCUCUUUCAAUCAGAAUAAUUGCUUGACAAUGGUCUGAUUGCAGUAAUAAAAAAAUUUAUUAGGUUGCAAACUGAUAAUAUAUAAAAAAGGGAUUCAAUAUUGACACAUUGUCAUCGUUGUAAGACCACUUUUCUUGGCUUAUCUAUCAAUGAUCUUGUCUGCAUAAUCUUUUGAAAUAACCUACAAUUCUGCUUCUGGCCGGCUGCUGCUGCACUUGCCUCAAUGAUCACGUCUCCAUAAUUCUUUAAAAUAAUCUACAAUUCUGCUUCGGACCGGCUGCUGCUGCUGCUGCUGCUGCUGCACUUGCACUUGCGAAGAUGUCAGAGUCAUUAGUUGGCCCGCAAAUAUAGAUGUCACCUAAUCAUGAUGUUAAUGAUAUGUCAUAAUUUGUUGCUAAAUUUAUAAUUAUUUUUCUGUUGAUUUUAGCUAAAUAUUGUAUUAAUUGAUAGAUUUUAUUUAUAUUUGGUGUUUCAUAUUAAUUAUAGAGUAUUGGAGCAAAAAGUGCUUAAAUGAAGAUUUUUGAUAAUUUGCACGCGGGGCACGCCUAAACUCAUUGCUCAAAGCCGAAAAGUCGGGAUUGAUAUUGGGCAGUCUCCCAAUCCGAGUCACCUUCCUAAUUUGUUAGCUGCCAAAACUUUACUUAUUUCAAGGGAUCAUUCUCAAGGAAAAGGAAAGCUGGAGGAAAUUGAUUUGUAAUAGGAAUCUUUUUAGGAGUUGAAUUGGUAUUAGGAAACCAAUCAAUUAGAUAAUUGAGUCAAGUCAAAUUUUGGCAGACAUCAUUCAUCAUCGUUUUGCUAGAGAUGAAAAGCAGCGUAGUGCUCUUGUCUUUACUUUUUCCUUUUGGCCGAUUUUGAGAGAAAAAUAAUUUGAAAGCUUCAAACAGAUUUUUGCAUGGCCUAAUUUCAUAUUUCUAGUCAAGGAAACAACUGAAGAUUUGGUUCAACAAUAACCGUGAGAUCUAAAUUAUUUUAAUUGCUUCUUUCAUUUAUUGGUAUUUGUAUGUUUUCUGUUUUUAGUGGCUAUGACUAUUGUGUAUCAUUGAAUAGUUACGCAAUAUUUAAUUAUUCACGGAGUCUAUCUGCUAAUUGGGAGUAGUUAAAUCCGUAAUUGUUUGAUUACUCUCAUCCCGGUAGCAACUGGCAUAAUUGGAUUUGUAUCGGGAAAACGUAUAAUCUAAUUUAAAUAAACCCUCAUAACAUGUUUAUUGAUUAGAGUAGGGUUUCUCUAGUUCCAAUGCAAUUAAAGAAUUAAAUCCUAUGGUCGUACCUAGGAUUAUUCCUAGAUUAGAGAAAUAGUCAACGGUCAUACCUUGUCUAUCGAAAUAGUAACGAGAAACUAACUGUCAGAUCGUAUCGGCAAUUAAAAACCUACUUAUUAAUAAAUGUUGAAAUUAUAUUUGAAUCAAUGAUCAGUUGCAUGAACCAUCUCUAAAGUGUAUCAUUGGCUAGAGUCUUCCCAAUUAUCUCUCUAUUAAUUAUUUUUUGCAGUUGAUUAAUUUAGUUAACAAUUCAUUAGCGUUAAAUUCUCAAACCCCUGUUUGCCUUGAUUUGAAAAGGAACGAAUUUCUCCCAGUCCCCUGAGGAUAUGACCCUACUUGCCCUAUAUACAAAUUAGAGAUUUCUGGUGAAUAAAUUCUGGUAUAUCGGAUUAAGCAAACUCUUCGCAGCCAGGGUGAAUCAAGUAACCCAUUGCACAUCUAGAGUCCCCGCUCUAGUACUGAAAUUGACACAAAAUUGCUUUAUUGGCACUUAGGAUUAUUAUUAUUAUUGCACAGGUUUGACACCUGUCAGUUAACCAGCUACGUGUGCACAUCAGGAGUAUUAUCACUAUAUAUGCCAAAAAUCUUGCGAUCUAGAUAACUUUUUUUUUUUUUUUUGAUAAACGAUAUAAUAUCAUACAAUGAAAUAUGCACUAAUGUGGCAGAAAAUACUUUAAUUAUAUCACAGAUAUAAUAAAUCUGAAGAAUCACUACAUCUAAUAGAUCUAGAAAAUUAUAAAAAUUACAUUGUGAAACUCAACAAAUUUGAAAUUUAGAAUAUUUAUGUAUGCCAAUGCUAUCUGAUUUACUGUCCAACUGGUUUAAACUCAAAUUGGAUGUUGAGAUCUAAUAAAAUGACCUAAGAAAUUCCAACGAUCUAGAAAAAUUCACCCUAGGGUUGAUGAAACAUAUGAAAGUAUACAUGUUAAAACAUCAAUAAAUAGAUUACACGAAAUGUUCACUAAUUAACUAUUCAUUAGGGAUUAGUACCACCUAAUUUUUUUCAUUUACAUGUCCAAAAAUCCAAAAAGAUUCAUCAGAUAGCACUCGUCAAUGUGUCAAGAAUAGGACCAAAAGGAAAUACAAGCUUUCAUAUAAAAUACCAGUAUAACCCUAGUUUCCCUCAAUAAGAAAAAUAGUUCAGCUAUAAAGGGGUUUCACAGUUUCAGGGUGGGUUUGUACAGGAGAUAUAACCAAGGGUGUUUGCUUGUAAUUAACCAAGAAUAUUGUGUUACAUAAGCUGCGGAACGGUAAGAUUUUCUACAGUCAUAUCAUAAAACAGAAAUAUUGUUCCAAAAUUUACAUAAUUUUAGUGUUCAUUUGACAUGAACUUUAACAAAAUGCCAAGAAAUUGGAAAAAAUUGACAAUUUUGGCCAUAGGUUACUGAGCUAAUUUCUCCUCAUAUUGAACUUGAAUCUCAAAGUUCUUUCUCUGCAAAAUGAUUUUAAGAAGCUAGAAAAUGGUAAGCAUGUUAUCUCAUCAGCCCAGACAACUCAAUUAAGAUUUUGAAUAGAUUUAGUAACCAGUGGAGCACUUUACCCUAGUUUUAGAUAGGGGUGGCAAUUCCUGACACGACCCGAAAAUAUGACACGAACCUAACACGAAAUUAAUGGGUUUGGGUUGAAGUUUCGGGGAUUCGGGUCAAAAUCGGGUCGAACCCGAUGAACCGGAAAAAAAAAACAGGUCGAUUUCGGGUCAACCCGUGGUGAUCUGAUAUGACCCGAUAUAACCCGUUUACGAAUUAAAAAUAAUUUAAUAAACAUAAAAUUAUUUUAUCUAACUAAACUAAAUAGUCUAAAUCAUUCUUUUUUCAAAGGUAUUAAUUACUUAAUCCUAAAUGAAUUUAUUUAACUUGUGUGAAGUUGAAAUUAUUAUAUUUGGAUAAAUAAUAUAUUAUGUUAAUUUUUACUUUUAUGCUAUUUUAUAUUUGGUUUGGGAUAAAACACUUUUACGGUGUUUAAUUUAUUUUAGAUUUGGUUUGAAAUUAUUUAUUUAAAUUUUUAUUACUUGAUGAUGUAAUUAAUUUUGUGAGAAAUUGAUUUUAUUAGAAAUUACAGUGAUAAAUUAAUAAAUUAAAAUUAAGUUUCGGGUCAUUUCGGGUCGACCCGCCAACCCGAAAUUUUCGGGUUCGUGUUAUGUAUCCUGACCCAUUUCGGGUUGGCGGGUCAGGUUCGGGUCAGUGGAUUUUUUGUUAUACUUGGGUCUCAACCCGACCCGUCAACCCGAACUCGACCCGAUUGCCACCCCUAGUUUUAGAUAUCAACUUCAUGUUUCCAACACCUCCCCCACCCCCAGCCCCAAAAAAAGUGUUAUGAUUAAGUUCUCAAGCCACUUGAACAAUGAUUUACACAACAUGUUAAUUAAAAUUUUCUUAAGUGAUGAUUUUCUUAUGUGACUUAAAACAUCCCAAAAGAUUUUGUCUCGUAACAUUUAGAAUUGUGUCUGUAAUAGACCAAAAAGCAAUGAAGGCUUUCAGAUAAAUUAUUAGUAUAGGCAGUGUUGCCUCGACAAGAAAAACAGGUAAGAAGGGCGUUGAAUGUUGAGAUUCUGAAGACAAGCUUCAAAUGUCCAAAUGUCUGAAUGAUACAUCUAACUGGCUAUGAAUGCAGACCAUACACAAGUUAAUAACAAUAAGGCUCAAAAAAAUAACAAUAAAGAGAAAAAAAAGUGUUCCAUGUCCCCUGUCCCUCCCAACAUCAAACGUGUUAUCUUGUUUUAUUUUUCUCUUUAUCUAUUACUAUUACUAUUACUAUAUUAAAAGUAUGACGAGACUUGGCAUUAUAAGUUGUAAGCAAUUUUUUAUCUUAAUUUAUGCUGUUUCCAUAUUACCCCAAGUUAUUGUAUUUUAAUUGUGGUAGUAAUUAAAAUAUGAAACAGUCCAAAUGAAUAUAUCUCAAUAAUAAUGGUAAUUAAAAUGAAAAGCUCCCAAUUAAAACUAUUUACCCACUCUUACAUUUCAUCUCCAAUUUUUAUGUGCAUCAAAGUUUCUUAUUCGAAACAAUUUCUUACUCAAAAUAGUUUGACCAAUUUCAUUAACCACAAUUUUAAGAUUGUAAAAAAAUAUUAAUAUAAAAAAAAUAGAUGCUCUUAGAACAAAAGAGAAUAAGAAAAGAGUCCAUAUUCAUUUGGAGAAUCAUGAUAUGAAUAUCAUGAGACAGGUACAUAAUUAUGUGCCUUCUAUCAGUAUAGAGAAAUACUAAAAAAAAGCAAAAAUAAAAGAAUCCAACUAUUUCUAUCAAUUGAAACUAAAUAGCCACUAAAGCUGUAUAAAUCAUUAUAUUCUUAUCAACCACGAUAACACUUAGAAAAAAUGUCAAUAAUCGAAAUUCAACAAUGCAGCUCAUAUUAUUCAAUUCAAAUUCACAAAAUUCUUUGUGAAAAGUUCAACUGGAAAGAUAUAAAGUAAAAUGUUCAUGCAAAGUUGGAUAUGAGCACGAUUUAUAUAUUUUAUUCUUAAAUAAUUAAUUCAUUCUAACUAUACAAUUGCAUUUCAUUUGUCUUAGCAAGGGAAAAUAAUAUUUAAAAUGUUGAUACAAAUUUUUUUAUCUCAUAAAAUUUGUUGAUUUCAUCAUAAACUUAACUUUGGGGUUUAUCUUUAAGCAAGAAAAGGCAUGUCUAGACUCUGGUUCGUAAACAAGCUUUCCAAAAGGGUAAAGAAAGGGGUGAGUGUGGUGAAAAUAAUUAGAAUGACAAAAUCUAACUAAUCAAUUUAUUUAUUCUAAUACCCCUUUAGAAAUUGAUUUUACGAUUUAAGUCUUUAUUUUACUAAUAAUUAAGAAUUCUAUUUACUAGGCUCACACUUGACAUGUAUGCAUAUAUUUCCUGUUUAGCAAUUUUUUUGUACAAUAUUUAAAAAAUUAAUAUUAUGAUUUUAUGGUAAAAAUAUUGUGAGUAUACAACAACUUUGGUGAAAAAUAACUGAAUUAGGAAUUAUUUAUCAAAGCUGAAUCCAUAAUUUGCCAAAAAGAUCGACAUAAAUUAAAAAAAGAAAACUCAAAAUAAAUUCAAAAAUAAUUGAUCAAAGAGUUCAUAUUUAAAUGGUCUUUGGAAUAAUAAUUGGUUAAUGAAAAUAUGACAUGUUUUAUUAUCAGGUAAACAAUCAAAUUUCACAAUAUAUAUAUAUAAGACAUGUUAUAUAUGGGUUAAUAUAAUCACGUGCAAAGUACGCAAACUAAUACUAGUUUAUUAAAUGGAUUGUUGAUUGAAUUCUUGUUGUUAAUUUCAAAAUUAAAUUAAAGUCCUAUUUCAUUGACAUAAGCAAUUAUAUAUAACGUGCAAGAUUAAUCAAAAUAAUUUGGCAGUAUGGUGUGAUUGACCCGGUUGCGAAAUUAGUGCUGCUAGAUGUAUUAAAAGAUUAUUAAGAGCGUAAUUAAUGCUGUAUUGUUCAAACAUUUGGACUAAUGAUUAAUGGUCUUGCAAUGGAGUCGUUUUCUAUAAUUUUUUUUUAAAAAUAAUCCAAGAAAUGUCCAUUGACUAUUUGUCCCUUCUUUUCCAUAUACUAGCAAUCUAUGACCAGAGAAAGAGAAGAGCACUCGAUAGUGAGGUUUUGCAGUUCUUAUCUCUUUUCACAUUUGAGAGUUGUCUCAUCUCUAAAUUGAGAUCUCUGCUGGUUCUCUUAUUAAUCUUUGAUUAGAUGGCCUCCAGUACUAUAGUAUUACUUGUAUUUCUUCCGCUUUGGAUUGGAUGCUUUUCAUCCAAUUUUUAAUUUAAUUGAAAUCAUAGGAAUUUAUGAUGUAGGUUUUUAAAUCAGAGAGAGUUAAAUUAAACAUUUAACAAAUCACAAGAAGUUUUUGAUAUUUUACCCUUUUAAUUUUGAUUGAGAUAUGUGAUUCCUCUGUUUUCCAAUGCGCGCAUGAGCUGUGUGAAAAUUGAAAGUUUAACAAACGCCAAACCAUUAAGCUGACAAAACAUUUUUGCGAUUGAUUAAACAAGAUUUUAAUGAUUAAAGGGAGUCCUUUUUGAUUGGUUAGACAGCCGCAGGAAUGACUAGUUGUCAUUUACUUUCUGGACACUAGCAAUCAACGUACAGAAAAGAGGAGAGCACUUGUUUUUGAGGUUUUGCAGAUCUUUCUCGUCUCCUUUCAUAUUUGAGAACUGUUUCAUCUCUUAAAUUGAGAUCGAUACAUUCUGGUUCCCUUGUUGAUAUUCCCUUAAUUAGAUGGCCUCCACUAGUAUCACUUGUAUUUCUUCCAUCUUGGAUGAUGUGCAAGCGCUGGAGAACGAUUAUCCAGAAUUUCCAAAUUGGCCGCAGAAGUACCUGAGACGCAUGAGACACAUGCUAAGAUAUCUGAGAACAUUUCUUCUGUGUGCGAGAAAAUACAGCAACGAUGAUGUGCAAUUACUAUUUGACAACAAAAAGAACCCGGCAAAUAAUCAUCAUGCAAGCCUAGAAGCUCUGGCAGUUCGGAUUGGAGAAGCCAUUCCCAAGUGGGGAAAGGAGAUCCAAUCUUCUGAUCAGCCUUGGAAAGUGGUCCAUGAUUUAGAAAAAGACAUGGAAUCCUUCGAACAAGAAAUUUGCGAAUGGUACGUCUUUUUCUUGGGUUCCUCGUCACGGCAGUCCAGUAAUUCGGUCGCUCGAAAAGAUGACCUUAUGGAAUUCAUGGAUUCUCUUCUGGAGAAUCUAGUGAAAUAUCAUCCAAGGAGUCGGCUGGCACAUCAAGUUGGACUAAUUAAAGCCCUUGAAGAGAAGCUGGCGUUCAUGAAAAACUUCAUCCGUUUUCUCACACUGCAUGGCGUUGAAAACACAGAAUUGGGACCUUUGUUGGUUCACACUGAAGCUGUGGCUAUCAAUGCAGCAGGCCUCUCUUAUAAGUUCCAGUUUAAGAAGGGUUUCGGAUCGCCCAAGGAUAUCAAGGAAAGCAUUUCGGAACUGCCGCAGAAGAUUAUUCCUGUUGAACCGCAAGUCCUUGAGACUUGUAUCCAGGUCCUGAUUGCUUCAAAAUUAUCAAGACAAUCAUACGGAGAUACAGAUGAGCGCAUAUUGAGAGACUUCUACCAUUCUCUCCUGUGUAAUCUUUGGGAGAAACUAAAGCAUGGUACUUGUCCUGUGAUUUUGCGUCAACUACAAAUGUUUUACGAGGGGCUCAAUUCCUUGAGAACCAUUUUGAAGGAGAAGCCAAAGGAGUUCGAUGAGAAAGUAAGAGAUCCUACUCGAGUCGUGAAAUGUUAUGGAGGAGAUUUUAUUUCCCCACUCUCACUGAAUGCAAUCAAAGACGCUAUACAAGCCAAGGAUAUGGAUAUCGUGUGUUCUGAGUUAUUGGAAAUAAUUAAGCUCAUCGAUGCAGUAAUCACGGAGAAGUGUCCAGAAUCAUCAUCAUUCACUUUUCCUACGACCAACGGACUGGGCUUUGUUGAUUCCCUUCUAGAAAAGAUGAUGGAUGUGACAAGUUCUGAGGCUGGCUCGAUUGCUUUGAUCGAUCAUUCAAUUGAAAAAGUCCAGGAAGUACUUGUUUGUUUACGUUCUUUGCUGUGGAAAAUUGUGGAGCUGCAAAAUGAAGAUGAGGAGGUCCAGGCAAUUUGGAAUCGUAUUGUUGGGGUGGCAUACAGGAUAGAGCUUCUUAUUGACUCCUUAAUAACUGGAAAUAUCUUAGAUUCUUCUUCAAUGUCUAUUCAUUCCAUUUUAGAAGAAAUGAACAUCAUUAAAGCUGCGGCCUUGAAGAUUUGUGAUAGCGAAAGACUUGGUGGAAAAGUUAGCGAAGUAACGAAGAGAUUCAAUCACAUGCCACAAGAAGGAAGUAAGCCAAUAGUCAAUGAUGUGGUGGUGGGAUUCGAGGAUGAGACGGCAUCGAUAAUCAAUGGACUCAUAAAUGGAUCACGCCAAGUGAAAAUUGUUUCAAUUGUGGGCAUGCCGGGAUGCGGUAAGACAACUUUGGCUAGAAAAGUGUACAAUGAUUUUUCAGUGAAGUCCCAUUUUUAUGAGCGUGCUUGGUGUACUGUUUCUCAAAUAUAUCAAAAGAGAAAUCUGUUGCUUCAAAUUUUGACUUGUAUUGAGUCCAAGCUUCCUGAGGAUGUUUUUAAGAUGGGUGAAGAAGAUCUGGCUCUUCAAGUCAGAAGACGUUUGCUGAAAAACAGAUAUCUCGUUGUUUUGGACGAUGUAUGGGACAUUGAUGCAUGGAACGGAUUGGAAGCCUCAUUCCCUGAUGAUGGAAUUGGAAGCAGAGUUAUCUUGACAAGUCGGCUCCGUGGUGUUGCUCCGCAAGCCAAACUCGACCAUGAACCGUAUUCUCUUCCUCAACUCACUCCUAAUGAGAGCUGGGAUUUGCUAAAAGGGAAGUUAUAUCCUGGACAAGAUUUGGCUCCUCCAGAACUAUGUGAAAUUCGACAGCAAGUAGUGGAAAUGUGUCAAGGACUACCUCUUACGGUUGUCAUUCUUGCCGGAAUUCUCUCAAGGAUGGACCGAUAUGGUUGGAAAGAAGCUGUGGAAGGUUUACGUUCAAGGAAUGUUUCUAGUACAGAACAAUGUACCGCUACAUUAGAGCUGAGUUACAAACAUUUACCUGAUAAUCUGAAGGCAUGUUUUCUUUAUUUUGGAGCCUUUCCAGAAGACCAUGAACACAAUACCAGGAGGUUGAUUUCUCUAUGGGUCGCUGAAGGUUUUGUUCAAAAAACUCAGCUCAAGAGAUCAGAGGAUGUGGCAAAUGAUUACCUGAUGGAACUUAUUAGCAGAAGCUUAGUCAUAGUUUCGAAACCAAGAUCCAUUGAUGGGGUCAAAACUUGUCGCAUUCACGAUUUGUUAUAUGAGUUUUGUGUGACAAAAGCCAAAGAAGAAAAGCUUUUGCAGCUUGUUCGUAGGUAUGAUGACUUAUCUGCUUGCACUGUGCCAUGCUACCUACGCCGCUUAUGCAUUAUUGAUUCUAAGGUCGAGCACUUUGACAACUUGAGGUUAUUUUCUCCUGCCAUACGCAGUCUAUUUUUAUUCAGUCACGAUGAAGACAGUAAUAGUUUUGACCUUCGAUUCAUUUUUCACAUCAUCAAACUUGUCAAAGUGUUAGAUUUGAGCCAAAUUGGACUCGACCCCUUUCCUAGAGAGGUAGAACUGCUUGUUCACUUGCGCUACUUGGCGAUUCUAGGUCGAGGUAAAAUCAGUCUCCCAUCAUCAGUAUGCAAUCUCCCGAAUUUGGAAACUUUGAUUUGGCAAAAUUCUUCAACUCAUCGUUCAGUUUCACUACCAGAUACCAUAUGGAACCUGAAGAAACUAACGCAUUUACAACUAAUUGAUGAGGUCGAUAGGCAUUAUUGUUUUUUUUUCCCUAGAGACAAUCUUGACAACUCGUCACAGUUGCGUGACUUAGAUUUCUUGUCCUGUUUGUCUCUCGAUCCUGAGGAAAACAUCAGCAAGCUGUUGAGAAAGUUUCCAAAUAUCCGCAAACUGAGAUGCUCUGUCAAUCUCAAGCCAGAUGUUGAACAUCAUGUAGCAAUGGAUUGUCUAAGUCAGUUGGAAUCACUCAGUCUGAGUCGCGUCCUAUACGGUUAUCAGCAAUUUCAUAUAGAUUUCCAAUUUCCUUUGAGUAUUAAAAGAUUGACCCUGACUUAUUUUGGCAUGCCGUGGAGAAAAAUGGCAGCAAUUGGAAAUCUGCCAAAUCUUGAGGUGCUCAAAUUACUCGAGGAAGCCUUUGAGGGGGAAAUAUGGGAAAUGGAAGCAGAGAAGUUCCCUAAUGUUCGCUUCUUGAAAUUAGCUUCCUUGAACAUUGUGAAGUGGACAGCCUCCUCCGAGUAUGAGUACGAGGACCAGGACUAUUUUCCUCGUCUCCAGAAGUUAGUGUUGGAAAGCUGUGAUGCAUUGCAGGAGAUCCCUUCUUGUUUGGGAAAUAGUUCAACUCUUGAAAUAAUUGAGGUGUCUAAAUGUCCCAACUGUACCAGUUCAUUGGAGGAAAUUCAGGAAGAGCAAAGAAGCAAUGGAUAUACCGAUCUGAAGAUCCUUAUCUCAUAAUGGACGAUUGAUCUUCUCAAGUAAGUUUUUUAAGUCCUUUACUUGGUGUACUGCUACGGGUUAUGUGUAUCUGUUUAGCAUCAAGAUCAAGUUAUUCUUUUUCUUAAUAGUUUUUCUUUUUCUUUUUCUUAAUUAGUACUGGAAAGCUGCAAGUUUUUGGAGGAGAUCCCUUCUUGUUUGCAAAAUCUAUCAACUCUUGAAAAAAUUGAGGUGUCUAAAUGUCCCAACCGUACCAGUUCAGUGGAGCAAAUUCAGGAAGAGCAAUUAAGCAGGGGAAAUACACUGAUCUGAAGAUCCUUAUUUCAUGAUGGAUGAUUGAUCUUCAUUCUACUUUUCUUUUUUAAUCCUUUACUUCUGUACACAUACUGGUAAAGUUGUAUCUGUUGAGCAUCAAUCAAGAUCAAGUUGUUCUUGUUUUCAUUGCAAGUUUCUUGUUAUUCCUGUGACCGAAUCUUGUACUGCGACGUAAUUUUUUAAUACUCUGCUUGCACAACUGAGUUUGCAAAUUUUCCAAGAACUUAUUUGUCUUUAUUGGUUUGAACUUUGAAUUACAAUAAUAUACUAUUGGGAGAUUUCCGGUAGUUAACAAAAUAACUUUUGAUACAAGCACGUGCCAAAUAACGUUUUAAAUUGUUCUAAAAUUGAUAUCUUGAAAAGUACUGUAUAAUUUUCAAAAUACAAAAGGCCUCCCAAAAUAGGUAACAUUUAGGAAAAAUGUAGAGGGCAAGGUAUAAGUGGAACAUUUUUUAAGAGAUUUUAGCAUAAUUUUUAGGGCCACCCCAACUUAUAUAGUUUAACGGGACAAAAUGUGGUAUGCUGGUGACAAAAUUAAAGUAACCAAACUUGGAAAACUUACAUAAGCAAAGUUUAGCUAGCGCCAAAUGCAGCAAAAUGUUUGAAACAAUGAGGAAGUAUGAUUGUGUAGUCACUAAUUAAAAAGGUUCAUAAUCUAUGCUAUCCUGUCCAUCUUGUAAUCAAUCUAAGACAAGAAAUUCAGCUACCAAAACAUGGUACAAUGUAAUUCUAAAUGGGACUAGUAAAUUGAAGGAAACAAUGAAAUCAUCUAGCAAACGCACUAAACAUGCAAUAAAAUCAUUUGAUGCUAAUAUCACUUAAUCCACCAAACCAUCCAGGCUCCACAUCUGCUCGAAAGUUGACUCUAGAGGGUGGUUGUGAAGCAAGUAGAACAUCCUUAAUGUUGUUUAGGAUUCCUUUGUCAUAGGGGUUUCCCGAGUUCACAUACUUUUGGUGGAAAUGCUCAUAAGAUGUUUGCACGAGGCAUAAUAUAGAAAUUGCAUCAUAAUUUGUUUAAGCAGCUAUUUAGACUGGCCUUCUAUGUUUAUAUGCCAAAGCAGAAAUUAAUUACCUCAAAGCUGUGCACUUUAAAUAAUUGUUGUACCGAAAAUUCAGUACUGUUCUCAAAAGAAUUGCCCAUUAAUUAAUAUAUUUGACAUAGACGAAAUACAAGCAUGCAAGAAAAAUAUGCAUUAAUUCAACUUUGAGAUAAACCGUGAUGAUAUAAGUACUGUUGGCAUAAAUGAAAGUAUAAAGGGCAAACCUGGUUUAUAGCAAUUAGAUAAACAUGAUAACAAGAAAAGCCGGCAAGAAAACUCAUGGCUACAAAACUGAAUAAUGUCAAUGCCACAGUCUCCGGGUCAUUUCUUAGCAAUCCAAUCACCCCAUUUCCAUCUCCGGGCAAUUUGUGAUGUACUGAUUUGCACGAGGAGAUAAAUAUGAAGGCAAACAAGAGCAAUCCUGUCAAUAAAAAUGUUACAUGAAGCCAAUAAUUCCUCUGCAUUUUGAAAGAAAAAAAAUUAGGAAGUUAUGGUUAGUAAACUAAUUUUAAUGCCAGAAGGUCUUGCAGGGUUGUGAUCAUACAUACCAGUCCCACGCAAUGCCCGAUCCAGGUGUGUUAGGACCGGCCCAAGAAUAAACAAACUAAAGUUAGCACAAAUUAGGCGAUAUAACCGACCAUAUAAAGAUUAGGCGGUAGACACCAGCCAUAUAAUAAUUAGGCGGUAAAACCGACCAUAUUAAAGGGUUGUGGCAACCCAAUAAAGACAAAUAAUUAAGCAAAUAAAAGACGCAGAAGAUUUACAUGGUUCGGUCAAAUUGACCUACGUCUACGAGCAGAGGAGGAGCAAUAUUUCUACUAUGAAAAAGAAAUACGAAAGUCGUAGGAAAGUGGUUCUUAGUCCAAAAGGCACUUAUAAAAGGUUUAGGACCAUAUAAAAGGGUUGUGGCAACCCAAUAAAGACAAAUAAUUAAACAAAUAAAAGACACAGAAGAUUUACGUGGUUCGGUCAAAUUGACCUACGUCUACGGGCAGAGGAGGAGCAAUAUUUCUACUAUGAAAAAGAAAUACAAAAGUCGUAGGAAAGUGGUUCUUAGUCCAAAAGGCACUUAUAAAAGGUUUAGGAAAUAUUCCUAAAUACAAAAUAAGAGAGCCUAAAAUAUUUGACUAUAAAUGGGUUAGAUGACUCAAGAACCUAAUAGUCCAUAUAACUCUCUUGAGUGGGGCACUUGAAACUAACCAAAGGCUCCUAUAUUUAUAGCCUUCAGUAGCCGACUUCUCCUUGGCAUUAUUCGAUGUGGGACGAAGCAAAAGAAGCAUCGGUCAACAAAUGCGGUUUCAACAAAUCUCCACCUUGAUGAGUCUCUAACAUUGAGAAAUAGCAAAUCUAUUCCACCUUCGCAGCCCCAAUAGGCCUAAAUCACAAACAACGAACAUCAACCAAAUCUAAGCACUGCUUGAACUUGUAAACUGGAAGAGGCUUCGUAAACAUAUCACCUGGAUUGUCCUUGGUAUUGAUUUUCUGAACAAGGACCUUUCCUUCAGCAAUGAUAUCUCGAAUGAAGUGAUACUUCACAUCAAUGUGUUUCGUUCUCUCAUGAUACAUCUGAUCUUUAAUCAAGUGUAUGGCACUUUGACUAUCAUAGUGAAUAUCAGUAUAACACCUUGAUGUAAACUAAACUCGCUAAAUAAACUCUUCAACCACAAGGCUUCUUUGAUUGCCUCGGUCACAGCCAUAUAUUAUGCUUCUGUAGUAGACAAAGUUACGACAGGUUGUAGAGUAGCUUUCCAACUAACAGCACAACCGCCAAUACAAAAUACAUAAGCUGAAAGUGAUCUUCUUCUGUCAAGAUCCCCAGCGUAGUCUGAGUCUACAAAACCAACCAAAGUGUUAUUAUUUCUUCCAAACUCCAAACAUGCAUUUGAAGUACCUCGCAAGUAUCUGAGAAUCCACUUCACAGCCUGCCAAUGUACUUUACCAGGGCAAGAUAUAUAUCUGCUAACAACACUGACUGCUUGUGCAAUAUCUGGACGAGUACAAAUCAUUACAUACAUAAUACUGCCGACUGCACUGGAAUAAGGAACCCGUGCCAUAUACUCUUCCUCUUCAUCUGAUUUUGGUGAUUGAGCAGCAGAUAGCUGAAAAUGGCUAGCAAAAGGAGUAGAUACUGGUUUAGUAUCUUUCAUGCCAAAACGCUCCAAAACUUUCUCAAGAUAAUUUUUCUGGGUAAAAAACAACUUCCCUACUCCUCGAUCUCUCUUGAUAUCCAUGCCAAGAAUUUUCUUAACUGCUUCCAAAUCUUUCAUAUCAAAUUCAUUAUUUAACUGCAGUUUUAAAGUAUGAAUUUCUGACAAAAUCUUGGCAGCAAUGAGCAUGUCAUCAACAUAUAAUAAUAAGUAAAUGAAAGAAGUAUCAUUUAAUUUCCGGAAGUAAACACAACUAUCAUACAUGCUCCUUAAAUAACCAUGACCCAACAUAAAAGAAUCAAACCUCUUAUACCACUAUCUUGGAGACUGAUUCAAUCCAUAUAAGGAUUUCUUCAAUAAGCAAACAUGGUCUUCCUGACCUUCAAUUUCAAAACUCUGGGGUUGUUUCAUAUAAAUUUGUUCUUCAAGUUCGCCAUACAAGAAAGCUGUCUUAACAUCAAGUUGCUCUAACUCCAAAUCAUACAUGGCAACUAAAGCAAAUAAAACACGAAUAGAGUUAUGUUUAACAACAGGUGAGAAUACAUCAUUAAAAUCAACACCUUGUAUCUAACUAUGGCCCUUACAACCAAUCAUGCUUUAUACCUUGCAUCUUCAACCCCUGGAAUACCUUCCUUUUUCUUGAGAACCCACUUGCAACCAACUAUUUUCUUAUUUGACGGCGGCUAUACAAGAACCCAAGUUUCAUUCUGAUGAAGAGAUUCAAUUUCUUCAUUCAUCGCAAUCAACCACUUUGCAGAAUCAUCACAAGAAACUGCUUCUGAAUAGGUGAAAGGCUCACCAACUGCAUCAGUUUCUUCUGCAACAGACAAAGCAUAUGCAACUAAAUUUGUAUAUCUUUGUGGUGGUCGAAUGUCUCUCCUUUGUCUAUCUCUGGUUAUGGAAUACUCUUUUUCUUCUGAACUAUCUUCAACAGUAGAUUCAGGUGCAUCUACUGGCACUUGCUGAGUAAAAGAUUUGGACUUAGAAGGACCAAAACUGCCAAUAUCAAGCUCCACCUGCUUCUGUGUACUAUCAGUAGUACAAGGACUAGAAGACUCUUUCUUGGAAGAUAACAUAAACAAUUUAUCAAAAGUAACAUCUCUACUGAUUACAAAUUUUUGGGAUUUGGGAUCAGAACACCAUAAUCUGUAUCCUUGCAUCCCAGAAGCAUACCCAAGAAAAAUACACUUUUUAGCCCUAAACUCCAAUUUUUCAUCAUUCACGUUCAUGUAUGCUGGACACCCAAAAGCUUUUAAAUUGGAGUAAUCAGCAGGAGUACCUGACCAAACUUUCUCAGGAGUUUUGAAAUCAAGAGAUGCAGAAGGAGAACAGUUGACAAUAAAACAGGCCAUAUUGAUCGCCUUUGACCAAAAGUCGUUUGUCAACCGUGCAUUGGAGAUCAUACAUCUUGCUUUCUCCAAAAGUGUUCUAUUCAUACAUUCGGCCACACCAUUUGUUGAGGCGUCAUCCUGACAGUGUGAUGCCGAACAAUUCCUUUAUUUUUGCAAAAUCUAUCAAAUUCACCUCCACAAAAUUUCAUGCCAUUAUCUGUUCUCAACCACUUAACAUGUUUUCCUGUUUGUUUCUCAAUCAAAACUUUUCAUUGUUUGAAAGUUAAGAAAACAUCAUUUUUAUGCUUAAGAAAAUAGACCCAAACUUUUCUUGAAUAAUCAUCAAUAAAAGUCAACAUGUACCUGGCACCACCUUUAGAAGGAGUGCGAGAAGGACUCCAUAGAUCUGAAUGAAUGUAAUCAAGAGUACCUUUUGUCUUGUGAAUUGCUGGUGAACUGAAACUGAUUCUUUUCUACUUCCCAAAAAUACAAUGUUCACAGAAUUCCAAUGGCCCGGUACUUUAUCCACAAAGAAGUCCUCUUUUGCUCAGUAUGCCCAAGCCUUUUUCGCUCAUCUGUUCCAAACGCAUAUGCCAUAAUUUGGUGAUAUCUGUAUCUGACAAAGAUAAUGUUGAAACAGUAGCAGCAUCUGUAACAGUAGAUCCCUGCAAAUUAUAUAAAGUACCAGAUCUGUGUGCCUUCAUAACAACAAGAGCACCUCGAGUGAUUUUGAGAACUUCAUCUCCACCUGAAUACCUACACCCAAUAGACUCAAGAAUGCCCAAAGAGAUGAGAUUUUUCUUCAAAGCUGGAACAUGUCUAACAUUUGUGAGCAUCCUCACAAUACCAUCGUACAUUUUAAUCCGGAUUGUACCUUUGCUAAUAACUUUACAAGUGGUGUAGUUACCCAUUAAGACAACUUCACCUUCAAUUGAUUCAUAUAUUGAAAACCAAUCCCUAUUGGGACACAUAUGAUAUGAACAACCCGAAUCUAUAAUCCACUCACUGUUAGACCUAAAAUUAUUUUCUGUUGCACAAAAAAUGGUUCCAUCAUUCUCAUCUACUGCAAUACUAGCUUCGGUAGUCUCACUCUUUUUCUCCUUUUGCUUUUCUUUAUUUUUCAAUUUAAAGCAAUCAGAGAUAACAUGACCCUUCUUUUUACAAUAGUUGCAUACCACAUUUUUAUGUCAGGAUUUGGAUCUACUUCUAUUUUAUGUGUUUCUCUUUUCAGAUCUACCCCGAACAAACAAGCUAUCGGCUUGACUCCCACUAGUUUCCCCAAUAAUAUCCCUAUCUAUCUGCUCUUUAGAUUUUAAUGCAAAUUUAAUUUUUCGAUACGAAAUUGUUUCCUUUCCAUAAAUCAUAGUAUCACGGAAAUGUUUCAAAGACUGGAGAAGGGAAAACAAAAGUAAUAGGGCUUGAUCUUCAUCAUCAAUUUUCGAAUUUAUAUUCUCCAAAUCCAUAAUAAUGGAAUCAAAUUUAUCAAGAUGGGAGAGUAUAGAUAAACUUUCACACAUUCGAAGCAUAUACAAACUCUACUUCAGAUAUAGCCGAUUUUCGACUGUUUUCUUCAUAUACAAGGCUUUCAAUUUAUCCCACAUAACCUUAGCCGAAGUCUCCAUUGCUACCUCACGCAAUACCUCAUCGGAGAGAUUUAAGAUUAUGCUAGAUCUGGCCUUCUUAUCCAUAUCGGCGAAAUUCGCAUCCUUUAUAUCUUCUGGCUUUUUCUCAAUUCCCUGAUUUGCCAAGUCAACUCCGUCUUGAACAAGAAUGGCCUCCAUCUUGAGCUGCCACAUGCCGAAAUUGACAUUCCUGUCGAAUUUUUCGACAACCGUCUUUGUUAUCGUCAUUGUUGUCACAAAAUCUAUAACUUCAAGUUUGUGUCAAAAACUGUCCAAACAAAUAUGCAAGUCUUGUGAGUAAGCCCCACAGAGUGAGCGGGUCCCACGGGAUGAGCGGGCCCUAUGGAUAACCGGAUCCCACAGGAUGAGUGGGCCCCACAGGAUAGACGGGCCCAACCAAAUGAACCUGUUUUGCAAAAUAUAACAACCAACUCUGAUAUCAGUUUGUUAGGACCGGCCCAGGAAUAAACAAACUAAAGUUAGCACAAAUUAGAUGGUAUAACCGACCAUAUAAAUAUUAGACGGUAAACACCAGCCAUAUAAUAAUUAGUCGUUAAAAUCGACCAUAUAAAAGGGUUGUGGCAACCCAAUAAAGACAAAUAAUAAAGCAAAUAAAAGACACAGAAGAUUUACGUGAUUCAGUCAAAUUGACCUACGUCCACGGGCAGAGGAAAAACAAUAUUUCUACUAUGAAGAAAAAAUACAAAAGCCGUAGGAAAGUGGUUUUUAGGCCAAAAGGUACUUAUAAAAGAUUUAGAAAAUAUUCCUAAAUACAAAACAAGAGAACCUAAAAUAUUUGACUAUAAAUAGGGUAGAUGACUCAAGAAACUAAUAGUUCAUAUAACUCUCUUGAGUGGUGCACUUGAAACUAACCAAAGGCCCCUAUAUUUAUAGCCUUUAGCAGCCGACUUCUCCUUGGCAUUGUUCGAUGUGGGACGAAGCAAAAGAAGCAUCGGUCAACAAAUGCGGCUUCAACAAGGUGCAAUGGUGAUCGAAUUGUUGGAUGCAAUUGUUACAAGUUGCACAAUGACAAGUUCUUGGUGGACGAUAAAUGUUACAAUACUUCAACUUCACUUCUAUCCCAUUUAUGACACUGAUCAUUUCUAAGAAUUAUACCAGGAUUAAUGGUACUGACAAAUACCAAGUUCACAAGAACCUGCAUUGAGGGCAAUAUAUAGUUACAUAAGGGCAUUCGGUUACGCUCACAACUUUCUCAUACAAGAGUGUGUGUGAAAUUUAGUUUAGAACUAACAAUUGUUGUCAAAAUUGAAGAUGUUACGAUGAUAGCCGGAUUCCUUAUAUCACUUGCAACAUGAACCGCAAAUGUCCAACUUGAUAGACUAAUAGCAAUGGCAGUUAAAAUCAGCCUUUUUGGAUCCGGACCACAAAUCAGUCUCCCCUUGAAAAAGAAUACCUACAUUCAGAAUAAGACGUCCAACAUCAAAUCCUCUUUUUUUUUUUGCGUAAGCAUCAAAUCCUCCAUUUCUUCAUUGAUUUAAACCAACAAACUAAAAGCUUUAUCAGGAUUCAGCAAAGUACAAUGAUAAGAAAUAGCUUUGGAACGUAAAGCAAGAGCAAAUGGAGGAUUACAUUGUUUCCAGGCCAAAAAUGGUAAACUCUUGCUUGUUCAAUUUCGUCACCACCUCGACAAAAUCGAAAAGAUUUUUCUUGAACCACCUUUUGAAUCCAAUUAUUUUCUCCCAAAGUGAAGAAAACAGUUGCUUGCUUUUUGCUUGAAGACUAACUUUAGAAUUCUUAUCUACCUUCUUUCCUGAUGACAUAGUACUUUCUGUAGGUUGAUCAAUUUCUAAUGAGGCAGAAUUAUCGAUAGCUUGAGCGACUGAAGAAUUUACGCUGCCGUCUUUCUUUUCACUCGCCAUCCACUCCAUUAUCUCUUGCUUCUACUAUCUAGACUCAAAUUAAGAACUUCAAUUGGCAGAUGAUAACCAACCCGGUUGAAACUAGUGACUGGAAAAGAUAUUUCAGAAAACGGUUACUAUUUUUGUGUUCAUUAGGUCCAAGCCAUCGGUUAAAGCGUGCACGCACUACCCGGAUGCAAUAUAAAGCAAAACAAGCCUGUCAAAUUGGGCUCGGGGAGGAACCCACUGAAAUGGAUGAGUCAACAAAUUCCCAAUGGAUGCUAGAUUGAACCAAUAGAUCACUAUAAUAAAGGGUGUGUUUGGACGUGAAUUUUUGAAAUAAUUAUUAUACUACUUUUUGUGAUAUGAUGUAUGUGAUAUAAAAAAAUAAUUGAAAAUAUAAAAAUAUAUGUUAAAAAAUAUGUUUGUGAUGCAAAUAAAUAAUUUUUUAAGAAAUAACUGCAAUCGAAACACACCAGUAGUUUUUAAUACAAGAUAUGUCAUAUGACAUCACAAAAUAAUGUUAUUAUAGAAUAUUAAUAAUUGCGAGAGUUGUGACAAAUAAAAAUGUAAUUAGUAAUCUACCCAUCCUUAGUUUUAUUAUGAAUCUUGUUAGUUAAGAAGUUAUGAUUAUACAAUGUCAUUCAAAGUGAUCUUUGUUGUGAGAAUUAAUUGUUGUAAUAUUUCAUUUUGUUAAUAUAUUUCUAAUUUGUAAACUAGAUUUUGAGGAGCAACAAGUUUUAGUAAAAAUUUCCAAAUGAGUAUUUGUAAAGUGUGUGUGUUUUAGGAAAGGCAUGAAUGUCCACCAACACCUAGAUAGUUCCCAGUAUGAAAGGCAUGAGCAAAACUUUUCUCACCAAUGGAAUACUGCAAUUCGCCGAUUGUUGCACCAGACUCAACCCAAGCAUUAUUUCCUUUAAUAUCAACGCUAAUUGACUUGAGAUUUCUUAUAUCAAAUAUGAUGAAUGGAACUUCAGACUUAUAGGAUGUGCCCUCGAAAUCAUGGCCGCCACUUCGAAUCCUCAUUUGUACUCCAUCUUCUUUGCAACAUAUGACUGUUGCUUCAACGUGAUAUAUAGUAUUCUAAAGGAGUGAUUAUUUGAUAGGUUGCAAUUUUAUCAUUUAUUUUAUAAUUAAUUUUCCCUAUUAACUGACCCCGAUGUAGAUUAAUUGUCAGAUUCUACUCACUUUUGGAAAUUUGCAUUUAUUACAGGGAGUAGAAUGAAAAUACGAUAACAAGUGCCAACUUGACAGUCAUCAGGAAAGGAGUUCAAGUAGCAGCCCUUAUUCUAGGGGCAUUUUUUGGAAAAGGGAAACUUUUCCCCUUUUGGUAAUUGCCGAAGAGAGAAGAGACGGAAGAAGACCCCUAGAGCCUCGCUUUUCUUCCGGGGAAGCAGCUGCAAAGUAGAAGAUGAAAAUUAGAUAGGAAUAGAUAGAAACAAGAGGAGACUACUUUAGCUUGAGAACUUUGACUUUUCUUUUGGUCUCUUAGUAGCUUUUCUUCUCGCAUGUCAGGAGCAUUUUGAAGACUUAAUCACUCUCUAUAGUUUGCAUUUUCUUUGAUUAAUUGAAUGAAUUGAGCUUUCUCAAUCGGAGGACAAUGGCCGCUACUUUCUCUACAGCUUUGUGUGAGUCUUUCUCAUCAGGAAUGAACUAAAUCUCUUUUUCUAGUCAAGAAACAAUGGAAGCUUUGGUUCAUCUAAAAAUUGUGAGAUCGAUUUAAUUUUAUCUUUUCCUCUUAUUUAUUGGUAUUCGCAUAUUCUCCACUUGCAGCGCUUAUGGUUGUUUAAUUGAUUGAUUAUCAUGGAUCCGGAUAGUGAAUUGAUUUAGUAAUCUAUUGUCAAUUAGGGCAUUAAAUCCGUAAUUAUUUAAUUGUCUUGAAAUAGUGACAACUAGCAUGAUUGGGUUUAUGUUAGGAGAAUACGCGGGCUAAUUUAAAAUAACCCUGGUAGCGCGUUAUUUGGUUAAAAUAGGGCUUUUAUAAUACGUAAGGCAAUUGGGGAAUAAAAUCUUACGGGCAUACUUAGGAUUAUUUCUCAAUUAGAGCAAUGAUUAAUGGGUGUGCCUUAAUCACCGACACUGUAAGGAGGGGUUGAUUGUUAUUGCUUGUUUGGCAGUUAUAACCUAUUUAUUAGUAAAUAAUUGGAGUUGCCUUUGCAUCGAUGAUCAUUUAGAUGAACCAUUGUUGAAGUUAUUUCUUGACUAGACCUUUAGUUAAUAUUACUCUGAUUUUAUUGAAUUGUCGUUUAAUUUUUAGUUAGCUAUUUGUUUUUAUUCGAACUGUCUUAAUUGGCAUCUUUUAUACAAAAUCACCCCCUUGCUACUUUGAAUUUCAAAAGAGACAAAUGCCCCCAGUCCCUGAAGAAACGACCCUACUUGCCCUUUAUACAAAUCAAUAAAUCCUUGUGAAUAAGCAAUCACAUUCUAGUAUAUCGGAUUAAGCAAACUCUUCGGGAACAGGGUGAAUCAAAUAAUCCAUUGCACACCUAGAGUCCCUGCUCCAGUACUUAGAAUCGGGUUCUGAUUACUUUAAUUGGCAACUAGAUUUAUUUUUAUUAUUGCACAAUCAUCGAUAACCUGUCAUUAUUGCCAAAGGUUUUUGCUUUUUCCUUGAUACAAAAAACCUAAGAUUUUAGAUUGAAGAUUCCAUGAUGGGUAAAUAAGAAGAGUUGUUGGGGAGAUAAAAGAACAUUCAGAACUGAGAUGUUUGAUGACAUGAAGCUAUCAAGAAUCGAACUUGAGUAUGAUGAUGGAAUUAGUAAGGAAAACAAGGCAGUGAAUAACAGAACUUUAGACAUUUCUGUAACCAUUUCUGUGAUAUUCUGAACUAUGAUUCCCCUCAGACACAAUGUAGACUUAAAAAAACUAUGAAUUGCUCAUCUUAUUUAUAUUCAUUACAAUUGACCGGGACUGAUUGUCAUAUAAAUUAAGAAAUACAUGCAAAGUUGGCCUGCCUGCAGGCCUGCUUUAAAAAAAAAAGCUGUAUUCUCUCUCUUGCAUUGUAAGAAACCGUGAUUGUAAACUUAUUCUCAAGUGAAGACACUGGCUAGCUCCGAAUAUGCAGUUCUGGUCAUAUAAGAUUUUUUGCAUUCCCAAUCUUGUCUCAAUUAAAUAUACAAGUCUGCCUAGUUAAUAAAAUUUUGUUAAUUUGGGGCUCUCUUAUGUUGUCAAUUUGGGACAAAAAUUUUGGUAGUUUUAAUCUCAAUAACUAGGCAGACUUGUUCUUUGCUCAAAACAUAUAUGCAGUCAAUGUUUUUUUUGGAAUGUCUAGUACGAAAAAGCCAUUUAUUUUGUCGUUCUUUUAGGGUUGCCUCCAGCAAUAAAGAGCCAAACGUCGAACUUGUAGAACCUUUGAUGUAGUCUCACCAAGGAACCAUGCAUAUUAAGGUUAAUAUCUAUUAUUGUCUCAUUUAAUUUAGAUUAAUAGCUUUUAUGUGAUCUUGUCAACUCACAUUAUGUUGCUUGAUUUUCUUGCAUGCCAAAUUCCAUGACCAAUCUGUCAUUAAAUACGUACAUUACUAGUUACCAACUCAGUUCUUUCGAAUAAGUGUCAUUUGCUUCGAAGUCUUUCAUGUUGGCUUAUGCUAAAUAAGCCUUAAAAAUGUACAAAAUCUGAAUUAGAAUGUGUUUGAAAGCAUGAUGAUUAAGUGGUUUCAAUAUGUCAUCUAUCCCUCAUUCUUUGUUUUGGUUCUUCAGUUACAUGCACUUAGGACACAACACAAAGAAUAAACCAAUUUUAUUUUGUCCCAUAAAAGUAGUAAAUUCUCUAUGCUAAAGUAUCAGCAACUUAUAAGAUUAAGUUUAAAUGCUGAAUUGAAUUAUAAAACAAGGUCUAAAUGGUUUCAAUAGGACAUCAAUCCCUUAUUCUUUGUUUUGGUUCUUCAGUUACAUGCACUUUAGGAUACAACACAAAGAAUGUAAGCCAAUUUUAUUUUGUCCCAUAAAAGUUGUAAAUUCUCUAUGCUACAACUUAGAAGAUAAAAGAGAAUGCUAGAAUUUCAUACUAACCCCUAAUUUUUGUAUCUUUAUUGUGUACCUUUAGCAUAUAGAAUAGAAAAUUUCGGUCACUUCCUUACAAAAAGGUCGUAUGUUCAAAUCCAAUUGUCAAUAUAUGGAUGUGUUGGUAGACAAUAUGUACCUGUACGGUUGUGUUAAUGGGUAAUCUGUAAGAAUCCCUGUAAACAAUCCAUGAUUGUAGAAACAUGUCCUAACCCGUGGUAUUGAUUAGAGCCAACCCCAUCCAAACUUUUUGGUGCCAAAAUUUUUUUUUAUUUACUUGAAUUCUCCUAUUUUGCCCUUGGGAAACAACAAAUUAUAUCCAUUUAAAUGGAUUUGGAUGAUCCAAAUAAAUUCAAUGGUUUUAAAUAGAUAACCAUCUAAACCCAAUUAUGUUGGUGGCUAUAAAUGGAUUAUCCAUAUCAUCAAUAUAUAUCCACUUAAUUUAAAAAAGAGAAAACACACAUUGUGAUUGCAAAUAUUUAUAAAAAAGUGGGAUGGAAUUUUGUGGGAUCACGUAUUAUUUACUUCAUAACUUUCUCGUAUGCCAAGUUGUCAAUAGCAUUAAUUGCAUUUUAUUCACCUCUAGUUCUUAGACUUCUUCCAUCCUUUUCAAAAUUGUAUUUUAGUCUCUACACUUUUUUUUAAUUAAACUCUUAUUUAGUAAUGACAGCAAACUUGCACAUUCUAAAGUAAAGAAAAAGCGAGAAUGUAUCGUUCUGUGUGAAAGUAAUUUUUUAUUUUUAUUUUUUAUGUAUAAAAAGAUUUUUCUAACGAGUGUCCUCCCUGCGACAUUGGUUAAGAUAUAUAAAUGACACCUUCUUCUUCUUUUUUUAAUAAGUGGAAGAUCUUGAAUCUAUGACCUCCUACUUAUAAUCCUUCUCCCUUUAUCAUCCAACCCAACCCUAAAAAAAAAGGACACCUAAUUUACUAAGUAAAUAUAAGGUAGCUUGUAUAUCAAUAUUAUAAUAAGGAGUUUCAUACAUUUCGAGGUACUAUGUGCUCAUGUGAUGAAAAUAUUUUAUUUAUCAAAUAAUAUAAGACCUUUUAUUGGAACUCUAUUUUUAUUCAAAGCAUCCCUCUUGAACAGAGUGCAAAAAAUUGGAAAAAAAAAAAAACUUCCUUCCAUUGUAAAGCCAUAUUCAAUUCACCCAAAAGUUAUAAUAAUGUAGCCAAGUUAUUAAUUGUUCAUUACUUUACGAGAUGAUGCUUUAAGUAAUGAUUUAAGGUUAAAUUGACCACAAUAGUUACAUUUUCUUAGAACUAAACUAAUUUAAAACUGUUUUUAUGAAGAAUGAAAUAGAAUAAUAGCACAAGCAUUUGUUAUUACCAAAAGUAUUUUAGGUGAUUUAAGGAUAGAAUUUUGGGGAUCAAUAUCUUUUUGGAAAAAAACAUUUGGAUCUUAAAUUUAGGAUUUGAGAAAGUAAAUGGAUAAAUGGAUGGAUCAUGGUUUUACACUAUCCAUUUAAAUGACAUCCAUUUAUUAAAUGGUUUUAAUUGAAUUGGAUCAAUUUGAUCCACUAUCUAUUUAACUAAAACUAUUUAUCAACCAUAUAUCCAUUUUGCAACUUCUAUAUCUCACUAUGUAUUAACAUGAAAUCUUAUUUACCAUAAUAUAUUAGUCAGUAGCGUUCCAUGUCAGUUUACAUUUAGAAUUUCAUUUCUUCAACUUGUAAAGUUUGCCUGGAAAGUUUAUUAAAAAAAAAAAAAGAACAAUAUUGUCAUUGUUUCUGAUACCAAUUUUAGUGGCGUGAUCUGUCAAUAAUCUUUUGUCUCUAUAACUUUUGAAUAUGACCGACGGUCGUGCUUCAGGCCGGCCGCUGCUGGCGCCUCCACUUGCGACAAUUUGUCUUCUUCAUUAGUAAUGGAACAACAAAGAUAUAAACUAUAAAGGCACUCAAAUAAAAUAAAGGCAUUCAAGGAAAAUCCUCAGCUUCUUCCUUCUCUUAAUACUAGACUAGAUGUACACGAAUGGAGUAAAUAAUUUUAUCUUUCAUAAUUUUGCAUUUUAUCAUACAAUCCUCCUAUUGUUUAAAAUUUCCAAUUAAUCCAUCUAUGAUUUUACGUAAAGCUGAAAAUAGACAAAAAGCAACUAUAGUCACGGUGAUCAACCUAUACGCACGCUAGCUAGAAAUGUGGAAUAUGUUAGAAUUGCCACUUAUUCCCCUUAUAUAUGGCUUUACAUUUGGCCACAUAAUUCCCUGUUAAUUUUAUGUAAAGUGGUUAGACACUUGUUGUGCUUAAAUAUUAACUAAUGCUUGGAGAUACUUUUUUUCUUUUCACUUUACAUGAUGCCACAAAAGAGUUAAAUGGACAUUGUUGAAUACAGUGGUAGAACCAAAAACUUUAGUUUAGGGGAGGCAAAAAAUCCAACGUAUAGUAAUAACACAUAUUAUAGCAUAUAAAGCAUGGUAAAUUUAAAAUGUAAAUUAAGGAUUUCAAUAAUAAAAGAAAAAGUAUAAUUCAAACUGCAAAAUUUGAUUCCCUACCAUUCUAUUUCCUAUCAAUGCGAGAAACAACUAUCUAAUAUAGUAAUAAAUUAAUAAUUCAUAUUACUGGCUUUGUUUUUUUUUUCUUACAUUAAUAGAAGCAAUAAUCAUUGCAUAAUUCCAAAACAACAAACUCAAAAUAAAAAUAACUAUUUCAAAAUUAAUAAUACAAUUUAAAAUAUAAUACAAGAAAGUUUGAAGGAAAUAAAAAUAAAAACUUGCCUUGCAAAAUUGGAGUUUGAGAACAGUUGAUGCUUGAAGCAUAAUAAUGGAGCUUAGAAAGACUCGAUCCUUGAGAAGCUGGAUAAAAAGUUGUGACUUUUUAUUUUUUUAACUAAUCCUCCUACAUUCUUAAUUCAAGUGAAUUCUAUUACCUUUUAUUUCCUUUAUUUACUUUUAUGUAGUGUUUUUUUAAUUGUUAUUUUUCUGUUGCAAGCUGUUGAUGAACUGAGCAUUUGACGAAUAAUUUGAACUAGGCACAUUAAGGGCUCGAUUUGAGGGUGGAUUUUUAGCAAGCUGGAGCUCGAGUUCAAAUAAUAUAAUAAGAGAAGGAAAUAAAAUAAUAUCGAGCCUGUAACAUCAAAUUGAACUUGAUCUCAAAUUUAGAUCUCGUAUAGGAUUUGAGUUCGAAUUUGAAUUUAUCUAAUAUUUUGAAUCGAGCCGAAUAGGUCAAAAGUACGAUUCGAUUCAUUUAUAAACCCAUUUGUACUAGUGCUACACUAAUACGAGAAGAAAAUAAGAGUUUGUUUGGUACAAGAGUCUCAUAAAAAGAGUGAUUAAGGGGGACAAGAAAUAGAUAAAUGUAUGAAGAGUAAUUAAGAGGAACUAGAAAUAGAUAUGCAUGUUGGGAGGGGGGGAGGGGGAGGCGAUUAAUCUAUCUUAGAUAAAAUGUUUUAGUGCCUUUAGGAUUAUUUCGAAAGUUUUGGCGGCUGUGGGGGGGAGCGAAAGGCUGCUCCUCCCCAGCCCCCCUGUUCCAUCCUUGGUUGAAUCAUAAGGGAUUUGUGAGGUAUUAACAAUAUACCCAUGCAAAUUUGGUGUACUUAAACCAAAAUAUAGAUUAUCAAAAUUGUUGACGUACAUCAAUUUGAUUUUGACUAUUACUUAUUGUGAUUUUUCGUUAGUUGUCUUAAAUUGCGUUGAAGACAAAUUUUGUUUUAAUCGAAAUAUUAGAUGGACUAAAUAUUGGGGACCAAAACUGUACUUUUGCUCCACAUUAAACGUUUGAUUUUGGUGCGAUAAUUGAUUGAGUUAAUUCUCCUUUAGCAUUUCUGGUUCAAAAUAGUUCUUGUCUUUCUCUUUGGCAUUUUCUAAAUAAACGGUGAUUUGAAAUGGAGCUUGUUACGUGAACAUUUGCCCCCUGGCAUCUUUCAAUGGAGGUACUCAUUCAUAGGCGAACAAUCUUGGAUACAAAUUUUGAAUCCUUUAAGAAAAUGGAGAGUCUGAAUGGAAAUGCGCAAGCUAAACAAAUAUUGAGAUCAAGGCAUCUAAGCUGAAUUCUGGUCCGGAUACAAGCUUUCAAGGAAACUUUCACAUUAACCAAUGAAAUUAAAAUUGAGUGCAGGCGCAAGGUCUCUUUCAAUCAGAAUAAUUGCUUGACAAUGGUCUGAUUGCAGUAAUAAAAAAAUUUAUUAGGUUGCAAACUGAUAAUAUAUAAAAAAGGGAUUCAAUAUCGACACAUUGUCAUUGUUGUAAGACCACUUUUCUUGGUUUAAUCUAUCAAUAAUCUUGUCUACAUAAUUUUUUGAAAUAAUCUACAAUUCUGCUUCAGGCCGGCUGCUGCUGCUUCACUUGCACUUGCGAAGAUGUCAGUCACAGUCAUUAGUUGGCCUGCAAAUAUAGAUGUCAUGAUAUUAACCAGCUACGUGCGCACAUCAGGAGUACUAUCACUAUGUAUAUAUGCGAUCUAGAUAAUUUUUUUUUUUUUUUAUAAACGAUAUAAUAUCAUACAAUGAAAUAUGCACUAAUGUGGCAGAAAAUACUUUAAUUAUAUCACAGAAAUAAUAAAUCUGAAGAAUCACUACAUCUAAUAGAUCUAGAAAAUUACAAAAAUUACAUUGUGAAACUCAACACAUUUGAAAUUUAGAAUAUUUAUGUAUGCCAACGCUGUCUGAUUUACUAUCCAACUGGUUUAAACUCAAAUUGGAUGCUGAGAUCUAAUAAAAUGACCUAAGAAAUUCCAGUGAUCUAGAAAAAAUUCACCCUAAGGUUGAUGAAACAUAUGAAGGUAUACAUGUUAAAACAUCAAUAAAUAGAUUAACACGAAAUGUUCACUAAUUAACUAUUCAUUAGGGAUUAGUACCGCCUAAUUUUUUUCAUUUACAUGUCCAAAAAUCCAAAAAGAUUCAUCAGAUAGCACUCGUCAAUGUGUCAAGAAUAGGACCAAAAAGAAAUACAAGCUUUCAUAUAAAAUACCAGUAUAACCCUAGUUUCCCUCAGUAAGAAAGAUAGUUCAGUUAUAAAGGGGUUUCAGGGUAUGUUUGUACAGGAGAUAUAACCAAGGGUGUUUGCUUGUAAUUAACCAAGAAUAUUGUGUUACAUAAGCUGCGGAACGGUAAGAUUUUGUACAGUCAUACCAUAAAACAGAAAUAUUGUUCCAAAAUUUUGGCCAUAGGUUACUGAGCUAAUUUCUCCUCAUGUUGAACUUGAAUCUCAAAGUUCUUUCUCUGCUAAAUGAUUUUGAGAAGCUAGAAAAUGCUAAGCAUGUUAUCUCAUCAGCCCGGACAACUCAAUUAAGAUUUUGAAUAGAUUUAGUAACCAAUGGAGCACUUUACCCUAGUUUUAGAUAUCAACUUCACGUUUCCAACACCUCCCCCACCCUCCCCCCCCCAAAACAAAAAUGUUAUGAUUAAGUUCUCAAACCACUUGAACAAUGAUUUACACAACAUGUUAUAGAAUUGUGUCCGUAAUAGACCAAAAAGCAAUGAAGGCUUUCAGAUAAAUUAUUAGUAUAGGCAGUGUUGCCUCGACAAGAAAAACAGGUAAGAAGGGUGUUGAAUGUUGAGAUUCUGAAGACAGGCUUCAAAUGUCCAAAUGUCUGAAUGAUACGUCUAACUGGCUAUGAAUGCAGACCAUACAUAAGUUAAUAACAACAAGGCUCAAAAAAAACAAUAAAGAAAAAAAAAUGUUCCAUGCCCCCUGUCCCUCCCAAUAUCAAACGUGUUAUCUUGUUUUAUUUUUCUCUUUAUCUAUUACUAUUACUAUUACCAUAUUAAAAGUAUGACGAGAUUUGGCAUUAUAAGUUGUAAGCACUUUUUUUAUCUUAAUUUAUGUUGUUUCCAUAUUACCCCAAGUUAUUGUAUUUUAAUUGUGGUAAUAAUUAAAAUAUGAAACAUUCCAAAUGAAUAUAUCUCAAUAAUAAUGGUAAUUAAAAUGAAAAACUCCCUAUUAAAACUAUUUAGCGACCCAUACAUUUCAUCUCCAAUUUUUAUGUGCAUCAAAGUUUCUUAUUCGAAACAAUUUCUUACUCAUAAUAGUUUGACCAAUUUCAGUAACCACAAUUUGAAGAUUGUAAAAAAAUAUUAGUAUAAAAAAAUAGAUGCUCUUAGAACAAAAGAGAAUAAGAAAAGAGUCCAUAUUCAUUUGGAGAAUCUUGAUAUGCAUAUCAUGAGAUAGGUACAUAAUUAUGUGUCUUCUAUCAGUAUAAAGAAAUACUAAAAGAAAAGCAAAAAUAAAAGAAUCAAACUAUUUCUAUCAAUUGAAACUAAAGCCAUUUUAAGAUAAUUAAGCUGUAUAAAUCAUUAUAUUCUUAUCAACCACAAUAACACUUAGAAAAAACGUCACUAAUCCAAAUUCAACAAUGCACCUCACAUUAUUCAAUUCAAAUUCACAAAAUUUUUUGUGAAAAGUUCAACUAGAAAGAUAUAAAGUAAAAUGUUCAUGCGGAGUUGGAUAUGAGCACGAUUCAUAUAUUUUAUUCUUAAAUAAUUAAUUCAUUCUAACUAUACAAUUGCAUUUCAUUUGUCUUAGCAAGGGAAAAUAAUAUUUAAAAUGUUCAUACAAUUUUUUUUUUAUUUCUUAAAAUUUGUUGAUUUCAUCAUAAACUUAACUUUGGGGUGUAUUUUUAAGUAAGAAAAGGCACAUCUAGACUCUAAUUCAUAAACGAGCUUUCCAAAAGGGUAAAGAAAGGGGUGAGUGUGGUGAAAAUAAUUAGAAUGACAAAAUCUAACUAAUCAAUUUAUUUAUUCUAAUACCCCUUUAGAAAUUGAUUUUACGAUUUAAGUCUUUAUUUUCCUAACAAUUAUGAAUUAAUUCUAUUUACUAGGCUCACACUUGACAUGUAUGCAUAUAUUUCCUGUUUAGCAAUAUUUUUUGUACAAUAUUUUAAAAAAAUAAUAUUAUGAUUUUAUGGUAAAAAUAUUGUGAGUAUACAACAACUUUGGUGAAAAAUGACCGAAUUAGGAAUUAUUUAUCAAAGCUGAAUCCAUAAUUUACCGAAAAGAUCGACAUAAAUUAAAAAAAGAAAACUCAAAAUAAAUUCAAAAAUAAUUGAUCAAAGAGUUCAUAUUUAGAUGGGCUUUGAAAUAAUAAUUGGUUAAUGAAAAUAUGACAUGUUUUAUUAUCAGGUAAACAAUCAAAUUUGACAAAAAAUAUAUAUAUAAGACAUGUUAUUUUGGGUUAAUAUAAUCAUGUGCAAAGUACGCGAACUAUUACAAGUUUAUUAAAUGGAUUGUUGAUUGAAUUCUUGUUGUUAAUCUCAAAAUUAAAUUAAAGUCCUACUUCAUUGACAUAAGCAAUUAUAAUAACGCGCAAGAUUAAUCAAAAUAAUAACCCGGUUGCGAAAUUAGUGCCGCUAGAUGUAUUAAAAGAUUGUUAAGAGCGUAAUUAAUGCUGUAUUAUUCAAACAUUUGGACUAAUGACUAAGGGAAGUGCAAUGGAGCGAAAUGUCCAUUGACUAUUUGUCCUUUCUUUACUAUAUACUAGCAAUCUAUCACCAGAGCAAGAGAAGAGCACUCGAUUGUGAGGUUUUGCAGUUCUUAUCUCCUUUCACAUUUGAGAGUUGUCUCAUCUCUAAAUUGAGAUCUCUGCUGGUUCUCUUAUUAAUCUUUGAUUAGAUGGUCUCCAGUAGUAUAGUAUUACUUGCAUUUAUAAACUGAAAUUAUAAAAAUGAAACUUAUAGUUAACGUAGGUAUUGACAAACUCCAUCUAAAAACAUAGGAGUGAAAUUGGAGAUUGUGGUGCUUACCAAUUUUACUUAAAGCCAUUGUGGACAGCUCUCAAUGUGAAAAGCUGUUGUUUGAUGGCAAGGCAAUAAACAUGGAAAUCAAUAGAGUCCAAAGCAUUAAAACUUCUAUUUGUUAUAAAACACCAUACCAUAACUUCUAUUUGUACCAUUCAAGCAGUUGGACUAGUGGAUAACGCAUGUGCAGUGGGGUCUUUUUUUUCUUUCAAUCAUCCAAGAAGUAUCCAAUGACUAUUUGUCAUUUACUUGCUGGACAGUAGCAAUCAACGUACAGAAAAGAGGAGAGCACUUGUUUUUGAGGUUUUGCAGAUCUUUCUCGUCUCCUUUCAUAUUUGAGAACUGUUUCAUCUCUUAAAUUGAGAUCGAUACAUUCUGGUUCCCUUGUUGAUCUUCCCUUUAUUAGAUGGCCUCCACUAGUAUCACUUGUAUUUCUUCCAUCUUGGCUGAUCUGCAAGCGCUGGAGAACGAUUAUCCAGAAUUUCCAAAUUGGCCGCAGCAGUACCUGAGACGCAUGAGACACAUGCUAAGAUAUCUGAGAACAUUUCUUCUGUGUGCGAUAAAAUACAGCAACGGUGAUGUGCAAUUACUAUUUGACAACAAAAAGAACCAGGCAAAUAAUCAUCAUGCAAGCCUAGAAGCUCUGGCAGUUCGGAUUGGAGAAGCCAUUCCCAAGUGGGCAAAGGAGAUCCAAUCUUCUGAUCAGCCUUGGAAGGUGGUCCAUGAUUUAGAAAAAGACAUGGAAUCCUUCGAACAAGAAAUUUGCGAAUGGUACGUCUUUUUCUUGGGUUCCUCGUCACGGCAGUCCAGUAAUUCGGUCGUUCGAAAAGAUGACCUUAUGGAAUUCAUGGAUUCUCUUCUGGAGAAUCUAGUGAAUUAUCUUCCAAGGAGUCGGCUGCCACAUCAAGUUGGACUAAUUAAAGCCCUUGAAGAGAAGCUGGCGUUCAUGAAAAACUUCAUCCGUUUUCUCACACUGCAUGGCGUUGCAAACACAGAAUUGGGACCAUUGUUGGUUCACACUGAAGCUGUGGCUAUCAAUGCAGCAGGCCUCUCUUAUAAGUUCCAGUUUAAGAAGGGUUUCGGAUCGCCCAAGGAUAUCAAGGAAAACAUUUCGGAACUGCCGCAGAAGAUUAUUCCUGUUGAACCGCAAGUCCUUGACACUUGUAUCCAGGCCCUGGCUGCUUCAAAGUUAUCAAGACAAUCAUACGGAGAUACAGAUGAGCGCAUAUUGAGAGACUUCUACCAUUCUCUCCUGCGUAAUCUUUGGGAGAAACUAAAGCAUGGUACUUGUCCUGUAAUUUUGCGUCAACUACAAAUGUUUUACGAGGGGCUCAAUUCCUUGAGAACCAUUUUGAAGGAGAAGCCAAAGGAGUUCAAUGAGAAAGUAAGAGAUCCUACUCGAGUCGUGAAAUGUUAUGGAGGAGAUUUUAUUUCCCCACUCUCUCUGAAUGCAAUCAAAGACGGCAUACAAGCCAAGGAUAUGGAUAUCGUGUGUUCUGAGUUAUCGGAAAUAAUUAAGCUCAUCAAUGCAGUAAUCACAGAGAAGUGUCCAGAAUCAUCAUCAUUCACUUUUCCUACGACCAAUGGACUGGGCUUUGUUGAUUCCCUUCUAGAAAAGAUGAUGGAUGUGACAAGUUCUGAGGCCGGCUCGAUUGCUUUGAUCGAUCAUCCAAUUCAAAAAGUCCAGGAAGUACUUGUUUGUUUACGUUCUUUGCUGUGGAAAAUUGUGGAGCUGCAAAAUGAAGAUGAGGAGGUCCAGGCAAUUUGGAAUCGUAUUGUUGGGGUGGCAUACAGGAUAGAGCUUUUUAUUGACUCCUUAAUAACUGGAAAUAUCUUAGAUUCUUCUUCAAUGUCUAUUCAUUCCAUUUUAGAAGAAAUGAACAUCAUUGAAGCUGCGGCCUUGAAGAUUUGUGAUAGCGAAAGACUUGGUGGAAAAGUUAGCGAAGUAACGAAGAGAUUCAAUCACAUGCCACAAGAAGGAAGUAAGCCAAUAGUCAAUGAUUUGGUGGUGGGAUUCGAGGAUGAGACGGCAUCGAUAAUCAAUGGACUCAGAAAUGGAUCACGCCAAGUGAAAAUUGUUUCCAUUGUGGGUAUGCCGGGAUGCGGUAAGACAACUUUGGCUAGAAAAGUGUACAAUGAUUCUUCAGUGAAGUCCCAUUUUUAUGAGCGUGCUUGGUGUACUGUUUCUCAAAUAUAUCAAAAGAGAAAUCUGUUGCUUCAAAUUUUGACUUGUAUUGAGUCCAAGCUUCCUGAGGAAGUUUUUAAGAUGGGUGAAGAAGAUCUGGCUCUUCAAGUCAAAAGACGUUUGCUGAAAAACAGAUAUCUCGUUGUUUUGGACGAUGUAUGGGACAUUGAUGCAUGGAACGGAUUGGAAGCCUCAUUCCCUGAUGAUGGAAAUGGAAGUAGAGUUAUCUUGACAAGUCGGCUCCGUGGUGUUGCUCCGCAAGCCAAACUCGACCAUGAACCGUAUUCUCUUCCUCAACUCACUCCUAAUGAGACCUGGGAUUUGCUAAAAGGGAAGUUAUAUCCUGGACAAGAUUUGGCUCCUCCAGAACUAUGUGAAAUUCGACAGCAAGUCGUGGAAAUGUGUCAAGGACUACCUCUUACGGUUGUCAUUCUUGCCGGAAUUCUCUCAAGGAUGGACCGAUAUGGUUGGAAAGAAGCUGUGGAAGGUUUAAGUUCAAGGAAUGUUUCUAGUACGGAACAAUGUACCGCUACAUUAGAGCUGAGUUACAAACAUUUACCUGAUAAUCUGAAGGCAUGUUUUCUUUAUUUUGGAGCCUUUCCAGAAGACCAUGAACACAAUACCAGGAGGUUGAUUUCUCUAUGGGUUGCUGAAGGUUUUGUUCAAAAAACUCAGCUCAAGAGAUCAGAGGAUGUGGCAAAUGAUUACCUGAUGGAACUUAUUAGCAGAAGCUUAGUCAUAGUUUCGAAACCAAGAUCCAUUGAUGGGGUCAAAGCUUGUCGCAUUCACGAUUUGUUAUAUGAGUUUUGUGUGACAAAAGCCAAAGAAGAAAAGCUUUUGCAGCGGGUACGUAGGUAUGAUGACUUAUCUGCUUUCACUUUGCCAUGUUACCUACGUCGCUUAUGCAUUAUUGAUUCUAAGGUGGAGCACUUUGACAACUUGAGGUUAUUCUCUCCUGCCAUACGCAGUCUAUUAUUAUUCAGUCACGAUGAAGACAGUAAUAGUUUUGACCUUCGAUUCAUUUUUCACAUCAUCAAACUUGUCAAAGUGUUAGAUUUGAGCCAAAUUGGACUCGACCCCUUUCCUAGAGAGGUAGAACUGCUUGUUCACUUGCGCUACUUGGCGAUUCUAGGUCGAGGUAAAAUCAGUCUCCCAUCAUCAGUAUGCAAUCUCCCGAAUUUGGAAACUUUGAUUUGGCAAAAUUCUUCAACUCAUCGUUCAGUUUCACUACCAGAUACCGUAUGGAACCUGAAGAAACUAAGGCAUUUACAACUAAUUGAUGAGGUCGAUAAGCAUUAUUGUUUUUUUUUCCCUAGAGACAAUCUUGACAACUCGUCACAGUUGCGUGACUUAGAUUUCUUGUCCUGUUUGUCUCUCGAUCCUGAGGAAAACAUCAGCAAGCUGUUGAGAAAGUUUCCAAAUAUCCGCAAGCUGAGAUGCUCUGUCAAUCUGAAGCCAGAUGUUCAAUAUCAUGUAGCAAUGGAUUGUCUAAGUCAGUUGGAAUCACUCAGUCUGAGUUGCGUUAUUUACGGCGGUGGCCGAUAUCAGUUAGAUUUCCAAUUUCCUUUGACUAUUAAAAAAUUGACCCUAUCUUAUUUUCGCUUGCCAUGGAGCAAAAUGGCAGCAAUUGGAAAUCUACCCAAUCUUGAGGUACUCAAAUUACUCAAACAAGCCUUUGAGGGGGAAAUAUGGGAAAUGGAAGUGGAGAAGUUCCCUAAAGUUCGUUUCUUGAAAUUAGCUUCCUUGAACAUUGUGAAGUGGACAGCCUCCUCCGAGUAUGAGUACGAGGACCAGUACUAUUUUCCUCGUCUCCAGAAGCUAGUAUUGGAUCGCUGUGGAGCGUUGCAGGAGAUCCCUUCUUGUUUGGGAAAUAGUUAUGCCCUUGAAAUAAUUGAGGUGUCAAAAUGUCCCAGCUGUACCAGUUCAUUGGAAGAAAUUCAGGAAGAGCAAAGAAGCAAUGGAAAUACCGAUCUGAAGAUCCUUAUCUCAUAAUGGACGAUUGAUCUUCUCAAGUAAGUUUGCUUUGGACAGCCAGUUUACUUUACAUUUGUUUUUUAAGUACUUUACUUAUGUACUGCUACGGGUUAUGUUUAUCUGUUUUGGCAUCAAGAUCAAGUUGUUCUUUUUCUUAAUAGUUUUUCUUUUUCUUUUUCUUAAUAGCAUCAAGAUCAGGCUGCAAGAUUUUGGAGGACUUCCCUUCUUGUUUGGAAAAUAUAUCAACUCUUGAAAUAAUUGAAGUAUCUAAAUGUCCCAACUCUACAAGUUCAGUGGAGCAAAUUCAGGAAGAGCAAAUACUGAUCUGAAGAUCUUUAUUUCACGAUGGAUGACUGAUCUUUCCAAGUGUGUUUGGUUUGGUUUGGUUUGGUUUGGAAGCCACUUCAGUCUACUUUUCUUUUUUAACCCUUUACUUCUGUACACAUACUGGUUAUGUUGUAUCUGUUGAGCAUCAAUCAAGAUCAAGUUGUUCUUGUUUUCUUUGCAAGUUUCUUGUUAUUCCUGUGACCCAAUCUUGUACUGCGACAUAUACAUACCUAUACAACUGAGUUUGCAAAUUUUCCAAGAAGUUAUUUGUCUUUAUUGGUUUGAACUUUGAAUUACAAUAAUAUCCUAUUGGGAGAUUUCCGGUAGUCAACGAAAUAACUUUUGAUACAAGCACGUACCAAGAUUGACUGUUGUACAAAAUGAAGGAAGAAACCCAAAGUUUUUUUUUUUUAAAAAAAAAAAAAAAAAAAAACCCCCCAUCCUUCCUUACAUUCUUUCUGUUCCCAACUAGUAGACUCUAGAUUCAAACGUUGAACCUGACAUCAAAGAGAAGCAUAGUUACGAGAGUUAAUUGUGCUAACUUCACUUGAGCAUUGUCGUAAUCCUAAAAACUUUUUGUAAAGUUAUUUAUUAAACGUUUUAAAUUGUUCUAAAAUUGAUAUCUUAAAAAGUACUUUAUAAUUUUCAAAAUACAAAAGGCCUCCCAAAAUAAGUAACAUUCAGGAAAAAUGUAGAGACAAGGUAUAAGUGGAACAUUUUUUUUAAAAGAGAUUUUAGCAUAAUUAGCAUAAUUUUUAGGGCCACCCCCAACUUAUAUAGUUUCAGGGGAAAUGAUGGGCACCAAAGAUGGACCUGGAAGGGCUCCUCCAAGUCCAGAUACUCUUAUCCAAAGAUUUAGAUAAUUCUCUUGUUCAUUCUUAAAAUUCUAAAAAUUUUCAAAAAGCCCUUUAAAUUUGAAUAUUUUGGAGCCGCAACUAUAUAUUUUAGUUUGCAAAAAAUCUACUCAUUAUCUCUACCUCACCCCUGUAUACUUUUAUUGUGGUUCUACAAGUGAAACACAUUACAUGAGGGAGUAGCUAAAAGUAAAUUAAUUUAAUAAUCCAUUUAAAGCAAUUCUUAUUAAAAUUUAUAAUUCUUAUUAAAAUAAAUUAAUUUGAAAUUUUAGAAUUAUAAAGUAAAUGAAGGGCUUUGGCAUAUAAAAAUUUACAUUCAUUCAAACUCAGCCCAUUUGGGCUCUUAAAAAUAGGUUUUAACCUAGUUUUUAAAUCUAAUUUUGAAAUUUAGUUCAAUAAUGGGCUGAGUUUUGUCUAAAUUAGGGUUAAAUUGAAUAAAGUCCAACCCAUUUAAAAGUUUUAAAUGAGCCAAUCUCAAGCCAAUAUAAAAGAUUUUUCUUUGGGCCAAACUUGAACUUAUUGAAGCCCUUAUUCGCAAAACCAAAUUGAUAAGGUUUUGUAUUUGUAUAGAAUUUGGUUGAGAAAAUAAGGUUAGUAAGGGCAAUUUAGUCCAAGGGUAAUUUAGUCCUUUUAUUAUGAUAUAAGUAGGGGCAAAUUAGUCAAAAACUUUUACUAGAAUUAGUAGGGGCAAGUUAGUUCAUUUAUUAUCAUAUUAUUAUGUGAGAGUGUGGUUAUAUAGUGUUCAAUACGAAUUUGCAUCAUUCGCAAGGGCAAAUUAGUCCAAAUAUUAUUAUACUAGUACUAGGUGCAAAUUAGUCAAAAAGCUUUAAAUUAAUUAUUAAGGGCAAAUUAGUCCAUUCAUGUUAUAUUAUCCUAUGAGGGUAAGGUUAUAUAAUUAUGAGAGUACAAAUUUAUAUUAUUUGUAAGGAUCAAUUAAUCUAAAAUUUCAUCAGUCGUCCUGGGAUGACUAAUACCAUCACCACCAUGGAAUUAUUUUAUUCCAUGAAUAGGGGAUUAAUUCGAUUAAUCGGGAUGUAUCAUGUCAUGUAUAAAAUACAACCAAACAUGAGAUGAGAUAGAAUGACUAAUCCAAUCCUUGUGUCAUCUCAUAAACCAAACGAAUCCUAAAAAGAUUAAUUUCAUUGUGCACUCCAUAACUGAUAUACGAUUCUCACUCUGCGAGCUAAACUUGAUUUCGAAAGCAUUACACUCUGAUGCGUCCCAUUUGAAUCUAAUCCAUAACACCACAGUGAGCAAAUUACAUAGCAGUGUCACGCCAGAAGCUAUAAAGGCAUUUGAAACAACCCAGGAAAUAUCAUGAUCAUAGAUUUUCUCUUUUUUUCCUUCUUGGCCUUUUGUUCAGAUAAAUGUGACAAGGGUCAGAUUAUAUACGAUUUCAAUUGUGAGUAUGUCAAGCUAACGAUCACAGUCAAGUACGAAAAGACACAAAAUAGUAGUUGUAAAAUCAAUGCUAAAAAAUUUAUCUUGUAAAAAGGGGAUUUUGCUAAUAAUGAACUACGUGCCAUUUUUUUGGAACAAGGAAAAAGGAAAAUAAAACUUGGGUUCCUCUCAAAAAUCUUGAAUUUUCCUGCUAGAUUUUAGUCUGCAAAAUUUGUGUGUGUGAAUGGGGGAGAAACUUAGUCUACUGCAAGAGUGUUUGUGGGCGUGAGAAAGAUAGUCUAACCCGGAUCAUCAAUUUGUCUGUUUCAUGUUUGAACAAUUUGUGCGCAACGGAUCAUCAAUUUGUGUGAUAAAUUGUGAAGAUGAUGACGAGAGGACAGAUGUUAAACUGAGUUUUAGGGCUUUUUUCCCUUGAUAAAUUGUGAUUUUGUGAGAUUGUUUUUAUUUUAAUCGGCUUUGGUUAUAGAGAUUAAAUUUCUCUGGCCGGUUAUUCGAUUAAUCAAUUUAACAUGGUUCGGAUUUGGUUGUUUGAGAGUUUGGUUUAUCAAGAGACACUUGGCAAGAUUAGAAGAAGUGGGAUAGGUUGUGAGACAGGAUGUGACAUAGAAGAUCCGUUGCGCAAAUAAUGCUUACCUGUACAAAACGCAACCUAAGCAACUUAUGUUCCACAUAAUGAAAUGAAGAUAUGGCCUUACCUUAUAUUUUCUUUCUUCCCCUUGAUUUAUCAAAAUAUGAAAUAAUAAUCUCUCUCGUAUCGAUUUCUCAUUUGUGAUGUCGCAUUGUUUAGCAACAUUGUUUUGAAACUGAGAAUUGCCAAUUUUCCAUAGCUAUCUUUGGCAUUUUCAAUUAUUUAUUUUUAAAAAUUUCUCGUGGACUUGAGUUUUCGAAGGUAAUGUGGAUCCGACUUGUAAAACCACGUUGAAUUUUCCCCUCAGAUAUCUAACCAAAAUCCAAGCUGGGGACGAAUUGUUACUUGUUGUAUAUCAGGGGGAAAAUGAAAGAAAAAGAAGGAAGAAAAAAUCGCAUGAAAUGCUAGAAUAUCGUAUACAUAUUUGGGUGGAAAGGGAACAAUUUUUUUAGUGUAAACUGUAAAGUUUUAUACUUUUAUUAGCUAAUAGUAAUAUCUACAUUCUUGACGCCAUAAUUCUCUGAAAGAUCAUAAUUAGCAUAAAAUUGCAUAAGGUACAAAUAAAGUGCAAAUUUUUGGGAAAAUUAAUUCCAGAAAAUUAACUUUUCUUGACCAAUAUUAAUGAAAAUAGCUCUCAGCCACCUUAAAAGUUCAAAAAUUUUCAGCCACCUCCUUCUGACUCAUUGCAGGUCUUUUGCCAAUUGAUGAGGACUUUUCAGAGUGUGGAAAAAAGACCAGUAUGAUGGCUGGAGCAGGAAAAACCAAAUAACCAGUUUUCAUCAUGCAAAAUUCAAACUGAAUUAUUUCCUGGAAUUGUCACGUACUUUAAUAUAUUCAAUUUGAGAAUGUUGAUUGGGGAAGGGCUUCUUAUAAAUUCUUAGUGUCAAAUGGUAGAAUAAUUCAUUGUUGAGAUGCACAAAUUAAAAAGGAUGAAAUUAAAAUUUGAGAUAGAUUAAAGGAAAAGAAUGCAUUCAAUAAGAGAAUGGAUACACUAAUUUUACUCACAAGGCUCGUUAAAUAGGAUGCUCCAUAGACCAAACUAGUUGUGUUGAACCAAGAUUUUGAGGCUGCAAGGUCAUGAAGACAUGAUACAGCAAGAAGGCAUUGGAAGACAAGCUCAACCAUGCAAGGCCAACAAAGAAAUUAGGCCUCUCAGGGACCAAAUAGUCAUCAUUUUUUUUAAUAAAUAAGAGUUCUUCAUGCCAAGAACGAAUACAGGAGAUUAUCUGAUAUAUUAUUUUGAAUAAUUACUAUAACAUUUUCUAUGAUGUGAUACAUGGAGUAAAAGAUGAGAAUUAUGUGAAUCUCUAAAGCUCAACAACACACUUAAGACUUUGUCUGCUUCACAAAAGGAAUACUAGCAGACGAGGGCAUUAAAGUAGCAUUCAAUGAAUAGGUAAUUACCUCCAUUUCGAAUUAGCUUAAUUGUUAUUAACUUGUUAUUUCUUUUCAUUAGAAGAAAAAGAGGAGAAAAAGGGUCAAAUUUUGCUCGUUAUGCUAUUUGUUUUCUUUUGAAUAGCACUUUACUACCGGAGAAUUGAUUUGAGGCUGUAAGACCAAAAAGUUAUGUUUUAGUAAGAGCACCUAAGAGUCCAAAGACCCUAGCAGUAACAAUGAGUAAUAAUUUCCAAUGGGCUAAUGCGAUGUUGUAACCAAACAGUGGAAUAAAAAAAAAACUAUCUUUCCUAAUGUUAUGUUACAAUUAGUAUUUCCUACACUAACAAUAUAUAUACACUGUCAGCUUUAAAUGAAUGACAAUUAUGCGAAAUUUGAAUUUGAAUUCAAACUUUUACACAUAUGUCAUGAAUUCAAUAAUAAAAGUGUAUACAAUAUUAGUAUAUAACAUUUACUCGUUAUUUUAGCCCGAAAAAACAAAAAUAAGUCCCUUGAAAAUGCAAAGAGUAUUUGACAUCAUAUUCAUAUGGGCAAGGAAUCCUGGUCCUCUCAUUGUUGAAUCAUUUUGUAUGCUGGUUCAGUUUACUUCAGUUUAGCCUGCAACUGCAAUCCAUUAGGGUCAGAGAUUAUUAAAGUCACGACAGUUGGGCCUUAGUGAUUAUUCAGCAUUUUAUGAAACUGCUUUCCAGAGCAAAGAAACUUGAAUUCAAGAACGUAGUUGCACCUUUACAAGCACAAACCAGUUAAGCAAACAUUUCUGAGCAACUUGCUGGGGACCUGCCUUUUCCAAUGUUUUUUGCGAAAACCAAAAAUUUCAGCUACUUUUUGUGGUGGCUUAUCUCAAUCUCAUCAUAGUUUGUGCAUAGAUUUUGUGAACUGAUAGGUGGUACACAUGAAAACUUCAAAAAUGCAUAGAAGUCAUCUUAUAGGACACGCAAAAUUGUGCAGAAAAACAGUUUGCAGCAAACUCUAGACCAAAUUGAACAAACCUAGACAACUUCGAACUACAAAGAAUUUAAACCCUCUUCUUCCUAUUGGUUACAGGUCUUUUGCCCGUUGCAGAAGAUUUGCCCGGAUGCGACAGCAGACCACGUAAAAUGGCUAGAACAGAUAGACCCAAAAAUGGUGAGUAAAUCCUUAUCAGUGUAUCAGACGCCUUCCCAGAUGCUGUUAAUUCUGCCAGUAUCACAACCUGCAUUGCAUGAAAUUCAUCAGAAAAUGGAACAGGAAAGAUAGGUUGUCUAAAUUGUGCUCAAUGUCAUGGCAAGCAAGUUUUCUCGUCUCCCUCAAAAAAUUAGGACAGAUAAAUAGGAGUAAAGAUGUUAAGGAGGUUAGAAGGGUUUAGCCACAGCCUGUGCGCAAAAGAUGUAUUUGACGGGGAACUUAUUGAGACCCUAACUCGAGCUCCUGAUCUCUUCAACAUAUCUUGAAAUAAAAAAAAUAAAAAAAAAAAUCUUUUUCACACAAGCAUGCUAUAGCAUUGCUUAUGACAUUUGAUAGAAAUUUAUCUCAGAGAUGAGACAUCACAACCAGAAAUCUCCAUGACCUCAAGAAUGGUCUGUCUACAUCUACAUCUGUCAUAGGUCUGAGUUCAAUCCCACCCUUGACUUCCUUAACCUUCCCCUCCCCGCCCCAGUCCUAGCCCCUGCCACACCCAUCCGCCUGGAAUAAGGAGGAGGAAGAAUGGCUUUGGUAGUAAGGCAACAAUAAGAAAAGCAACUAGAAAGUUAGCAUACAUAGAGAGAAGCAUACCCAUAGCUAUAAUCUCUUCUCAGUGCUUCAAAAGAGCUUGAGCAUAUUGCUAAACUAUAUCCAAAAUCAGAAAAACCAAAAAAUGCUAAAGAGAGAUCAUUUAUCCAAAAGUAAAAGCUAAAAUCAUGCUUCAAAUGUGGCAAAAGCCCCUAGUUUGGACAAGGGUCAACUGGCCACAACUGCUGGCCCGAACGCACAUUAACUAUUUCGUUGAAUUAAAAAAAUAAAAAAUAAAAAUAAAAUUUUGCUUGAGAUUGAUCCCUAUAUACAUACAUGCAGUGAAAGUAUUACUUUUGCAUAUUCACGUGCACAUACACACACAUACCUAAGUAUGUAAAUGUACAUAAUUAAAUUGUUUUCUUGCUUCUUGAGGAAGACUUUACUAAAACAGAGAAGCAAGAAAGCUUUGGAGAUGAAAAUUAGCACUAAAUAGCCAGCCCGUGCUUCCAAAGUUUCUCAAGAUGCCCACAGGGAUGAAACUCAGUGUUCCCUACUCACUCAAUAAUCUUGCUCAGAAUACUUUUGGGCUAUCUAUUAUUAACUACUAGAGUCACUAAGAACAUAAUGCCUGGUGAACUUCCAAAAUUGAUUGAAUACAAGUCUUGACUUAUGUAGCUUAAGAUUCCAAGAUGAUCAAGAAUGCAGGACCUCGUCUCAAAAUUUCAAGUCACAGAAAGUUUCAAAUCAGAUUAAAAUCUCAAGAACAGAUUCAUAACACCAUCAUUUAUAGCUUUGCUACUAAAUUCAUUCACUGCUAAUAUCACUCUACAAUAAGAGUCUAAUUUUGGCUACUGAAAGCAAAUCAGACUCAAAGUGAACCAAAUUGUUCCUUUGUCAUUGUUCAAACGUAAAAACUCCAUCUUUCUUGAAGAUCCAAUCAGAACGUGAAAUCAUCAGCCAGUCAAGAUAUCCUCUGCAAUGAGUUUGUUCCUUGAACUAUGGCAUCUCUCAAGAUUAUCUAAGCAUUUCCUGAUCCCAUAACACAUUGGCAUUCAAUUUAACAACCCUUCUGAAGUGAUAUAACAGAUCCCAUUCAGAUCAAUUCAUUUUUUUAUGAUUAAAAAGCUUAGCAAAAUAGAGCAAAUUAUCCGGCUGGCCAUUAAACUUUUGCGAUCGUUGAGUUUUGGUCACUCAACUAUUAAAAGUCUGGUUUUGGCCACUAAAAUGCAUAAAGUUAAAAUUCGUGGCCAUUCUGUUAGAUUUGGCCGUUAAAUUCACCGAUCUGUCUGUCUGCACGAUUUUCAAAACAAAAUGCAGGGUUAAUUUAGGAAGUUAAAAAUAGCAUCUUCUUCUUUAGGCCAAGUUCCUCAAGUUCCUUCCUCAAGCCCAGAAGCAUUGGUGAUUGAAGUGGGAAAGAUUCCAGAGAAAUUGUUUUCCGUAACAGCUAUUAGUUUCAGAUUUGGUAGGGUGAGACCCACAUCAAUUGGGAGAUUGCCAUGGAAGUCAUGGUAUGGAACUCCAAGUAGUCCUUCCUGCAACAGAGUCAAAGCUGCCGGAAUGCUGACUCUCCUAGUCAAUAGGGCUAUUGAAACCAAUCCACCCUAAGCAGCAGCCACCCAAGAGAUCCACAAAGGACCGCCAUACCAAAGUUGACGACCGAGGCAGGCGUAUCCGAAUGCCGGCUGCCUGUGCAGCUAGGGUUUUCCAGUUGACUCGAGAGCUAGGUCACAAGUCCGACGGCGAGACAAUCAAGUGGCUUCUACAGCAAGCCGAGCCAGCCAUAAUCGCCGCCACCGGCACGGGAACCAUCCCGGCUAACAUUUCAACCCUCAACAUAUCCGUCAGGAGCAGCGGCUCCACUCUCUCUGCUCCUCCUUCAAAUUAAGGAAAAAAAUAUAGGGAAGAUUUGUUUAAAGAGGAAGGAUCAAGCGGCCGCCAAGGAGACGGCGCAGAUGAAACUUCCCCUUCUCCUUCAAAUAAGCAAUUCAAAGUAGGAGGUGGUGGUGGUGGCAUGCAGAUACUGGUGGCGUUGCAGAUACGCUCCGAAAUCUACUGGUGGCGUUGCAGGAGUGAUGCCUGCGGUGGAUGAAAAGGGUCUGACGAAGAUUUGAAGAGGGGCAGGAAGAAGAACAACAAUUUUUUAGAGAAGCAUUGAAUGCUAUAUUGAAUUCCUAAAUUAACCCUAUCUUUUGUCUUGGAAAUCGCGCGAACGGACGUAUUGACGAACUUAACGGUUAAACCUAACAGAAUGGCCUUAUAUCUUAACUUUAUAUAUUUGAGUGGCCAAAACCAGACUUUUAAUAGUUGAGUGACCAAAACUCGACGAUGGCAAAAGUUUAAUGGCCAACCAGAUAAUUUGCUCUUUAUAGUAUCCAAAACAUAAAAAACAAUUUACUUCACCCUUGUACAUUCUCUCAUGCUAUAUGCUUGAGUUCAAAAAUUUGAUGAAUGAUUUGAAAUUCUCUUAAAUCCCUGUAUUUGUUUAGAUUAUUUAAAAAAUAUUUAAAUUUAUAAAUCACCAAUUAUUCUAAUAUUUAAUAAAUACUUUAAUAAUUGGUGAAUUACAAAGUCAAAUGCUUCUUAAUCAAUCCAAAUAACUAAAAUGAUUUGGGUGAAUUUCAAAUCCUUCAUUAAAUUCGUCAAUCCAUAUGAAACCAUAAAGUUUUUUCACGACCGUAUUGCAUUGAAAACAGCUUUGCAAGUGAUCUACCAAACAAUAAACAAAAAUUGUGCAAAUAAUAAAUUUAUUCUAGUAGUUUCAAAGAAAUUGGAUGGCAAAGAACUACUUCAAUAUUUGUAAAAUGAUUCGAACUCGACAGAAUUCAAAAAUCCAAUUCAAAAUGCCUUUGUGCUAUCAAUGCUGAGUAUGUUAGAGGCAAACUACCAAUUUCUAAUUUAAAAAUAUACAUAAAUACCUAGGUUGAAGAUUCAAAACAUUUUCAUCUUAAUUUAACAUAAUAAACAGUGAUGCAUUUCCUCCUAAUUGUGGUAUGCUGAUGACAAAAUUAAAGUAACCAAACUUGGAAAACUUACAUAAGCAAAGUUUAGCUAUGUCACAGGUUCAUAAUCUAUGCUAUCCCUGUCCAGCUUGUAAUCAAUCUAAGACUAGAAAUUCAGCCACCAAAACAUGGUACAAUGUAAUUACAAAUGGGACUAGUAAAUUGAAGGAAAGAAGGAAAUCAUCUAGCAAACGCACUAAAUAUGCAAUGAAAUCAUUUGAUGCUAAUAUCACUUAAUCCACCAAACCAUCCAGGCUCCACAUCUGCUCGAAAGUUGACGCUAGAUGGUGGUUGUGGAGCAAGUAGAACCUCCUUAAUGUUGUUUAGGAUUCCUUUGUCAUAGGGGUUUCCAGAGUUCACAUACUUUUGAUGAAAAUGCUCAUAAGAUGUCUGCACGAGGCAUAAUAUAGAAACUGCAUCAUAAUUUGUUUAAGCAGCUAUUUAGACUGGCCUUCUAUGUUUAUGUGCCAAAGCAGAAAUUUCCUCAAAGCUGUGCACUUUAAAUAAUUGUUGUACCAAAAAUUCAGUACUGUUCUCAAAAGAAUUGCCCGUUAAUUAAUAUAUUUGACAUACAUGAACUACAAUCAUGCAAGAAAAAAAUGCAUUAAUUCAACUUUGAGAUAAACCGUGAUGAUAUAAGUACUGUUGGCAUAAAUGAAAGUAUAAAGGGCAAACCUGGUUUAUAGCAAUUAGAUAAACAUGGUAACAAGAAAAGCCAGCAAGAAAACACAUGGCUACAAAACUGAAUAAUGUCAAUGCCACAGUCUCCGGGUCAUUUCUUAGAAAUCCAAUCACCCCAUUUCCAUCUCCGGGCAAUUUGUGAUGUACUGAUUUGCACGAGGAGAUAAAUAUGAAGGCAAAUAAGAGCAAUCCUGUCAAUAGAAAUGUAACAUGAAGCCGAUAAUUCCUCUGCAUUUUGAAAGAAAAAAGUUAGAAAGCUAUAGUUAGUAAACUAAUUUUAAUGCCAGAAGGACUUGCAGGGUUGUGAUCAUACAUACCAAUCCCACACAAUGCCCGAUCCAGGUGCAAUGGUGAUCGAAUUGUUGGAUGCAAUUGUUACAAGUUGCACAAUGACAAGUUCUUGGCGGACGAUAAAUGUUACAAAUGUUACAAAACUUCACCUCUAUCCCAUUUAUGACAACUACCCUUGAUCUCCUUCUGCGUUUACCAGCAUCAAUUGUUCCUAGAUCAUUUCUAGGAAUUAUACCAGGAUCAAUGGUACUGACAUAUACCAAGUUCACAAGAACCUGCAUUGCGGGCAAUAUAUAGUUACAUCAGCAGAAGGGCAUUCGGUUACGUUCACAACUUUCUCAUACAAGAGUGUGUGUGUGUGUGAAAUUUAGUUUAGGACUAACAAUUGUUGUCAAAAUUGAAGAUGUUACGAUGAUGGCCGGAUUCCUUAUGUCACUUGCAACAUGAACCGCAAAUGUCCAACUUGAUAGACUAAUAGCAAUGGCAGCUAAAAUCAGCCCUUUUGGAUCCGGACCACAAAUCAGUCUCCCUUUGAAAAAGAAUACCUACAUUCAGAAUAAGACGUCCGACAUCAAAUCCUCCUCUCUUUUUUUUUUUUGCGUAAGCAUCAAAUCCUCCAUUUCUCAUUUCAUUUAAACCAAUAAACUAAAAGCUUUAUCAAGAUUCAGCAAGUGCAAUGAUAAGAAAUAGCUUUGGAAUGUAAAGCAAGAGCAAAUGGAGGAUUACAUUGUUUCCAGGCCAAAAAUGGUAAACUCUUGAUUGUUCAAGUUCGUCGCCGCCUCGACAAAAUCGAAAAGUUUUUUCUUGAACCACCCUUUGGAAUCUAAUUAUUUUCUCCCAAAGAGAAGAAAGCAGUUGCUUGCUUUUUGCUUGAAAACUAACUUCAGAAUUCUUAUCUACCUUCUUUCCUGAUGACAUAGAACUUUCUGUAGGUUGAUCAAUUUCUAAUGAGGCAGAACUAUCGAUAGCUUGAGCGACUGAAGAAUUUACGCUGCCGUCUUUCUCUUCACUCGCCAUCCACUCCAUUCUCUCUGAUUUCUACCAUCUAGACUCAAAUUAAGAACUUCAAUUUGUAGACGAUAACCACCCCGGGUGAAACUUGUCACUUGUGACUGGAAAAGAUAUUUCAGAAAACUAAAGCGGUUAUUAUUUUGUGUUCAUUAGGUCCAAGCCAUCGGGUUAAAGUGUGCACGCACCACCCGGAUGCAAUAUAAACCAAAAUAAGCCAGUCAACUCACUGAUCCAUUUUGCACACAUCUGUCAAAUUGGGCUCGGGGAGGAAUCCACAGAAAUGGAUGGGUCAGCGGAAUCCCAGUGGAUGCUGGACUGAACCAGUGGAUCACUAUAAUAAAGGCGUGUUUGGACAGGAGAUCAUUUGAAAUAUUAUUUUGAUUUGCAUCAUAGCUGCAAUCGAAACACAGUCGUAACUUUUUAAUAUGAGAUAUGUCGGAUGACAUCACUAAAAUUUUUAUAAGUAAUUUUUACUUAAUUUAAUGAGUUAUAGAAUGCUAAUAAUUGGGAGAGUUAUGACAAAUAAAUAUGUACUUAGUAAUCUACCCAUCCUUUUUUUAUGAGUAAAUCUUUCCUACACUGACGGUGUAUACACUAUUAUCGUUGGAUUCAUAACAUGUAUGCAACAGUUGAAUUUUAAAUUCAAAUUUUGCAUAGUUGUCAAUCAUCCAACGCUGAUAGUAUAUACACUGUCAGUGUAAGAAAGAUUAAUCCUUUUUUUAUUAUGAAUAUUGUUAAGAAGUUGUGAGUAUACAAUGUCAUUAGAGUGAUCUUUGUUUUGAGAAUUAAUUGUUGUAAUAUAUCAUUUUGUUAAUCUAUUUCUAAUUUGUAAAAUAGAUUUUGAGGAGCAACAAGUUUUAGUAAAAAGUUCCAAAUGAAUAUUUGUAAAGUGUGUUCUAGGAAACAUAAACAAUAAAUUUAAUUUGUAAAUUUAAGUAAGGAUUCAUAAUUAAUAUUUGAAAAUUAAUAUAUUUAAUAUAAAGCUUUACUCAAUAAGAAUAAACACGAAAUGCCCCAACAUUAAAUUCUAUAAAAAUAAUGACUUUGCAAAUAUACUGUUGGGAUCCAAGAGCAGAACAAACGACUAUUGAAAAAUCAAUAAUACAAUAAUUUAAUGAUAAACAACUCACAAGUAUAAAAAAUAAAUAACACAUAGAAUUUAGCGUGGUUCAACUCUAUCAUUGAACCUAUAUUCACAGAGAAAAACUCAUUUUUUUAUAAGAGUAAAAUUUUAUAUAAGAAUACAACUUGAAUCCAUACUCAACUUUUAUAUAUCAUCUCUCAUCUCCCAAAAACUCUCUCUCUCCCCCAUAUAUAAGGGGCAUGUCGUCCUUAUGCGCUAUUUUGUAGUAUGCCAACCUCCAUCUAUUAAUAAGAUACAUUAUUUGACCAACACCCAAGUAAUAACAAGAAAUAAUUGCUUAUUCCUAAUAUCAAAUAUGGAUAUGGAGGAGCUGGUUCAUGAGGUCAGUACUGAAAACCCUAGCCCACCUAGCCAAAGGAACAAUAAGAAGGAGAACAAGGAGGGAAAGGAUCAAGGAAAGUUGACUCUAAGAUCUGGUCCAGGGAGGGAGGAAAAAAGAAAACAACAAAGGGCUUUCCACAGAAUAAAAAGAACGCCAUUAGGAGAAUUGAAGACAAACAUACAGGAAGUGGUAUAAGGAGGAAAAAGAAAGAAGAGGGAGGAAAAAGAUGAGGGGGAACCAAUGGAAGAGGAUGAUUGGGAGGAACCUUUACAGAAAUUAAUCAAGAAGGAGGUUCAACUAAGCAAAAAAGAAGGGGAAUGGGAGGCUAUCCCCAUAAGGCCUCCUCAAUGGAAAUGAAGGUGCUGUUGUGGAAUUGUCGAGGUGUGGGAGGACCCUUGACAAUUUCCCAGUUGAAGGAGAUGAUAAAUCUCCACUUUCCAAGUAUUGUUUUCUUAUGUGAGACAAAAACCCAAAAAAUAGUUAUGGAAAAAGUAAAGAGACAGAUAAAAUUUGAUCAUUGCUAUGCUGUAGACUCGGUUGGAAGGGCAGGUGGCUUGGCUUUUUUCUGGAAAGAAGAGGUGCAGGUGGAUAUUAUCAGACAUGGAAAUUUCUUCAUAGAGACAAAAAUAAAGGAUCUUGAGGCGAAGAGCGAAUGAUGGUUGGUAGGGGUGUAUGCUAGUACUGAGGAGAACACCAGAAAAGAGCAAUGGAAGAAAAUAGAACAAAAAAAAAACAGGAAUGGGGGGAUCACUGGAUUUUAGUGGGUGACUUUAAUGACAUCAAAUCAGGAAAAGAAAAAUGGGGGGAGGGUAAGACCAGAGGGGAGUUUCAGAGAGUUUAACAGGUUUAUCAAAGAAAAUGAGUUAGUCGACAUAGAUUUUGAAGGGAAACCAUGGACGUGGUGUAAUCAAUGGGAAAGAGAUGGUGAGGUGAAAGAGAAGCUUGAUAGAUGUUUAGGAUCAGUGGGCUGGUACCAACUUUUUGCUAAAGCAAUCUGUCAUCAUCAAGAAACUGAAGCCUCAGACCAUAACAUUCUUAUUCUGGAUAAUAACCCCAAUCAAAGGAAACCAAAAAAGAGAUUCUAUUUUGAUCAAAGGUGGGCAAGAAAUGAGGACAGUAAAGGAAUUAUAGAGACAACAUGGGGAAUAGAACAGAAAGGAUCAAGGAUGUUCAUAGUGAUGAGAAAGAUAAAGGAAUGUAGAAUGGCUCUGCUGGCAUGGAACAGAAAGUUGAGGAUGAACUCUGGGAAGAAAAUUACACAGAUUAAGGAGAAGCUGCUGGAAAUAAAAGAGUCAAGUGGAGAAGGAAUACGAGGCCAGAUAGCAGAAUUAAAGCUGAAGCUUAGCAAGGCAUAUAAGGAGGAGGAACUCUACUGGAGUCAGAAAGCUAGAUGCAGGUGGCUGAAGGAGGGGGAUAAGAACACAGCUUACUUCCAUGCAAGUGUGAUGGCUACGAGGAAGAGGAACAAAAUCACAAUAUUGCAGCGAGAUAAUGGGAACUGGUGUAGUAUAGAUCAAGAAGUGAAGGAGGAGAUAUGCAGCUAUUACCAACAGAUGCUCACAACCAAAAACACUGAGGAGGUGGAAGUACCACAAGAUGUUCCUAAUACUAUCUCAAGACAGAUGAAUGAGCGACUGAUACAACCAGUGGAGGAAGCUGAGAUAAAAAAAGCUCUCUUUUCUAUGCAUCCAAAUAAAUCUCCGGACACAGAUGGUAUGUCUCCUUUGUUUUUCCAAAAGUAUUGGAAUAUAAUCAGGCUUGAUGUGGUGAAUGCUAUUACCAGUUUCUUCCAUACUGGAAAUAUGCUGAGAGCUUUUAAUGAUACUCUUAUAACCUUGAUCCCUAAGAUAGAUAACCCUCUAAACUUGACUCAGUAUAGGCCUAUCAGUCUGUGCAACACUAUGUAUAAAAUUAUCUCUAAGGUUCUGGCUAACAGACUGAAAAUGGUUCUUAAUAGGUGCAUCAGUGAAUCUCAAUCUGCCUUUGUCCCUGGCAGGUAGAUAAUGGAUAAUGUGCUUAUUGCUCAUGAAGUCAUGCAUUACCUUAAAAAUAAGAGGAAAGGAAAAGUAGGUUUUAUAGCCCUGUAGUUAGAUAUGUCUAAAACUUAUGAUAGGGUUGAAUGGCAGUUUGUAUGGAUGAUGAUGAUGCGCAUGGGAUUCUGUCCUAUUUUUGUUCGUUGGAUCAUAUCCUCUGUUUCAUCUGUAUCUUAUUCUUUUAACCUGAACGGAGAAAGGGUGGGAUACAUCAAAGCCAGUAGAGGGCUAAGACAAGGAGACCUCCUUUCUCCUUACCUUUUUUUUAUUUGUGCAGAGGGAUUAUCUCAUAUGAUCAACAGGGAGAUUAGCCAGGGGAAUGUCACAGGAAUCAAAACCAGCAAAAGCAACCCCCAAAUCUCGCAUUUAUUCUUUGCAGAUGAUUCGUUAAUAUGCAACAAAGCAACUGUCCAGGAGGCCAAGCAGGUGAAGAUAUUUUACUGGAGUACACCAAAAUGUUUGGUCAAAUGGUAAAUUUUGAAAAAUUAGCCGUGUAUUUUAGUAGGAAUACUCCCUCAAAUGUCAGAGAAAAAGUGUGUCAAGAGCUAGGCAGCAUGAGGGAAGCAGGGAGUGGCAGAUACUUGGGUCUACCAAUGGCUAUAGGAAGAUCAAAAAAUCAAGUGUUUGGGUAUAUCAAGAGCUCAGUCAUGAAUAAAAUGAAAGGCUGGAAAAACAAAAUGUUGAGCUCAGCUGGAAAGGAAGUGUUAAUUAAGUCAGUGAUCCAAGCGAUGCCCAAUUAUGCUAUGGCUUGCUUCAAAUUGCCUAAGGGACUAUGUAGGGAUAUAUGCAGGGGUAUUGCGAACUUCUGGUGGGGAGGCUCACAACAAGAUAGGAAUAUGCAUUGGAUAAGCUGGAAGAAAUUAUCAGAAGUAAAAGGAAAGGGGGGACUGGGGUUUAGAGAUUUGGAAGCAUUUAAUGAAGCCUUACUUGCCAAGCAGCUUUGGAGAAUUAUUACCUCUCCAAAUCUACUGAUGAGUAAGGUGCUCAGAGCUAAGUAUUUACAGGCCCCAAAUGCUCUAGAUAGUAAUCCCCCCCCCAAUCAGCAUCAUGGACGUGGAAAAGCAUUCACAGUGCACGGAGACUGGUACAAAGAGGUCUGUGGAAAAGAGUAGGAGAUGGUUGUCAGAUAAACAUAUGGAAGGAUAGGUGGAUUAUGGGUUCAUGUACAGGCAAGGUAUCCACAAGCUGUCCUCUAAAUUGCCAGAUUCAAACUGUAAAUCAGUUAAUUAAAGAUGGAAGAUGGAAUGCAGAAAUUCUACAACAAAUAUUCAAUCCAGAGGAUAUAGUUCAGAUACUCAGCAUGCAACUUAGUUGUUUCAAAAGAAAGGAUAGGCUAUUCUGGAGCUUCUCAAAAUCCGGUGUGUACACGGUGAAGACAGCCUAUGCAAAUGUACUGAAAGAUAAGAAAGGAGAUAAGAGGAGAAAAAGUGCAGGAGAGGAAACAAAUUGGGAAAUCAGGAAGCAUAGCAUAUGGAAGCAUCUCUGGAAGCUGAACUUAAAGCACAAGCUGAAACUUUUCAUUUGGAGGAGUCUACAGAAUAGUUUAGCUACCAAAGAGACUGUCUUUAAUAGAACAGGGAAGGGGGACAGAAUUUGCAGUGUCUGUGGAGAGGGAGUUGAAACAAUGGAGCACAUGUUUUUCCACUACCCGAUAGCCCAAACUGUAUGGAAAAUAGCACCAGUGAGAUGGGAAGGACUGCAUGAUCUUUAAAAUAAUAUGUGGAGAUGGUGGGAAGCAGUGAAUCAGGCAGAGGCAGUGGCAAAUGGAAAAGAAAGAAUCAACCUAACUGCCAACAUACUUUGGCAAAUAUGGAAAACAAGGAAUAGGACCCAUUUUGAACAAAAAAAAUGAGAGGCAAGAGAGAUUAUUGGGAAGGCACAACAAGAAUGGGCUGAAUAUGAAGAGGCUACAGGACAACAAAGCAAGGAACAUGUGGGAGAAGAACGGGUUGUCCAGCAAGGAAGAAUGAGAGAUCCACCAUAGGAAGGUGUCAUCAGAAUCAAUACAGAUGCGGCAAUAAAUUCAAAUUUGAUCAGAACGGGAAAGGGGAUAAUAGCAAGGAAAUUGACAGGGGAGAUUUUGAGAGCUAGAGGAGUAAGGGAGUUAAAGCAGGGACAGGCACUAAUGGAAGAAACACUAGCUAUUAGAAUGGCUCUUCAAAUGGCAAGACAAGCGAAAUGGGAAAAGAUAGAAGUGCUGUCAAAUUGUAAAGCAGUAGUUGACAUGAUCUUCAGCAACAAUGUCCAGGACGAUCACUUAGCAACCGUUCGAGAAGAUAUUGAGGACCUAAUGAAAGGUUUUGAACAGUGCACAGUUUCAUUUGUGUCUAGAUCAGCUAAUGUAGGAAGUCAUAGGCUAGCAAAAUUUGCAACACAGCUAGUUAAUGACAUUGAUUGGGAAAACAACUACCCAACUUGGUUAGUAGAAGCAGCCAACAAUGACUGGAAGGCUGAGACUUUUUUUUGUAAUUAAGCCCUUGUAUUAUCAAGUGAGUAUAUAUAAUAUGACAUCUAACGUUUGAGAAAAAAAUAUCAAAUAUGGAAUAAGAAAUAAUUUCUAAUUUUUAAACUCAUACAAAUAGGAAUAACUGGACAACUAAUCCAAGUAACUAAACCAUUAGAAAACUAGUUACUUAUACACAAAAUGAGAAACCUACCUAAAAUAAAUUAAAUCAAUUUCCUAACAUAUACCUUUAAGGAAAUGUCUUUAAUUACAUUUCUAAUUGAUAAACAUGAUGUUUUAUUACACUUCAGAAAGAGCUUCAUUGGGGAAACAUCUAGUUUUCUUUUUCAUGUCUUCAUUUUGCAUGGGAAACAAGAGGAGGAAUGCUUUGCUCAUGGUAGAAAAAAUUGUCUGGAUAAACUGCACCUUUAAUAAGUGUCAGCCUCUCAAAGUUAUUCUUGAAGUACAUUGAUCCCAAUACCUUAGCUUCAAAGUAAGCAAUCCCAUAAACAUCAUUUGAACCUAUAUCAAGAUCUUUGAUAUUCACAAUAGCACCUCUUGGUUCUUUUAAAACGUGAGAAGUCAUGGACUCGAAUAGCCCUUCUAUCCAUUUCAUGUACUUUUGUGAAGAUCCACUAGAAUUAUCGUCCUUCUAGGUCACUACAUAUAGGAGUUCAUAAAUCACACCUUUCCUGUAUGGAAAUGGAGUUUCUGAGUCUGAUAUUUUGUUCAUAAUCCCACCAUAAGGAUGAAAGAUUAUAAUUGUAGAAAAGUCUACUUCUGAACACCAUUUCCACAUCUCGUCUAUUGCUUUAUAAGGUAGAGGUUUAUGAAUUAAGUCUGACUUGCUUUUGAAGGGAUAAUUAGGUACUGGCUGUAUCCUAUUCUUAAGGGCUUCUAUAGUUUCCCCUCUUUGAUACUUAGGAAAAUGGGAUACGGAUUCAAUCCAACUCAUCUCAAAGCAAUCUUCUUUUCUUAAUCGCAUUUCAGGGAAGCUUUUCUCCAUCACUUUAAGAAGCUGAUCGACUUUGCCAAGGAAUAAUGACUGAAACAUUGCUUUUGUUGGAGUUCCAUUUCCAGAUGAUACGGUUAUGAAAAUCAGCAGAUCUUCACUUAGCUUGUGUGCUAUGCCCUGCCAUUUGUCGAUAAGAUCUACGGCGCCUUGCUCAUAAGUCUUGGAUAUUUGGAAAAUAGUGACUACAGGUGGAACAUGCACGAGCUUGAUAUUCCACGCAAGGAUAACCCCAAAACUUGCUCCUUCACCUCCUCUAAUGGCCCAAAAAAGAUUAAUUCUUAUCGAUUCCCAGUCAAGAAUUCGACCAUUUACAUUAACCAUGAUUGCAUCAAUGACAUUAUCAGCAGCUAGUCCAUACUUUCUAAUCAGGUUACCUACACCACCACCACUGAAAUGUCCACCAGCACCAACGCCUGGGUAGUUCCCAGUAGGAAAGGCAUGGGCACAACUUUUCUCAGCAAUGGAAUACUGCAAUUCGCCGAUUGUUACACCAGACUCAACCCAAGCACUAUUUCCUUCAAUAUCAAUGCUAAUUGACCUAAGAUUUCGAUCAAGUAUGAUGAAUGGAAAUUCAGACUUAUAGGAUGUGCCCUCGAAAUCAUGGCCGCCACUUCGAAUCCUCAUUUGUACUCCAUCUCGUUUGCAACAUAUGACUGUUGCUUGAAUGUGAGAGUAUUCUAGAGGAAUGAUUAUUGUCAAAGGUUUUGCUUUUGUGCUUGAUACAGAGAACCUAGGAUUUUGGAUUGAAGAUUUCACGAUGGGUAAAUAAGAACAGUUGUUGGGGAGAUAAAGAACAUUCAGCACUGAGAUAUUUGAUGAGAAGUUAUUGACAGAAAGGCAAUGCAUGAAGCUAUCAGGAAACGAACUUGAGUAUGAUGAUGGAAUUAUUAAGGAAAACAAGGCAGUGAAUGACAAAACUUUUAGACAUUUCUGUCACCAUUUCUAUGAUAUUCUGAAUUAUGACUUAAAAAAGCUAUGAAUUGCUCGUCUUAUUUUUAUCCAUUACAAUUGACCGGGACUGAUUGUCAUAUAAAUUAAGAAAUACAUGUAAAGUUGGCCUGCAGGCCCGCUUUAAAAAAAAAAAGAAGUUGUACUCUCUCUAUUGCAUUGUAAGAAAUCGUUAGUGAAGACACUAGCUAGCUCCAAAUACGCAGUUCUGGUCAUCUAAGAUUUUUUGCAUUCCCAAUCUUGUAUCAAUUAAAUAUACAAGUCUGCCUAUUUAAUAUAAUUUUGUAAAUUUGGGGCUCUCUUAUGUAGUCAACUUGGGACAAAAAUUUUGGUAGUUUUAAACUUAAUAACUAGGCAGACUUAUUCUUUGCUCAAGACAUAUAUGCAGUCAAUGUUUUUUUUUUUUGGAAUGUCUUUUACAAAAGAGCCAUUUAUUUUGUCCUUCUUUCAGGGUUGCCUCCGGCAAUAAAGAGCCAAACGUCGAACUUGUAGAACCUUCGAUGUAGUCUCACCAAGGAACCAUGCAUAUUAAGGUUAAUAUCUAUUAUUGUCUCAUUUAAUUUAGCUUAAUAGCUUUUAUGUGAUCUCGUCAACUCAUAUUAUGUUGCUUGAUUUUUUUGCCUUCCAAAUUCCAUGACCAAUCUGUCAUUAAAUACGUACAUUACUAGUUACCAACUCAUUUCACCUUUAGAAUCAGUGUCUUUCAUGUGGGCUUAUGUUAAAUAAGCCUUAAAAAUAUACAAAACCUGAAUUAGAAUGUGUUUGAAAGCAUGAUGAUUAAGUGGUUUCAAUAUGACAUCUAUCCCUCAUUCUUUGUUUUGGCUCUUCGGUUACAUGCACUUAGGACACAACACAAAGAAUGUAAGCUAAUUUUAUUUUGUCCCACAAAAGUUGUAAAUUCUCUAUGCUAAAGUAUCAGUAACUUAAAAGAUUAAAUUUAAGUGUUGAAUUGAAUUAUCAAAUAAACCCUAAAUAGUUUCAAUAUGACAUCAAUCCCUCAUUCUUUGUAAAUUCUCUAUGCCACAAUUUAGAAGAUAAAAAGAAUGCUAGAACUUUAUACUAAUCCCUAAUUUUUGUAUCUUUAUUGUGUACCUUUGGCGUAUAGACUAGCAAAUUUUGGUCUCUUCCUUACAAAAGAUCGGAUGUUCAAAUCUAAUUGCUAAUAUAAGGAUGUGUUGAUAGACAACACAUACCUUUAAGGCUGCGUUGGUGGUCAAUCUGUAAAAAUUCCUGUAAACAAUCCACAGUGUCGGAAGCAUGCCCUAACCCACGGUGUUGAUUAAAGUCAACCCCAUCCAAACUUUUUGGUACCAAAAAUAUUUGUUUAUUUACUUGAAUUCUCCUACUUUGCCCUUAGGAAACAACAAAAAAGGUGACGGGUAUGUUUUCCCUUUUUUUUGUAAGCCUUUUAAUAUUUUGUGGUCUAUUUCGCUCUUUCAUUUUUUUUUAAGUAUUGACUUGGAACAUUUAAUAGACUCAAAUCUAUUAACUUUUAAUUCAACAACUCUUCAUCAGAAGGGUUCUUGCCGUCAUAACGCGCCCGUGUUACUAGGGUGCAUGGCAAUGAACAAUUUCCAAACUCCCCAUCUGAAGGGUUUCCACCCUUAUGGCGCACCCGCGUCAACCUGGCACGUGGUAACUUUGAACUCAACGGACAUUCAUCAGAAGGGUUCUUGCCUUCUUGACGUGUCCACGUCAUGUUCGAGAGAAAGGUAAGUAUUUUAAAAAAAUUUUAAAAAUUUUUAAAAAAUAACAAAUAUUAAGAAAAAUUUUCGUUUACGGUUAAAUUUUUAAAGUUCAAUUUUAAAAUUUGAAUUUAAAAUUACAAAAAAAAAUCGCAACCUUCCUUUUCUUUUUCUUCUUCCUUUCUUUUUCUUUCUUUCUCUUUUCUUCUUUUCUUUCUCCCCUAUUUCUUUUGGUUCCCUCUUGGCCGAAACCCACGAAGCCGCAACCGUCCUCCUCGUGUCCGCCACCAUCACGCCGCCGUUUCUCUCUCUCCCCUGCCGCUCACCUCACUCGUCGCCUUGGGCCACCAUCCUGCACACACCAACGCACGCUGCAACUCUCAAUCUCCCUCGACCCACAGCCGCCACUGUCGCUACGUGACUCGCAGCGCCUGCUGUGCCACUGACUCCCGAACCAGGUCGCCGUCCCAGCUGACUGCCUCAUCGCUCGCGACGUCAACAGCUACCCGCACAACACCUCUCCCUCGCCUCUGUCACGUCACUGCCACCACUGCAUGCCACCAUAGCUCCACACCACCCCCCUCACCAAGCCGCGUGCCAUCCUCGUGCUUCACGGGACCCAUUUGGUUGGGAGUUGCCGUCGCCGCCAUCCGGAUCAAGACACAAGCCGGCGUCCCAUUUCUCCCAACCCGCUACUCCCCUCGUCGCAUAUCACUUCUAUUAGUCGUCGGUGUGGAGGUAUUCACCCUUUUCAACUCUUAACUGAUUGUUUAGAGCAUCAAUUGCAGGGAUUGAUUGUUGGACUCACUUGAGGAUUCCUCUGCUGCAUUAUUACUUGAUUGAGUCGAAUUGAAUUGCUGAAAGUUAUCUGAAUAUUGAUUCAAUUGCUGACUUAUGUGGGUAGUUGUUGAGCUUUUGUUGGCUCAUAUGUGCAUCUAACUGUUCAAUUGAGAGACAACGACACUUGUUCAAUUGAUUGUUGCAAUAGCCAUAGUUGCUAUAUCUGUUUUACUGGGUUCGUAUAUUUGCUGGCUUUCUUUUGUUGACUGGGUUGAUAGUUGGAGACAAUGGUUAGGCCGAGGUCCACCUCCACAUCUAGAAACCCUAACACUCAACCUACUCCACCCUAACCCACCAUUCUUGUGAAUGAACCUACCAACCAACCUUCCUCUUUAGGUGUGCGAAUACGUCUAGGUUGGGGUAAGGGUGUCCAUGUUGCUACAGCCUCUCACUUUGGGGGUCAUCUAAACUUCACUAGGGCCGCUGAUAAGCAGCGAUAUGCUGUGUGCUCCGAGUGGUGCAUCAUCUCCUGUAAAUGUUGUGAAAAACUUGUCAUGGGUGCACUGGAUAUAAGGGAAGAGGUUGAGCGGAUAUUUACCGCCAUUGGUUGGCGACCUUAUCUUAAUAUUUUCUAUCCCGUCUUUGUCGAACUAGUUAGGGAGUUUUACUCUACUUUGAAUUUGACUUGCCUACGGGGUAUACUGUCGAUACCCCAAAUGUGAUUCAUUUUCAUCUAAUAGGUCAAGAGUUCAAUUUUCCUAUUACUCAGUUCAAUUUGGCAUUUGGAUUCAUUACUCGGGAAUAUGUUGAGAUCAGGGAGUACGUUGAGAGUACUUGUGACUACAUAGAACCAUUUUUCUCUCACUAUCAUGAUAUUUGGAAGGAAAUGUCUAUCAACGGGGACCGUUACGACCCUUGUUUGGUUAGAACGGGAUUUCUCUAAAUCUUAAAACAAUUGCGAAAUUGAAUUCUACGGUCGUACCUAGGGUUACUUUGCAAUUAGGGCAAUAGCUAUGGUCGUACCUUAACUAUCAAUAAUUAAGGAGAAAUUGAUUGUCAUCACUUGUUUGACAAUUUUAACUUGUUUAUUAGUUUAUAUGUAGAAUUAUUUUUGCAUCGAUUAUCAAUUAGGAGAACCAUUUCUGAAAUUGCUUCUUGACUAGAGCCUGUCCAAUACUAUUUGAGUUUUUACUAUUUGUCAUUUAAUUUUAUUUAAUUGCAAUAUUCGAUUAGCAUAGCUUAUUAUUAAUUUCUAUAAAAUCUCCCCAUAACUUGAACUUUGGCAGAAAUGAAUUACUCCUAGUUCCUGUGAAUUCGACCCUGCUUAUCACUAUCUACAGAAAUUAUAUUUUGUUUAAACAGGUAUUUAUUAUUGCGCAGGCUCGACAACCUGUCAAAAAGUAGACUUCUUUCCAUUGUAAAGCUAUAUUCAAUUCACCCAAAAGUUAUAAUAAUGUAGCCAGGUUAUUAAUUAUUCAUUACUUUACAAGAUGAUACUUUAAGUACUGAUUUAAGGUUAAAUUGACCAUAGGAGUUACAUUUUCUUAGAACUAAAAUAAUUUAAAACUGCUUUUAUGAAGAAUGAAAUAGAGUAAUAGCACAAGUAUUUGUUAUUACCAAAAGGUUUUUAGGUGAUUUGAGUAUAGAAUUUUGGGGAUCUAUAUCUUUUUGGAAAAAAACAUUUCCAUCUUAAAUUUAGGAUUUGGGAAAGUAAAUGGAUAAUUGGAUGGAUCAUGGUUUUACACUAUCCAUUUAAAUGACAUCCAUUUAGAUCCAUUUAUUAAAUGGUUUUAAUUGGAUUGGAUCAAUUUGAUCCACUAUCCAUUUAACUAAAACUAUUUAUCCACCAUAUAUAUACUUUGUCACUUCUAUAUCUCACUAUAUAUUAACAUGAAAUCUUAUUUGCCAUUAGUCAGUAGCGUUCCAUGUCAGUUUACAUUUAGAAUUUCAUUUCUUCAACUUGUAUGUUUGCCUGGAAAUUAUAUAUAUAUAUAUAUAUAUAUAUAAAGAAUAAUAUUGUCAUUGUUUCUGAUACCAAUUUUAAUGGCGUGAUCUCUUAAUGAUCUUUUGUCUCCACAACUUUUGAAUAUAACCGACAGCCGGGCGCUGCUAGCGCCAGCACUUGUGACAAUUUGUCUUCUUCAUUGGUAAUGGGACAACAAAGAUAUAAACUAUAAAGGUACUCAAAUAAAAUAAAUGCAUUCAAAUAAAAUAAAAGCAGUAUGACCUAUUUUCCACAAGGCAACAAAAUGUUAUUGCAUAGGAUGUAAAACCGGUCAUCAAUUUCAAGAUAGCUAAACUAAACACAAGUUUGUAUAGGAGUUAAAUCAAGAUUUUAGUACUAUACCAAACGGGAUUUGGUGUAGUGAAGCAGAAAGAUGAUAGAACGCGUAGGUUUUGUAAGGAGUGAUUGCAAAAUCCUCAGCUUCUUCCUUCUCUUAAUAAUAGACUAGAUGUACACGAAUGGAGUAAAUAACUUUAUCUUUCAUAAUUUUGCAUUUUGUCACACAAUCCUCCUAUUGUUUAAAAUAUCUAAUUAACCUAUCUACACUACAAGAAAAAUAACCUUUUUUGACACGCCUAUAAGGACACUUGUUGAAUUUUGUCAUUAUAGCACUUCUAUCAUGACACUUAUUAUCAAUUUAAUAAUAUAUAGUUUAAUUUUUUUAUUUUAUCUAAUAUAAAAAUAAUAAUGUGUCUUUAGAUUUCCUAUCAUGACACUUGAGAAAAUGUGAGAUACACCAAAAAAAAAUUAAACAUAAAACGAUGUCAUUUGAUUUUGGCGAAAGAUCCUUUUGCCAAAACACUUAGUGAAAUCUAAAAAGUUUCAUUUUAUGGGCCAGCAAAAUUUUGGUUCUUCUCAUCUCUCGCACAAACUCUCUUUCUCGGCAAACUAUCUCUUAAAACUCCCCCAUUUUGGUUCUUCCAUCUUCCGCCUUCGCCAUCCCACUCCCUCAUUUUCAGAUGCUAACUCGGCCGCUUCUCUGCCCUCGUCGUCAACCACGACACCUG